rnacentral:lncRNA from 1 species
CUUCUCUUUCCUUGAUAUAUUAUCAAGCGCUCGCUUCUUUCUCUUCUUUUUUACUCACAAAUUACAAGUCUACUGUUAGUUCCUUGAGAGAAACACAAACAGAUGGAGUGUAUAAUGACUAUCUUGCAGAUGUGCUGCAGAUCGUUAACAUUUUCUUCUCCGUCAUCUGCUGCAGCUGCUGAUGAUGAUGAUGAUGGUAUUGAAGCUAAUAUCCCCCCUCGUCGGGAGAAGUAUGAUGUGUUUAUCAGUUUCAGAGGUGAGGACACCCGUGAUGGUAUUACCAGCCAUCUUCAUGCUGCCUUACUUCAGAAGAAAAUUGAAACCUACAUAGAUUACAGACUUCAGAAAGGAGAAGAAAUCGGACCUGCCCUUCUAGAGGCAAUUGAGAAAUCCACACUUUCGGUGAUCAUUUUCUCACAAAACUAUGCUUCUUCCACAUGGUGUUUGGAUGAGCUCGUGCAUAUACUCGAAUGCAAGAAAAGAUAUGGCCAUAUGGUUAUACCCGUAUUCUACGGCAUCAAUCCAUCUCAUGUACGAAAGCAACACGGGAGUUAUGCAGGUGCAUUUGCUCAACUUGAAAAACGAUGCAAGGACAAUAUUGAUAAGAUGCACAAGUGGAGGCAUGCUUUGAAGACUGCAGCCGAUCUGUCUGGGUUUGAUUAUUCAAGCAAACGCGGGUAAGUAACACAUUCUUUAACUUGUAUAAAAUUAUAAAUUUUCUUUAAACUUGUUACAAUUUGAUUUGUACUCAGAUUUUGGUAAAGCUAGCAUUACUCUUAAACUUGGGGAGGGGUGGCACUGUAGUUUAGCUGCAGUGCAAUUGAGGGUAGAUUUUGGUUUUAGCAAGACUUCAUGUCUGCGCAUUGCGGUAGGUCAAAAAAUUUGUCAUGUAAUUAAAAUCAGAUCCUAAAGAAGAGUGGAAUAUUUUUUUUUUUUAAUUUAGAGAACAACAUUACAUCAAAGUAAUAUAAGCCACUAGGAAUAGCCUAGUGGUGAGGGUGUGGGUAAGGGGUGGGGUAGUUCUAGGUUCCAGGUUCGAAACCUGGUGUGUGUGUUUGUGCUUGUAUUUGUGUGGGUGGUGGAGGGUAACCAAAAAAAAAAAAAAAAAAAAAAAAAAAAAAGUCAAAGUAAUAUGUAAUGUAAAUAACAGAACAAAAUAGAACAUUUUAAUAGACGGUGUAAGCACAAAAUAUAAUGAAUUUGCAUAAACGAAAGGGAGGAAAAAGUAAACCAACGGCAAUAACUGGGUUUUCAUUUUUUGUCACUGUAGUUAUCAUAUUUGAAGCAAGCAACCAAACAGCAUAUGAUAAUUCCAAUUCAAUCCACCAUCACAAUCCCUGACCUGAAACUAAAUCUCACGCCAACCCAAACACACAGCCCAAAAUUUUUUACUCAGUUAGUCUCCAAUCUAAUUACAACUCUAGAGUAAGUACUUCCUAAAGAAUAUGAACAUAGGGAUACAGAAUCCACAUGUGACAUAGGGACGUAGGGGACAUCUUAACAUACGUACAAGAUAUGAAAUAAAAUACUAGAACCAAUACCUCAAAAUAAAUAUCAUAAUGGGCUCUCCUCACAAAAUAUAUACAAAUUUGUACUCUCAAAAGACACAACUCUCACUAGGGCAAAGACAUGCCCAUAGGCGCUUAAAAUAUAAGUCCCAAAAGAAAUAAUACAAGGAAGAAUAAAGGGGUAACCUAAUCGCUCCUAAGUCUUUGAUCUCUGCAUUGCUAGCCUCACUGGCUCCUUGCAAUCUACACAGGCUUGUGUCAUCAUGCCGGAGUCCGCACUAACUAGAGGUGGUUUAGUAUGAGAUUCCAACCCAAAAAUGAGAUCCCAAAUCCCAAACCAAAAUUUUUUGGGACGAGAAUUUGAAAACCAAUUUCGGAACAACAUUUCGGUAUGGAUCAGGAUUGGAUUUUGAGUUUUGGGCUUUUGGGUUGAAAUUUGAGAUUUUUGGGUUGUGGGCUAAAACUUGGGCUUUUGGCCUGAAAUUUUGUUGCCCAAUUUCAUAUCAAUUGAAAUUUAGACAUUUUACCUCUUACCAAUUUGAAAUUUCAUAUCCAUUGAAAUACCAAUUCAUUCCUACCAAGUCAAAUUGACGUUCCAAAGUUCCAAACUAUUUAAUUUCACAUUUCUAUUUCUAAUAUUAGUCUGCUAUCAAACUACUUAAAUUCAACAUUCAACAUGCAUGCAACCAAAAUAAAUAAAUAAAUAUAUCUAUAUUUUCGGUAAAUGAGGAGAGGAGAGAAGGAGAAGGAAAUGAGGAGAGGAGAAAAGGGGGAAGGGAGAAGCAUCGGCGCAAGGAAGAGAUGGAGGGUUGAUAUUGUGGAAAUGUUUUAUUACUGUCGGUUAAAACCGACAGAAAUAUUUUUUAAAAAUAAAAACUGACAGAAACUUCUCAUUAAUGUCGGUUAUAACUGACAGAAACAAAAUGGAUGCAAAAAUCCCCCCAAAAUUCCCUCUGAAAAUUUUAAACUUUCCCCUAAAUUUUAAAAUCCCCCCCCCCCAAAAUUUUGUUACGAUUUUAAAUAAUAAAAUAAUAAUUGUUUGGUUUAAUAAAUAAUAUGUAUUUAAAUAGAAUAUGUUUUUAAAAAUUAAAUAAAUAAUUGUAUGAUUUAAUAGAUAAUUGUAUGGUUUAAAAAUUAAAUAAAUAAUUGUAUGGUUUAAUAUAUAAUUUUUACAUUUUUGGUUGAAUAGAUAAUAAUCCAUGUAAAAUAUGUGAUAAAGAAACAAAAAGAGAAUUGUACAAUGAAAAUGUCUUCACACAAACUAAAUAUUGGUUAAACCAAUACUUGAAAAACAUAAAUAAAAAUUUAGCACAAAUUACUCUUCCCACUUCAAAAUUUUGGCAAAUUUAUGCAUUCUACGAAACUAGUUUAAAAUAUUUACACUAGUGGAAACCACAAAAUCUUAUUUUAUACUUAAUAGAAGUAUAAUUUUUAUUCUAUGAGUUUGUUUAAUCUACCGUUUUGAUGCAAUAUGCAUUCUAUGAAUUUUUUUUCAACGAUCCAACCGUCAAAUUUAUUUGCACACACUUCGAGAUUGCAUACGUAAAAAAUCGUAAAAAAACAAACAUUCAAAGAUUAGGUAAUUGAACAAAAGUUUUCGACGGUUAUAAAAGAAAAAUAAUAAUUUAACGGUUAUUUUAGCUCCGAUUUUGAUGAUUUUUUUGCAGCUACACUCCUCAACCCUAUAAGAAUAUAAUAAAUAAAUUUGAUCUUCAAUUUAAAAUAUUUACACUAGUGGAUACUGACACACCCUAACCCGAAGACUAGGACGUGCUGGCCGUCACGUGAGCGUGACGUAACCAUAAACGCAAGCGGAAACGAUUAAAUAAUAAAAUACGAGUCAACGAAAACCACUAAUUUCAGUUAUUAACAACCUAGCAUUCUAUAUGCAUAAGAGUGUACUAAACACACAUAAACAGAGCAUAAGCGUCUAGGUGCAGUCAAGUAGGACCAUAACUAAUUUACAACACCCUCGGGUGAAUCCUACAUUUAUUUAGUCUGUCAGAACGCCGAAAGUAGUCCCUCGUAGGCCACCAUCAACUAUCAACUAGAACCUGGAGGGGCGGCGAAAACAACAGAAAACGUGAGUGGGCGAAAAUAAAGCUUUUCCAAAUCAUUUCAUAAAUCCACAUUUAUAACCCCUUUUUGAAAACCUGUAUACUUUCCCAGAAAAUAGUAUAUAGCAUAUAUAAAUCUCAACCAUCUCGAUCAUCAAUCUUAUAACAGAUUCAAUAAAGAAUGUACCAUGCCAAAUUCAACAUUUUAGUAUGAAUGCAUUGACAUAAUAUAAAUCAGGUAAAAGAAAGUAAUCAAUCGGAGGCCCUCUAAUGGCCCUGAACGAUUGAACCUAGAGCUCAAAAUCUAUCAACUCUGCCGGAGUCACCUCUGUGACCUGUCCGACCUUCUGCACAUAAGUCGGAACCACCUAAUGUAGUCUGUACGACUUAAUGGUUAAUAUUACGCUCUAGUGCUUUUCUCAUCAAUCAUCUGUACACAUAAUCUAAGGUCACCCACCAGUCGCAAUCUCACUAACACUCUACGACUGGCACGUCGUCACCCACUCCGCGUGGACUGUGCGACCAGCAUCUACUUGGAUCCAAGGCGAGCGUGCGAUUGCGAAUGCACUAAACCAUGGUAAGCACUCAAAUAUAUGAUAUCAUCAUCAUCAUCAAACAGUAACAGUAAUACUCACCUGAUAUACUCACAUACAUCUUUAUGCAUCUUACAUAUGCAUCAUACAACAGUUCAUAAUAUUCAUAAUUCUAUGCAUGGCAAUCAAAUCAUUUCAUUUCAAUUUCUUUUCAUUUAAUUUGGGGAAAUCGAGUAUAUAGGUAUAUAUAUAAAAUAAAUGCCCCUCACUGGUAUGUCGCCGGGUCGUAACCCCCUUGACGCCCCUGGGAAAGUGCUCGUCCUCGUUAUAAGUCCCAAUAACCUAAAAUGGUCAAUAACGCACAUUUAACACACCUAAACCAAACUAAGUAAUUAAUUCUUCAUACGAUGCUCAAAAUAUUGGAAUAUACCACAGUGACCUACACAAUCUCAGGAUCAUCCCCAUAUUUUUAAAAUAAUUUUUUCGGCCUCACGCGAAAUUGCACGCGGACGUGCAACACUUGUGCCCGGAAUAUUUAUUCGGUACCGUUCAACCUUCAGUAUCCGACCGUCGCCGGCGACCGGAAACUGGCGUAAUUUUUCAAAUCCACUAUUCUCCUUCGUUUUUCGUCCAUUUUUCAUGUAAUUUAUAACAAAAUGAAGCCCUAAACACCUACUAUCACGUUGGAUUAAUUUUAGGGCCUAAAAACUACGAGAUCAAACUUUUCAAAAAUUCAAGAAAUCGGCCAAACUUACAACUCGUGAUCCUGACGUCCAAUUCAUGCCAACGAAGCACUCCGAGCUUCCUUGGGACUUCCUUAAGAAUAUAUAACAUAUCCCAUUCAAACUUAACAUCCUUCCUGGUUAACUUCGUUAAUGGCAAGGCAAUCAUAGAAAAGUCUUGAACAAACCGUCUAUAAUAACCUGCCAAGCCAAGAAAACUCCGCACCUCAGCUGGAGAAUUAACUCUAGCUUCACUUCUUUCGAAGCUCUGAUACCAAUUGUCACAUCCCCGCCCGGGGCGGAUCACUUCCCGGGCCUGCUCCACCACCGUAGCACGAUAUUGUCCGCUUUGGGCCCCGACCACGCCCUCACGGUUUUGUUUCUGGGAACUCAUGAGCAACUUCCCAGGAUGGGUGGCCCACUGGGAAGUUGCUCAUGAGUUCCCAGAAACAAAACCGUGAGGGCGUGGUCGGGGCCCAAAGCGGACAAUAUCGUGCUACGGUGGUGGAGCGGGCCCGGGAAGUGAUCCGCCCCGGGCCGGGAUGUGACAGAUACUACAAAAUCUUAUUUUAUACUUAAUUAAGCAUAAUAUUAACUCAAAUGUUUGUUUAAUCUACCGUUUUGACCAAGGUUCUAAAAAACGCUAGGCGCUAGUCGGGCGGCGGGCUAGGGCCUGGCGCCUAGGCGGCUAGGCGGGGCCUAGGCGGACGCCUAGGCGGACUAGGCGGAUUUAAGUAAAUUUGUUAUAUAUCAUAUAAAUUAAUUCAAUUUAUUAUAUAAUAUGUAAUUAACAUUGAAUAAUAUGUUAAUUUUUUUUAAAGAAAAAUAUACAUGUCUAAAAUUUUAGACUUUUUUUUUAGUUUUGUAUCAUUAUCUUAGCCAUUAAUUUUUGUUGGGCCUUUUAUUUUAAUUAACAAAAUGCAAGAUUGGGCUUGUUUUAAAUUUUGAAUAGCAUCCUAACAAAAAACCCAAAGGCCGGCUAACCCAUUUAUCGUAUUAGAAUAUAAAAUUAAGAGCACUUGUAUUUAUGGGUGAAAUGGUCAUCCCAGUCACCAACUCACCUUUAGAAAACAAAACCCUAACUACGACUGCUCGCUUCUAAAACCAUGGCCGCCGUCAGCAUCUCUGCAAUUGCAGAUGCACUCUCUAUCUCUCUCUCCCUCAUCUCGUAUACCAUCGUCACACUAAGACUCGGUUAGACAAGACAGCCAGACCCGGGAAGACAAGACAGCGAGACGCAGAGCGCCCAGAUUGCCCAACGUUGGACUGCUUCUGGGUAGGAAUUCGUAUUUUCCAAGACUGCCCAGACCGUCCAACUUCUGUCUUGCCCGCCUAGCGUUCGUCUUCCCGCCUAUGCAUCUGCCUUACGCCACCUAAUUGCCUUGCCGAUUUAAUUAACGAUUUCGGUAUAAUCGUGGCGGAACACUGCCGUCUAGCGCCUCGGCGCCGCCUAGGCGGCCACCUAGAGCGCGUUUUAGAACACUGGUUUUGACGCAACAUGCAUUCUACGAAAUGUUUUUCAACGAUUCAACCGUCAAAAUUAUUUGUACACACUCCGAGAUUGCAUACAUAAAAAAUCGUAAAAAACAAACAUUCAGAGAUUAGGCAACGAAAUAAAAGUUUUUGACGGUUAUAAAAGAAAAAUCACAAUUUAACGGUUAUUUUAGCUUCGAUUUUGAUGAUUUUUUACUGCUACACUCCUUAACCCUAUAAGAAUGUAAUCAAUAAAUUUGAUCUUCAAUUUAAAAUAUUUACACUAGUGGAUACCACAAAAUCUUAUUUUAUACUUAAUAGAAGUAUAAUAUUAACUCUAAGUGUUUGUUUAAUCUACCGUUUUGAUGCAAUAUGCAUUCUACGAAACUUUUUUCAACAAUCCAACCGUCAAAAUUAUUUGUACAUACUCCAAGAUUGCAUACGUAAAAAAUCGUAAAAAACAAACAUUCAGAUAUUACAUAACGGAACAAAAGUUUUUGAUGAUUAUAAACGAAAAAUCAUAAAUUUAACGGUUAUUUUAGCUCUGAUUUUGAUGAUUUUUUACAGCUACACUCCUCGACCCUAUAAGAAUGUAAUGAAUAAAUUCGAUCUUUAAUUUAAAAUAUUUACACUGGUAGAUAACACAAAAUCUUAUUUUAUACUUAAUAGAAGUAUAAUAUUUACUCUAAGUGUUUGUUUAAUCUACCGUUUUGACACUAUGCAUUAUACGAAACUUUUUUCAACGAUCCAACCGUCAAAAUUAUUUGUACACACUCCGAGAUUGCAUACGUAAAAAAUCGUAAAAACCAAACAUUCAGAGAUUAGGUAACGGAACAAAAUUUUUCGACGGUUAUAAAAGAAAAAUCACAAUUUAACGGUUAUUUCAGCUCCGAUUUUGAUGAUUUUUUUACAGCUACACUCCUCAACCCUAUAAGAAUAUAAUGCAUAAAUUUGAUCUUCAAUUUAAAUAUUUACACUAGUGGAUACAAGAACUUAUUUUAUACUUAAUUGAAGCAUAAUAUUAAUUCAAGUGUUUGUUUAAUCUACCGUUUUGAAGCAACAUGCAUUCUACAAAACUUUUUUCAACGAUUCAACCGUCAAAAUUAUUUGUACACAGUUCGAGAUUGCAUACGUAAAAAUCGUAAAAAACAAACAUUUAGAUAUUACGUAACAGAACAAAAGUUUUCGAAAGUUAUAAACGAAAAUCACAAUUUAACGGUUAUUUUAGCUCCGAUUUUAAUGAUUUUUUACAGCUACACUCCUCGACCCUAUAAGAAUGUAAUGAAUAAAUUUGAUCUUUAAUUUAAAAUAUUUACACUAGUGGUUACCACAAAAUCUUAUUUUAUACUUAAUAAAAGUAUAAUAUUAACUCUAAGUGUUUGUUUAAUAUACCGUUUUGACGCAAUAUGCAUUCUACGAAACUUUUUUCAACGAUCCAACCGUCAAAAUUAUUUGUACACACUCUGAGAUUGCAUACGUAAAAAAUCGUAAAAAAACAAACAUUUAGAGAUUAGGUAACGGAACAAAAGCUUUCGACGAUUAUAAAAGAAAAAUCACUAUUUAACGGUUAUUUUAGCUCCGAUUUUGAUGAUUUUUUACAGCUACACUCCUCAACCCUAUAAGAAUGUAAUGAAUAAAUUUGAUCUUCAAGUUAAAAUAUUUACACUGGUGGAUACCACAAAAUCUUAUUUUAUACUUAAUAGAAGUAUAAUAUUAACUCUAAGUGUUUGUUUAAUCUACCGUUUUGAUGCAACAUGCAUUCUACGAAUUUUUUUUCAACGAUCUAACCUUCAAAAUUAUUUGUACACACUUCGAGAUUGCAUACAUAAAAAAUCGUAAAAAAAAACAUUCAGAUAUUACAUAACGGAACAAAAGUUUUCGACGAUUAUAAAAAAAAAAUCACAAUUUAACGAUUAUUUUAGCUCCGAUUUUGAUGAUUUUUUACAGCUACACUCCUCGACCCUAUAAGAAUGUAAUGAAUAAAUUCGAUCUUUAAUUUAAAAUAUUUACUGACACACCCCGACCGAAGUCAAGGCAUGAUGGCCGUCACGUGAGCGUGACGUAGCCAUGUGCGCUGUGCGGAAGCGAUAUUUUAUAAGGAAAGUACGAAUAAAUUAAACCAACUACGAUAGGUUCUAAUUUGAGUUUAAGUGUGAAUACACAACCAGAGCACAAGGUCUAAGUGCAGUCAAACAUAAGAUGUACAUAUUUAACAACACUCGAAGUUGGUCCUACAUGAGUGGUGGUUUGUCAGAACUUUCAGCUGGACACUUCGAGAUUCACCGAUAUACGCUACCUAGAACCUGGAGGGGCGCAAAACAAAGUUGAGUGGGUCAGCAAAACAAACUUAUUCAAAACCUUCUUUUUUUUCUUUUGAAUGUACUAACCCCUCGCCGUAAAACAAGUAUAAUUUUCCAGCAAUAAAGUAUAUAAUCAUAUACGUAAUAUAUAUCAAAUCAUGCUGAACAAUAUGAAUGUAUGUCAUGCCAAAUAUCAUAACUGAAUGCUUAACAUCCUAUGUGAAUCUGAUGGGAUAACAUAUAAUCAAUUCAACGCUCGGCUAUAAACAUAAUUCAUAAUCAUCUCAUCACAAUCAACUCAGCCCUCAGCUGCAUAUAUAGCUCAUAAUCAUCUCAUCACAUCAUUUAUAAACAUGUAUAUCCUGCACACAUUCAAUACCACCUCACGUGGUCUGCAAUUCAUCAUCGUAUAUAAUAUAAUAUGCUCUAGUGCUACAAUCACGUGAAGCUGUGCGAUAAAUUGCGGGUCACCUACAAGUCGAACCCACAUAAGUGGUCUAUACGACAGGCUGUACACCUAACUUGGAUCCAAGGCGAGCAUGCGGUGCGGGAGGUGAACAUCACGUGAAAGACUGUGCCUCUAUCUCUGGGCGGGAGCACUAAUAUACGUGUGCAAGUAAAUGAGCUUUCAAUCACAUCUCAAUCGAAUCAUAUAAUUCAUCAUAUUCCAAUCUUAUCUCAUGAUCGUUAUAAGCAUAAUAUGUCAAUUGUAUCUCAAUUCUAUCUCAAAUCAUAUCACAAUUAUAUCUCAAACAUAUCUCAAUCUCAUUCCAAACAUAUCUCAAUCACAUUUCAUACGUAUAUCCACUGUAUUUCGUAUGUAUUUCAAACGUAUAUUAUACGUAUUUCAAAUGUAUAUUAUACGUAUUUCAAAUGUAUUUUGUACGUAUUUCAAAUGUAUAUUGUACGUAUUUCAAAUGUAUAUUAUACGUAUAUCAAUCGUAUUUCAAACGUAUAUACUUACGUACUUCAAAUGUAUUUCAUAUGUAUAUCAAUCAUAUUUCAAAUGUAUUUCAUAUGUAUAUCAAUCAUAUUUCAAAUGUAUAUACUUACGUGUAGCUUACCUGGGCCUCCUCAGCACCAUGCAACAAUAUGCAUAAUUAUAAUAAUGCACAUACUAAAAUAUGAUGCAUACAUGAUAAGUUGCUUAAUUCGUAUUUCUUUUAAAUACGUUUUCUGGGAAAUACGUCAAGUAUACGUAUAUAUAUACUAAAAAAUAACUGCCCACUCACUGAUAAGUAGCUGGUUCAUAACCCCCUCGCCUAUUUUGGUUACGUUCUUCGUCCGUAUAAUUUUUACCUAUACAAAAAUAAUUAUAAAACAUCAUUUAAACGCACAUACACAAACAUACGUCAAUAACUUUCUCAUACGUUGCUCAAUUUGGGUAUGUGAAUAUACCACGGUGAUCUACACGACGUCACGAACACGUGACAAUUUUCAGAACUUGAUUUGGGUCUCUCACGCGCCCUCACGCGCCACCUGUACGCGCUGCCCACACGCGCGUCUUCUUCCUCGCGUCGCCGGACUGGUUUCGCCGGAGGUGGUGUUGCCAGAAUUUCUGGGUAAACUUCAAAGUGUCAUAACUUCUUCAUUUCUUAACCAUUUUCGACGUACUUUAUAUCAAAAUGAAGGUAUUGACGAGACGAACACAUCCAUAUCUGCCUUGACCCCUAACGCGGCGUGGAUUCACCGGAAAAAGCCCCGAAAGCUCCGGCCAAACUUUGAUCUCGUCGUUCUCCGUGUUCUUACGUCCAAACACUUCCAACGAACUACUCCAAACCUCCUAAGGACCUCAAGAAGCUUCCUAUAAGCUUGAAAAGUCCUAAAAAUCAACCAAUAAAAAGUUGAUGAAUAGUACCUAAACCGGAGUUCGUAUUUUCGACGUGAAAACGUUAUAGUUCUUACCUGAAAUUGGUAUGGUUGGACUCGUAUCGUCGAAACGAAGAAGAUGGUGAUUUUUCUUCGUCGAUCUAUGAAGUUUUGAUGAACUUGUUGUUUGGUCCGUGGGUUUUGAGAGAAGGAGAGAGAGAGCUUGAGAGCUUGACGGGAGAGAAUGAGAGUUGAGUUUGAGGGAGCUGAGGGAAAAUAAAAGAGAGUGAUUGAGGGAACAAAGUGGAGGGUUUCACGGAAAAGAAAAAGAAAAGUAAGGGAAAAUGAAUGAUUUCUGUAAGCCCUAGGGGUGGGCACGGUUUGGUUUAGUGCGGUUUUGAGUGAAACCAAAACCAAAACCGCAAGUUUUUGCGGUUUGGUUUGGUGCGGUUUUGAAGCUAAAACCGAAAUGAAACCAAACCAUUUGGUUCGGUUUGGUUUGGUUUUAAACGGUUUUGGUUUGGUUUCGUUGUUUGAAAAAACUAUUAAAGUGCUAAAAACUACAUUGUAUGCUCUCUUUGUUACUGUCACAAGAAAGUAUGAAUAGCCAAACACUACUUCAUAAGCUAAACUAAAAGUAAAACAGUUUGGCAUCAUUAAUGAUUGUAGUUAGAAUUUUCUUAAACAUAACCAGUUAAGGAGACAAAGGAAGUUUUCAGCACAAAAAAAAUAAUUCAUACCGCAACAAAAUAUUUCAACUUGAUGAUGACAAUAUUAAAAUUUAACUUAAAAUAAAGUUCAACAUUAAAAAUCAAAAUACCAUAAGGUUUAGGACACUUACUUUGCAUCAUUCAAGUUUCAAACUUCUGCCUUUCCCCUUCCUUUUGCACACUUACUAGCCGAAGGUUUAGGAGGUCUUUGAACUUGUGAGCGGGCUUGAGAAGCCGAUACUUGUGAAGAAUUUGCACGUUGUAAAUUUGAAAACAAUGGAUGGGAAGCCAUUGAUCCUUGUGCACUAGAACUUUUUGAUUGACUUGGAGUUGGAGCUUGUUGUGAUUGUGGAUUAAGAGUAAGAGAGGCGAGAGUUGAGGUUGAUUUGGCCACCUCUACAUAAUACAAAACAUAAACAAUAUAAAUCACAUUAGUUGUUAGAAACUUUAAAAAACAUACAAAAGAACAAAAUAUAUUGAAAAAGAAAACUACGAAAGUUCUUUAACUUGAAAUGAUAUACUUACCCGAUUCAAUACUUUCAUAGAACUCAAUGUGCUCAACCGAAGGUGCAUCAUCCUCCAAAGUAAUAAUGCUAUCGCCCCUCAACCAAUUUUGCAUGCAUAUAAAGGCCUCUACCGAUUUAGGAGUUAAAGAACUCCUAAAAUCUGAAAUUACUCGACCCCCGGUGCUAAAAGCACUCUCCGAUGCCACGGUAGAGACUUGAAUAGCAAAAAUAUCUUUUGCAAUGGCGGCCAAGAUAGGAUACUUAGUACCAUUCAUCUUCCACCAUAAGAGAAUGUUAAAAUGCUUCGUGGACUCCUCUUUUGUAAUUUGCACCAAAGGAUCCAACAAAUACGAGUCCACCUCAUCUCUCACCACUUUCUCAUCACUAUCUUCAACAAAAUGCAUCCAUUCAUCAACAAGAUCAUCUUCCAUUGACACCACAUCGGAUGAAGUAGAAGAAUAUUGUGCUUGUGAAGGGCCUUUCUUCAUGUGUUUUCCACCUUCAACAUUAGGAGCAUAUGCAUCAUAAAGGGCAUGCAAUAGAUCUUUUACUUCAUUAGCUUUCAAUAAUGCCUCAAAAUCGGAAAGUUUCUUUUUAAAGAGUUGUGUGACAUGCCUCAACUUGAACCUUGGAUCCAAAACAAGUCCAAUCAUAAUUAGAGGGUUCAAUUCAUGGUAUGAGUCAAAAUAUUUUUCAUAUUUUGAUCUCAUGUCGGAAGCCAUGGCCUUCAAUAAUUGCUCCGAAGGUAGACCGACUUGCAUGUUGGCUCGGGACUCUAAAUUAUUUAUAGCGGUCUCUAUUUUUAUGACAUCAUGGAGGCCGGUAUGAACUGUGGGAUGUGUAGAAGCACUAACCCUCAAAGUCACAUCAUAGAACACCCGUAAAAACUUGACAAAAGCUUCCGCCUUGAGCCAAUCUUCUUCCGUAGGUGGUCCAACCAUUUUCCUCCCUUUAAUUUGGCAAGCAAUAAACACCCCAUCUUCAUCUUUUUCAUCUUCAACUUCCUUAAAGUAAGCCACAAAGGGACUUUUUACAUCCUCCGCCAUAGUGGCAAAGGCCUUCUUAAACUUCAAAGCUACAUCCAACAUAACAAAUGUAGAAUUCCACCGAGUAGGACAAUCAAGGCAAACCGUUGCUUUGCACGUCAACUUCACCAAAUUCACGGCUUGCCUAAAAAACUGCAAUCUUUGUGGAGAGCUCCUCACAAACCUCACACAAUUUCGUAUUGCUAAAAGACCAUUCUUUAGCCUCUUCAUCCCAUGACUCACAAUUAUGUUGGUUAUGUGAGCGAUGCAUCGUACAUGUAAAUACUUGCCACCUAAAAUAGCUUGUGAAUUUUCCCACCUAUUCAUUUUUACCAUAAGUUGAUCCAAAGCAACUUUAUUUGCGGAAGCAUUGUCCACUGUGAUUGUCAUAACUCUAUCUAUCCCCCAUUCCAACAAGCAAUUUUCAAUUAACUUUGCAAUUGUGGUUCCAUAGUGGUUAGGAAUAACACAAAAGUUUAUGAUCCUCUUGUGCAUAUUCCAUUCAUCAUCAAUGAAGUGUGCAGUAAGAACCAUAUAAUUGAUAUUUUGUGUGCUUGUCCAAGUGUCGGUGGUGAGACAGAUUCUGUGCCCACUUAAGUUUUUCUUCAAAGAAGUCUUCCAUUCUUCAUACAUGUUGAGAAAAGUUCUAACAAGUGUUCUUCUAGAAGGCACAUUAAACAAUGGAAUACCAACAUCCAAAAAAGCCGAAACCCCAUCUUAUCAACGGUACUAAAUGGCAUCUCAUCUAUGACUACCAUCUUGACACAUGCUUCUAAUACAUUAACUUGUGAAAAGCCAACAACAACCACAUUGUUAUCUUUACUUUUAUCCUCAAAACACUUUUUGCUUUUUACAUUUAUUCCCCUGAUAAAAUCUACAAUAUUUUUCAAUGUGGUGUUUCAUAGUUGAGGUGCCAUUUACUCUCGGUUCAGCUGCAUAGUCACCAUCAUUGCUCUUUUUCGAACAAUAAUUACACUUAGCUCUCCUAAGUUGUUUAUCCACCCAAACUUCCUCCCCCUUAUCAUUGAUUGUUUUCACUUUUUUCGUCACAUAGUAUGUUGUAAAAUGCUCCCAAACCCAACUACGCUUUCUUGAAUCAGAGUUACUUACUUGUGCAUCAUCUUCACCUUCAGAUUCAUUUCCAUCAUUUUUUGGGUCACCUUCAACAUUUUCUUGAUUUUCUGGAUCAAUUUCUAUUGUCUCAUCCUCCGGCUUCUCAGGGGAGUCACCCGUUGAAGAGAGAGCAACCGAACUAUGUUUGCUAGAUUCUUCAAAUCUUGACUGAAACAUAAAAGAAAAGUAAGCAGCAACAACAAUUAACAAUUAUCAGUAGUGUUUGGACUCCCUAUUGGACAACAUAUGAGUAACAGGUUUGGUUCGUUUUGUGAUCCAAAUCCAAUUUUUUUUCCAUUGAACACGUCAUGCUUAGUUUCAACAUGUUAAAUAGUUAUGAAUCACUUAUCCUGCUUGGCCUAUGUUGUAUUGUUUGAUAACUUUUUUUUUAUCGUAUGGGUAGAUGUUUCCACAAGGAAGGAUGCAAUUUGAGUACAUGAUCAAACCAAGGAUUAUAGAGCAGAUACUUUUAGUACAAUUCCGUUAAGUAGUGCCUCUCUUCAUUCAGGCCUGCAUUGAGUCUAAACUUGUAGGACAACUCAAUCACAGCUACAAAUAUUAACCACUGUACAUAUAAAUUACAAAGAAAACUCAUAUAUUGUAUAAGAACAAACCUCGCAACUUUCGAAAUUAUAUGUUGCAUACGAUUAACCGAUCCCCACGUUAGAAACUUCGUUACUACUAAAUAUGCCACGUUAAGUAGAACAGAUGAAUCAUAUAAUCAUAUACAUAAAAUCACCCAGGAAAAAGUAAAAUUAUAGUUAAAAUUAAGUGAAAAGGAAUGCAAGGAAGAAAGAAAAGAUGGAGUUGCUCUGAGCUCCGAGUCUGUGCAUUUCUUUUCCAACCCCAAAAAUACAGACUCUAGGUAAAAAUACAGAAUUUUCUACGAAAUUUUGAAUCAUUCACGACGUUAUAAAUCAUAGUUCUUACCAAAUCCCCUUUUGAUUCAAAACCCAACCCUAAAAUUAAUCUCAAAUCUAUAAGUAAAUUUAACUAAAACAAGUUAUAAAUCAUAGUUCUUACCAUAUUAGAACUCUGAAAUUUAGAAGCUAGGAGCUGGAGAGCCUAGAAUGAGGCCGAAGGGGAGAGAGAGACAGCGCCUGGAGACUAGAAGUGGAAGAGGAAGAAUGCACGGAUGAAUAAAAACUUGAGAAAGAAAAGUCUUUGGUCUUGUUAGUCCACGGACUAGAGACUAGAAGAAAGAAUAAAAGGUUAUUUUAUGUGGCCAUGUUAUGAUGUGGUUGAGUCCAUACUAAAUGUAUGGACUCAAUGAAAAUAACCAAUUAAAAUUUAACAUUUAAUAAAGGUAUGCGGUUUCGGUUUCGGUUCGGUUUUGGAGGGCCGAAACCGAAACCAAACCGUUUUCCCCCUAUUCGGUUCGGUUUCAAACCGAAACCGUUUUGAAACGGCAAAACCAAACCGUUCGGUUUGGUUUGGUUUGGUUCGGGUUUCAGUUGCGGUUUUCGGUUUCAAGUGCCCACCCCUAGUAAGCCCCGUGAGGGCAUAGGAUUCCAAGCUUAAUCAUUCAUACAUAUACCACCAAAAACAUCCCUAUCCGUCCAUUAUUACCCAAAAUAUCCAUGAUUAUCCAACUAAAAAAAAUUAGGGUAAUUAAACACACUUAUGAAAACGUUAAUUCGGGACGGGCUGUCACAAGCAAGUGGUAGUCUCAACCCACCUUUUAGCAGGGAGAUUGCCUUGACUCUGCAUAACCCGAAAAGUCUUCUCUACAUGCUCAUGCCAACGCUCGGCCCCUUCAUGUCCUUCAUUACCCAUAAAAGUAGGUAAUUUCAAAUUAUACACUGCCUCUAAGGGAGUCUUCGGAGGAGGGCGAAGUGAAGCUUGAAUGGCAUUAGUUAUAGCUUCCCCUAAUUGAGAGAUAUCGGGAAAACCAGGCUCAGAAUAAGAACGUGGAUGGUUGCCUGAAGAAGUAGCAGACUGGAAGAAUUUUAAGGAUUCGUUCUAUAAAAGGUUUAUUCCUCCAACAUAUCUUGACCAGAAGAAGCAAGAAUUAGUCAGUUUGAGGCAAAGAAAGUUGUCUGUUAAUGAGUACUAUCGGAAAUUUACUGAUUUGUCUCAAUAUGAUUCUGAUACUGCUGCUAAUCCUGUUGAGAUUCUUAGACGUUUCAAAAGGGGUACUAAAAAGAAGUGGCGUUCUAUGACUACCAUUGCAAACUGUACCACUUAUCAGGAAUUUUAUGAGGUUUUGAGGGUUGAGAACUCAGAAAAUUUACCCAGUGACAGUGAAGAAGAAGAAAGAGAUAAGAAUCAAAGGCGAAAUGAUAAAGGUAAAGGUCAGUUUUCUCAAGGACCUAAGAAAGCACAAAGUUUCAAAAGAAAUGGUAUGGGUUUGAGUUCUUCUAGCGGAGGUUUCGGCUUCUCAAAUCAGCGGCGAGGAGGUAGAUUCUCUGGAGGCCCUAAAUUUCAGGGACAGAGAGAUUCUGGUGGUUCUGGAGGUUCAGGCGUUCCUCUUUGCCGAAGGUGCAAUAAUCGACACGUUGGAGGAUGUCGUCAAGGUAACAGUGGGUGUUUUAAUUGUGGUCAGAUGAGGCAUAUAGCUAAGUAUUGUCCUUAGAGCCAACAGAGAGCUCUACAGCCUUUUGUGCCACAUCCAGCUCCGACUCAACAGUUUUCAGGACUUAGUGGUUUCACUCAGAUGGGUCGUGGUAGCGCUUAUCAUCUUCAAGGGGAUUCAGUUACUUAUCUUUCGAGACAUUAUCAAUACCCUCAGGACCCUUACCAGCAGAAUCGUUUUGGUCAAUAUUCAGAAGGUUAUAUGCCUUAUCAGCAGAACAACCUUGGUCAGCAGUUUUCAGCUGGUGGAUCACAGUGGCAGCCAGGAGGACAACCACAACAAAUGGAUAUUGGUAUUAGUAGUGCUGGAUCGUCUAGGCCGCACAUUCAGUUUGGUCAAGGACGUGGUUCACAGGGCAGAGGUGUUCAUGCUAGCAGAGGUCGAGGAGGAAGACAGCAAGCCCAAUGACGUAUCCACAACAUUUCUCUACAGGAUGCUCAGAAUAAUCUUGACUUGAUUAUGGGUACGUUAAAUAUUCUUGGUUAUCGUGCUAAAGUGUUGAUUGAUUGUGGUGCUACACAUUCAGUAAUUUCUCAUACAUUUGCUCAAUCGACUCAACCUCGAUCUACACAUCUAGGGUUUGAGUUAGAAUUUGCUAUGCCUAGAGGGGAAAAAUGUUGCGUAGAUUAUGUAUAUCCAGGGUGUCCAGUGAUGGUCGAGAAUGUAGUCAUGCCAGCUAAUCUUGUCCCGUUAGAUAUUGUGGAUUUCGAUGUGAUAUUAGGCGCAGAUUGGUUGCAUUUCAAUCGUGCCCAAAUUGAUUGUUAUUGGAAAACAGUGACUUUCCAUCGCCCUGGAUUACCUAAAGUUACGUUCGUAGGUGAGUCUAGUGGAUUGAGGCAUGAAGUUAUUUCAGCUGUGAGAGCUGAAAAAUUAUUAUCGAAAGGUUGUCAAGGAUAUUUGGCGCAUGUGAUAUUAGAUGAUGUUGCUCUUAGUAGUUUGGAAGAAGUGGGAGUAGUCAGGCAUUUCCCUGACGUAUUUCCGAAUGAUUUACCUGGAUUGUCGCCUGAUAGAGAUGUCGAGUUCAGUAUUGACUUGCUUCCAGGUACAAAUCCUAUUUCCUUAACUCCUUAUCGUAUGGCUCCUACUGAGUUAAGAGAAUUGAAGAUUCAAUUACAAGAAUUGGUUGAUAAAGGUUUUAUUCAACCUAGUACUUCACCCUGGGGAGCUCCAGUUUUGUUUGUAAGAAAGAAAGACGGAACUUUGAGGUUAUGCAUCGAUUACAGGCAAUUGAAUCAGGUAACGAUUAAAAACCGUUAUCCAUUGCCGCGUAUCGACGAUCUAUUUGAUCAACUUCGAGGUGCCUGUGUAUUCUCAAAGAUCGACUUAAGGUCAGGUUACUACCAGUUGAAGAUUAAGAGUGACGAUGUCUACAAAACUGCUUUUAGAACUCAUUAUGGUCAUUAUGAGUUCCUUGUGAUGCCGUUUGGAUUGACGAAUGCACCUGCAGUUUUUAUGGGUUUGAUGAAUAAAGUAUUCUAGCAAUAUUUGGAUAGAUUUGUCAUUGUAUUUAUUGAUGACAUUCUGGUGCAUUCCAAGUCUGAAGUAGAUCAUGUUCAACAUCUUACUCUGGUGUUGGAGAAAUUGAGAGAGCACCGUUUGUAUGCUAAGUUUAGCAAGUGCCAAUUUUGGUUAAGUGAAGUGGCAUUUUUGGGACAUGUCAUAUCAGAUCAGGGUAUUUUGGUAGACCCUCAAAAAAUUUCAGCUGUGGAAAAUUGGGAACAUCCACGAACAGUUACAGAGGUACGGAGUUUCCUUGGCUUAGCAAGUUACUAUCGACGGUUUGUGAAGGAUUUUUCAGUUAUCGCUUUACCACUUACAAGGUUAACCAGAAAGGAAGUCAAGUUUGAGUGGGAUAGUAAGUGUGAGCAGAGUUUUCAGCAACUUAAGCAUUGUCUCACUCAUACAUCUGUUUUGGCACUUCCUGAUGACAGCGGUAAUUUCGAGAUUUAUAGCAAUGCUUCAUUGAAUGGCCUGGGAUGUGUUUUAAUGCAGCAUGGUAGGGUGAUUGCUUAUGCUUUACGUUAGUUAAAGCCUCAUGAAAAGAAUUACCCUACUCAUGAUUUGGAAUUAGCAGCUAUUAUAUUUGCCUUGAAGAUUUGGAGACACUACCUUUAUGGUGAAAAAUGUAAGAUCUUUACGGAUCACAAGAGUCUUCAGUACAUUUUCAUCCAGAAAGAGCUUAAUCUUAGACAACGAAGGUGGUUAGAGCUGCUUAGCGAUUAUGAUUGCACUAUCGAGUAUCAUCCUGGUCGUGCUAAUGUGGUGGCUGAUGCUUUGAGUAGGAAAUCUCAAGGUCGAGUUAACGCAUUGUAUGCUUCUCGUGUUCCUCUUCUUGCAGAUUUGAGGUCCACUGGAGUGCAAUUGGGAUUUGAAGAACAAGAGGAAAUGGUGGUCGGACGAGAAGAAGCUUUACUUGCUAGUUUUCAAGUUAGGCCUAUUUUAAUGGAUCGUAUACUCGAAGCCCAAGGAAUUGACGAAGAAGUUCAGAGUUUAAUCUUGGCAGUUUUUCAAGGAAAGAAAAAUGACCUCAAUGUUCGAGAAUCUGAUGGCAUGCUUAUGUAGGAUAAGCGGAUGUACGUGCCAAAUAAUGAGGAAUUGAAGAAAUAGAUUCUUGAUGAAGCGCAUAUUUCAGCAUAUGCAAUGCAUCCAGGGGGUACUAAGAUGUAUCAUACCAUUAAGCCAUUUUACUAUUGGCCAGGUAUGAAAAGAGAAAUUGCAGAGUAUGUCAGUAGGUGUGCAGUUUGUCAGCAUGUUAAAGCUGAAAGGAAGAAACCGUUUGGUUUAAUGCAACCACUUCCCGUUCCACAGUGGAAAUGGGAGAAUAUCACUAUGGAUUUUGUGUACAAGCUUCCUCGUACACGGAACGGUUAUGAUGGCGUUUGGGUGAUUGUAGAUCGACUUACUAAGUCAGCGCAUUUUAUUCCAGUGAGGGAAAAGUAUUCUCUGAACAAGUUGGCUGAGCUGUUUAUCACUAAGAUUGUGAAGUACCAUGGGAUUCCAGUAAGUAUUGUUUUAGAUCGAGAUCCUAGAUUCACUUCUAAGUUAUGGACAGCUUUUCAGGAAGCUCUUGGUAUGAAAUUGCUAUAUAGUAUGGCGUAUCAUCCCCAGAUAGAUGGUCAAUCAGAGAGGACAAUACAGACUUUGGAAGAUAUGUUAAGAUCUUCUGUAAUGCAGUUUGGCGAUGAUUGGCAUGCAAAGUUGGAUUUAAUGGAAUUUGCUUAUAAUAACAGUUACCAUUCUAGCAUCGGGAUGGCACCGUUUGAAGCUUUAUAUGAAAAAUCGUGUCGUACUCCUUUGUGUUGGUCAGAGGUUGGUGAAAGAGUUUUGGUGGGCCCUGAGAUAGUGGAGGAGACUAAUCAGAAUGUUCAAGUAAUUAAGUCUAAUUUGAAAGUGGCCCAGGAUCGGCAGAAGAGCUUAGCAGACAGGCAUGCUACUGAUCGAGUGUAUAAGGUUAAUGAUUGGGUAUUUUUGAAGCUAUCGCCGUGGAAAAGAGUAGUAAGGUUCGGGAAAAAGGGUAAGCUGAGCCCUAGGUACAUCAGACCUUACCAGAUCACCGAGCGAGUUGGUGAGGUUGCUUACAGACUUGAGUUGCCUUCGGAACUAUCUAAAGUGCAUAACGUAUUUCAUGUUUCGAUGCUUCGUCAUUAUGUUGCAGAUCCAUCGCAUGUGAUUCCAAUUCAAUCUUUGGAGAUUAGCCCGAAUUUGACUUAUGAUGAAUAACCAGUAACUAUCUUGGAUUGGAAAGAGAAAGUUCUGAGAAAUAAGACGGUGCAGUUGGUAAAAGUCUUGUGGAGGAACCACUCGGUGGAAGAGGCUACUUGGGAAACAGAGGAUCGGAUGAGAGAGAUGUAUCCGAGAUUGUUUUAUGACUAUUAGUGUUGUAUUUUGAUUAUGUAAAUUUCGGGGACGAAAUUUCUAUAAGGAGGGUAGGUUGUGACAGCCCAUCCCGAAUUAACGUUUUCAUAAGUGUGUUUAAUUACCCUAAUUUUUUUUAGUUGGAUAAUCAUGGAUAUUUUGGGUAAUAAUGGACGGAUAGGGAUGUUUUCGGCGGUAUAUGUAUGAAUGAUUAAGCUUGGAAUCCUAUGCCCUCACGGGCUUACAGAAAUCAUUCCUUUUCCCUUACUUUUCUUUUUCUUUUCUGUGAAACCCUCCACUUUGUUCCCUCAAUCACCCUCUCUUUUAUUUUCCCUCAGCUCCCUCAAACUCAACUCUCAUUCUCUCCCGUCAAUUUCUCAAGCUCUCUUUCUCUCCUUCUCUCGAAACCCACGGACUAAACAACAAGUUCAUCAAAACUUCAUAGAUCGACGAAACAAUCACCAUCUUCUUCGUUUCGACGAUACGAGUCCAACCAUACCAAUUUCAGGUAAGAACUAUAACGUUUUCACGUCGAAAAUACGAACUCCGGUUUAGGUACUAUUCAUCAACUUUUUAUUGGUUGAUUUUUAGGACUUUUCAAGCUUAUAGGAAGCUUCUUGAGGUCCUUAGGAGGCUUGGAGUAGUUCGUUGGAAGUGUUUGGACGUAAGAACACGGAGAACGACAAGUUCAAAGUUUGGCCGGAGCUUUCGGGGCUUUUUCCGGUGAAUCCACGCCGAGUUAGGGGUCAAGGAAGGUAUGGAUGUGUUCAUCUCGUCAAUACCUUCAUUUUGAUAUAAAGUACGUCGAAAAUGGUUAAGAAAUGAAGAAGUUAUGACACUUUGAAGUUUACCCAGAAAUUCCGGCAAAACACCCACCUCCGGCGAAACCAGUCCGCCGACGCGAGGAAGAAGACGCGCGUGUGGGCAGCGCGUAUAGGUGGCGUGUGAGGGCGUGUGAGAGACCCAAAUCAAGUUCUGAAAAUUGUCACGUGUUCGUGACAUCGUGUAGAUCACCGUGGUAUAUUCACAUACCCAAAUUGAGCAACGUAUGAGAAAGUUAUUGACGUAUGUUUGUGUAUGUGCGUUUAAAUGAUGUUUUAUAAUUAUUUUUGUAUAGGUGAAAAUUAUACGGACGAAGAACGUAACCAAAAUAGGCGAGGGGUUUACGAACCGGCUACUUAUCAGUGAGUGGGCAGUUAUUUUUCAGUAUAUAUAUACGUAUACUUGACGUAUUUCCCAGAAAACGUAUUUUAAAAGAAAUACGAAUUAAGCAACUUAUCAUGUAUGCAUCAUAUUUUAGUAUGUGCAUUAUUAUAAUUAUGCAUAUUGUUGCAUGGUGCUGAGGAGGCCCAGGUAAGCUACCUUUAAGUAUAUACAUUUGAAAUAUGUAAGUAUAUACAUUUGAAAUACGAUUGAUAUACAUAUGAAAUACAUUUGAAGUACGUAAGUAUAUACGUUUGAAAUAUGAUUGAUAUACGUAUAAUAUACAUUUGAACUACGUAUAAUAUACAUUUGAAAUACGCACGAAAUACAUUUGAAAUACGUAUAAUAUACAUUUGAAAUACAUAUAAUAUACGUUUGAAAUACGUACGAAAUACGUUUGAAAUACGUAUAAUAUACAUUUGAUAUACGUUUGAAAUACAUAUGAAAUACAGUGGAUAUACGUAUGAAAUGUGAUUGAGAUAUGUUUGAAAUGUGAUUAAGAUAUAAUUGUGAUAUGAUUUGAGAUACAAUUAAGAUAUUAUGCUUAUAACAAUCAUGAGAUAAGAUUGGAAUAUGAUGAAUUAUAUGAUUCGAUUGAGAUGUGAUUGAAAGCUCAUUUACUUGCACACGUAUAUUAGUGCUCCCGCCCAGAGAUAGGGGCACAGUCUUUCACGUGAUGUUCACCUCCCGCAUCGCAUGCUCGCCUUGGAUCCAAGUUAGGUGUACAACAUGUCGUAUAGACCACUUAUGUGGGUUCGACUUGUAGGUGACCCGCGAUUUAUCGCACAGCUUCACGUGAUUAUAGCACUAGAGCAUAUUAUAUUAUAUACGAUGAUGAAUUGUAGACCACGUGAGGUGGUAUUGAAUGUGUGCAGGAUAUACAUGUUUAUACAUGAUGUGAUGAGAUGAUUAUGAGCUAUAUAUGUAGUUGAGGGCUGAGUUGAUUGUGAUGAGAUGAUUAUGAAUUAUGUUUAUAGCCGAGCGUUGAAUUGAUUAUAUGUUAUCCCAUCAGAUUCACAUAGGAUGUUAAGCAUUCAGUUAUGAUAUUUGGCAUGACAUACAUUCAUAUUGUUCAGCAUGAUUUGAUAUAUAUUACGUAUAUGAUUAUAUACUUUAUUGCUGGAAAAUUAUACUUGUUUUACGGCGAGGGGUUAGUACAUUCAAAAGAAAAAAAGAAGGUUUUGAAUAAGUUUGUUUUGCUGACCCACUCAACUUUGUUUUGCGCCCCUCCAAGUUCUAGGUAGCGUAUAUCGGUGAAUCUCGAGGUGUCCAGCUGAAAGUUCUGACAAACCACCACUCAUGUAGGACCAACUUCGAGUGUUGUUAAAUAUGUACAUCUUAUGUUUGACUGCACUUAGACCUUGUGCUUUGGUUGUGUAUUCACACUUAAACUCAAAUUAGAACCUAUCGUAUUUGGUUUUAAUUUAUUCGUACUUUCCUUAUAAAAUAUCACUUCCACACAGCGCACAUGGCUACGUCACGCUCACGUGACGGCCAGCAUGCCUUGACUUCGGUCGGAGUGUGUCAUUUACACUAGUGGAUACCACAAAAUCUUAUUUUAUACUUAAUAGAAUUAUAAUAUUAACUCUAAGUGUUUGUUUAAUUGACCGUUUUGACACAAUAUGCAUUCUACGAAACUUUUUUCAAUGAUCCAACCGUCAAAAUUAUUUGUACACACUCUGAGAUUGCAUACGUAAAAAAUCAUAAAAAACAAACAUUCAAAGAUUAGGCAACGGAAUAAAAGUUUUCGACGGUUAUAAAAGAAAAAUCACAAUUUAGCGGUUAUUUUAGCUUCGAUUUUGAUGAUUUUUUACAGCUACACUCCUUAACCCUAUAAGAAUGUAAUGAAUAAAUUUGAUCUUUAAUUUAAAAUAUUUACACUAGUGGAUACCACAAAAUCUGAUUUUAUACUUAAUAGAAGUAUAAUAUUAACUCUAAGUGUUUGUUUAAUUGACCGUUUUGACACAAUAUGCAUUCUAUGAAACUUUUUUCAAUGAUCCAACCGUCAAAAUUAUUUGUACACACUCUGAGAUUGCAUACGUAAAAAAUCAUAAAAAACAAACAUUCAAAGAUUAGGCAACGGAAUAAAAGUUUUCGACGGUUAUAAAAGAAAAAUCACAAUUUAGCGGUUAUUUUAGCUUUGAUUUUGAUGAUUUUUUACAGCUACACUCCUUAACCCUAUAAGAAUGUAAUGAAUAAAUUUGAUCUUUAAUUUAAAAUAUUUACACUAGUGGAUACUACAAAAUCUUAUUUUAUACUUAAUAGAAGUAUAAUAUUAACUCUAAGUGUUUGUUUAAUCUACAGUUUUGAUGCAAUAUGCAUUCUAUUAAACUUUUUUCAACAAUCCAACCGUCAAACUUAUUUUUACACAUUCCGAGAUUGUAUACAUAAAAAAUCGUAAAAAACAAACAUUCAGAGAUUAGGUAACGAAACAAAAUUUUUCGAUGGUUAUAAACAAAAAAUCACAAUUGAACGGUUAUUUUAGCUCCAAUUUUGAUGAUUUUUUUACAGCUACACUCCUCGACCUUAUAAGAAUGCAUUGAACGAAUUCGAUCUUCAAUUUAAAAUAUUUACACUAGUGGAUAAUUUGUUAUACUUAAUGGAAGUAUAACUCUUAAGUGUUUGUUAAAUAUAUCAAUUUGAUAGGAUAUGCAUUCUACGAAACUAGUUUCAACGAUCCAACCGUCAAAUAUGUUUGUAUGUACUCCGAGAUAGCAUGUGUACAAAAUCGCAAAAAAAAAAAACAUUCAGAGAUUAGGUAGCAAGACCAUGAGUGAAAAAAAUAUUAAACUAUUUGUUUAUUUAUUUAUUUAUUUUUAAUCAAUGUAACAUUUUAAAAUAAUAAAAUAGUCAAUUUAUGUCGAUUAUAACCGACAUCAUUAACUUAGAAACUGCCAGAAUAUGUUAAAAAUAUUAAAAAAAAAAGAAUUAAAAAAUAUUGAGGGUUAUAAUAAUUUCAGACGAUUAAAUCCGCUAGGAAUUUAUAUCGAAUAUAUCGGACAGAAAGUAACUUUAAUCUGACAAUAAAUAAAUUAUGUGUCGAAUAUCUUUUAUCUGUCAAAAUAACUUAUUAACCGUCAGAUCGUCCGACACCUAAAAUUAGUAUCGUAGUAGUGAAAACGCGUAAGGCCGGGAAAGGGGGCCCAUUGGCUUACCGUGUGUUUGCCACUGCCAUUCUGUGACCUGUGAGUAGUCAGCUUGCUUUAAUAAAAGGUAUGAACUGAUGGUGAUGUUUCCUUCAUCUGUCUUUCUUCAUGUGUGAACGCGUUGAUUUUUUAUACGCGGAAGGUAAAGGUGCUUGAGUUGGUUUCAUCUCUUUGAUGAUUUUCUAGGAAAGCCUGAGGACCAUAAAAUUUUCAAGAACUGAAUAAAUCUCAUCCAUCUCAAGUAUCCCCUUCUCUUUCUUUGAUAUAUUAUCAAGCGCUCGCUUCUUUCUCUUCUUUUUUACUCACAAGUUACAAGUCUACUGUUAGUUCCUUGAGAGAAACACAAACAGAUGGAGUGUAUAAUGACUAUCUUGCAGAUGUGCUGCAGAUCGUUAACAUUUUCUUCUCCGUCAUCUGCUGCAGCUGCUGCUGCUGAUGAUAAUGAUGAUGACUGUGUUGAAGCGAAUAUCCCCCCUCGUCGGGAGAAGUAUGAUGUGUUUAUCAAUUUCAGAGGCGAGGACACCCGCGAUGGUAUUACCAGCCAUCUUCAUGCUGCCUUACUUCAGAAGAAAAUUGAAACCUACAUAGAUAACAGACUUCAAAAAGGAGAAGAAAUCGGACCUGCCCUUCAAGAGGCAAUCGAGAAAUCCACACUUUCGGUGAUCAUUUUCUCACAAAACUAUGCUUCUUCCACAUGGUGUUUGGAUGAACUCGUGCAUAUACUCGAAUGCAAGAAAAUAUAUGGUCAUAUGGUUAUACCCGUAUUCUACGACAUCAAUCCAUCUGAUGUACGAAAGCAACACGGGAGUUAUGCGGGUGCAUUUGCUCAACUUGAAAAACGUUUCAAGGACAAUAUUGAUAAGGUGCACAAGUGGAGGGAUGCUUUGAAGACCGCAGCCGAUUUGUCUGGGUUUGAUUAUUCAAACAAACGCGGGUAAGUAACUCAUUUCUCUAACUUGUAUAAAAUUAUAAAUUUUCUUUAAACUUGUGACAAUUUGAUUUGUCCUAAGAUUUGGUAAAGCAUUACUCUAUUUUAAACUUGGGGAUUGGUGGCACUGUAGCUUAGCUACAAUGCAAUUGAGAGGGGAGAUUUUGGUUUUAGCAAGACUUCAUGGCCACACACUGCUGCAGGUCGAAAAAUUUGUCAUGUAAUUAAAAUCAGAUCCUAAAGGAGAGUGGAAUUUUUUUUGUAAUUUAGAGAACAACAUCACAUCAAAGUAAGUAGCAUGUAAUAUAAAUAAUGGAACAAAAUAGAACAUUUUAAUAGACGGCGUAAUCACAAAAUAUAAUGUCUUCAAUUUUUAUAAGAAACGGAUGUAGCAUAGUUCAGUUAGCUUUUUGAACUUAUUUACAACUCUAUUUACACAUAUUUCCAACAACUCUAUCAGCACAUAUAUGUACAAUCAUAUUUACAAUUCUAUUUACACAUAUACUAAUCAGCCUUUUCGAACUUCCUUGAUCAACACAUACAAUUUUUUUUUGCCCUGAUAGGUCUGCUUCUAUGUUCCAAAUUGAAAAAAUAGAAGUUGUUAGUGUAAAUCAAUGAUAUUUUAGUGAAGAUGAUGGAACAAAAGUGUAAUUAUUGAGGAGAGAUUUUCUUAAUUGCUAAAAGUAGUUGAAUACUCUCUCAAGUGCGUUUAAUAAUAUACAUUAAAAACAAAUAUAUGUUGAUGUACAAAUUUAAGUGUACCGUGAGGAGAAAAAUAAAAUUUCUUAUGCUCAUAAAUAAUUAAAACUGACAUAUGUUAAAGCGUACAUAUAAGAAGAAAGUGGACCUUUUUAAUUGUUCAUAUCACAUUUUCCACUAAGCUGACCACAAUAAACUUUUCUAUCACAAUUCUUUGCAUGCAAGUAUGAAUAAAGGUUAACUAAUGUGAUUAUUUUCAUCCUAUUGUAAAUGGAAAUAUAAACAUUCAUUUUGCUGAAUUGUACACUUGAGAGAAAAAUAUGCAUAAAUGUAGAAAAAGAUUUAUAAGAUCUUAAAAAGUGUAGACAAUGAGUAGCAAUUACCCUUCCCACUUAACUUGUGAACGAAAAGGAGGAAAAAGUAAACCAAUGACUGGGUAUUCAUUUUUUGUGUCACUGUUCUUAUUAUAUUUGAAGCAAGCAACCAAACAGCAUAUGAUUAUUCCAAUUUCGAUCCAACCAUCACAAUCCCCAACCUGAGGGAUUUUAAUGAAUUUAUAAAUCCAUGGAUUUUGAUGGAAUUUAAUUUGUAGAGAUGUCAUGUAAAAUUUUAAUUAACUAUCUAAAAUUCUGAUUGAAUGCAUAUUGAAUUUUAGAGGAUUACUUAAAAUCCUAAUUGAAUAUUCAUAAAUUCAUUAAAAGAAUUAAAAUUAAAAUUAAAAUUUCAAUUGAAUACACCCCCUAAAUCUCACGAUUACCCAAAACACAACGCUAAAAACUUUACUCAGUGAGUCUCCAAUCUAAUUACAACUCUGGAGUAAGUACUUCCUGAAGAAUAUGAACUUAUAGAUAUAAAUAUAUCCAAUAAAGCAGCAUAUGUAGUGAAAUUUAGGAUCAUUUGAUUGAACAGCCAAAACAUUCGAUCUUACACAAAUGAAUACUGCUGCAACCUAUAACCCAUUCAAAAAUUACUAUUGGAAAAGCAGCCAAACUAAUGAAAAGGAGAUAAAAAGGAAAAUACUAAUAUUCACCUCACACGAAACGAGGAGAGAAAAAUGAAAAUACUAAAUACUGAACUAACACAAAAACAAAACGGGAAAACACACAGAUUGCAGACCCUUCCCAUUUGGCAACUGAAAAUGUGUCAUGCCAAUUAUAAUAAAAGUAUACUUGAAAGACGAAAGUGUAAGCAUGCACCAAUAAUUCGAUUUGAACGACGUUGGAUUUAGCAUUCAUCUAUAGACGUCGUCUAGGUCAAAUUUCUUUCCUAAAAUAAUCAUUUCAAAGUGUAUUUCCUCAAUGAGGAACAAUUACAAAGAGAAAAUAAUGUCUGCUUUUUAUUAAGACGCUUGUAAAAUUAGUUAUAGAAUUAGUUAUAGAGUCGUUGUCCAAGAUUUUCAUGUUUUAUAUCAACAAACACUAAAAUUGGGUUACUUGGUAUAUCGACGGUGAUAGAGAUAAUACAUAAGGUUGGAAUGCAUAGGAUGGUGACACUUGUAAUAAGAUUAGAGAAGUUAAUUAUGGUUGUUAGGAUGUAUAGAUGUGAAGAUUCUUGUAUAAAUGCCCUUAUGAUGUAAUAGCUUGGAUGCUAAGAAAACAAAUAACAAGAAUUAGUUUCUCUCUCUUUCUCUCUUCAAGUUUCUCUCGGAUUCUCUCUCUUUCUCUCUCUAGAUUUUCCGCAUUCAAGCUUCUUCUUCUUGGUUAACAUGGUAUCAAUCGCCAUUAUUGCUGCUGCAUUUCUCGAUCCUUGACUCAGCUUCCACUCUUCAACUUCAUCUUCUCCGAUCGUCUUCUGGGAAGCUGUGAUCACUUCCGACGAGCUCCGAUCAGCCUCUUUUGCAAGAUUUUAGGGUUUCACGGAGCUUCUUCUGCAAGAUUCUAGGUUUUCAAGAAAGUGUUCGUCGUGCUAGCUUCUCUUCUACUCGCAGUUCUUGGUUUGAUCUCUGCAAAAAUGGUAACUGCUUCUCAACUUCAGCUUGUUCAGUCACCGAUAACUGCUCUAAUUUCUACAAUUUCUACGCCAGUCAAUGUGAAACUUGAUGAUUCAAAUUAUCUUAAUUCUCAUUUUCAAAUGCAAUUAUUGCUGGAAAGUAAUGGUAUUAUAGGAUUUGUUGAUGGCUCAACCCCUUGUCCUGCACGAUUUAGGUCGAAUUCUGGUGAAUCAGGUGUAAAUUCUGGUAAUUCAUCAACUAUCACAGAAACUGAUGAAUAUACUCUGGAAAUUGCAUGAUCGUGCACUUAUGUAGCUCAUUAUUGCCACAUUGUCUCCAAUUGCUAUGUCAUGUGCCAUUGGUAGCUCUAGUUCCAGGGGAUUAUGGACUAGACUUAAGGAACAAUUCUCCACUGUGUCAAAGACUAGUAUCUUUCAGAUGAAGUCUAACCUCAAACCAUCAAGAAAGGUUCCGAUUAUGUGACACAGUAUUUGCAAAAAAUUUAAGAAGCUCGUGACUAUUUGUCAACCGCUGGUGUGUUUCUUGAUGAUGAAGAUAUUAUUAUCUUGGCUCUCAAUGGCCUACCUCCAGAGUACAAUACAUUUCGUAAUGUUGUGAGAGGUAGAGAAAAUGUCAUGACAAUUAAAGAGUUUCGGUCUCAAUUACUUGCUGAAGAAACAAUUGUAGACAAUCACAUUAAUGGUUCAUUUCUCUCUGCCAUGGUUGCUAAUACUUCUGCAGCUAUGCAUAAAGGUUCCAACAUACCUCAUUAGUCUUUUACCUCUGGUGGUGGUCCAUCAUAUCAUCAUAAUGGGGGUCAGCCAUAUGUUGUGUCUGGAGGGUUCAAGUCUUUUAACGACAAGAACAAAAGGCAAAAACAAAUUUAAUACAGCACAACGAUAUUACAAUCUUCGGUUAGUGUAUCCUACACAAACUCAUGUCUUACCUACACCUACUCCUAGUGUUCUUGGACCAUCUCCAAACCAGUUUGCAAGUCCCUCAUCACCUCCAUUGCAGACGUGCCAAUUAUGUAAUGCUACAGGUCACAUUGCCCCUUAUUGUUUUAAUAAAUCUUCUGACAGACAAUAAUGUCAAAUAUGUGGUAAAUUUAAUCAUACCACAUGGUAUUGCUUUUACAAUGAAAAGGGACCUCAGUUUGCUUCAAGGGCAUGUGCUUCAAUGCAGGGCAACUCCUAUCAUGGCCCUCAUGUGAUGUCUAAUUCUCAGCCAUCUUCUUCACAUUCACAACUGGGUCUGUAACAUCUACUUCUCAGUCACCACAAGUGUGGUUGACAGAUUCAGGAGCUACUAAUCAUAUGACAGCUGAUCUUAACAACCUGUUUCUAGCUUCACCUUAUCCCAAUAAUGAAGUUGUUCAAACUACUAAUGGUGAAGGUUUGAGAGUUUCUCACAUUAGCAUUUCUAUACUUACAACUCCUGUCAAUUCUAUCAAGUUGAAUUCCAUUCUUUAUGUUCCUAAAUUGACACAACUUACUGUCAGUUCAUAGGAUUUGUUUGGAUAACAAUUGCUAGCUAAUCUUUGAUGCAUUUUGUUUCUGGAUUUAGGACAAGGCCACAGGGAGAAUUCUGUACAAAGGGCGUUGCAGUAAUGGACUCUAUCCCAUUCAGUCACUCUCCACUCGUUCUCAUAUACACCAGUCUUCUCAAUCUCCAUCUGUUGUUUAUCUUGGUCAGCUUGUUGGUUCUAGCUUAUGGCAUAAUAGGUCAUGACAUCCAUCCAAUCAUAUAGUUUCAUUACUACUUAAACAAGCUAAUAUCACAUGUAAUAAAGACACAACUUCUGCUGUGUCAAAGUUGUCUCGAGGGAAAAACUACAAAGUAACCAUUUUCUUCUUCCCAUAAUAAGUCUGUCAUACCCUUUGAAAUUGUACACAGUGACCUUUAGGGUCCUGCACCAUGUACUUCGAUUGAUGGCUAUAAAUACUAUGUUACCCUUAUUGAUGAAUGCACUCACUUAUGUUGGUUGUUUCCUUUAUCUCACAAAUCAGACUUUUAUGAUGUGUUUGUUACAUUUUGUGCAUUUGUUUCAACUUCUGUGAAAAUCUUGUAGAGUGAUGGGGGGGGGUGACACUUAUAAUAAGAUUAGAGAAGUUAGUUAUGGUUGCUAGGAUGUGUAGUUGUGAAGAUUCUUGUAUAAAUACCCUUAUGAUGUAAUAGUUUGGAUGCUAAGAAAACAAAUAACAAGAGUUAGUUUCUCUCUCUCUCUCUCUCUCUCUCUUCAAGUUUCUCUUGGAUUCUCUCUCUUUCUCUCUCUAGAAAUAUAUGGUGUUAUAACUUUUAGUGUAUUUUUUUAUUUACAUGAGAAUUUUUUCGACCCGCCUUUAAGACUAACUAUUGCUUUUUUUUUUCUUUCUCUCUACAUAAUCAUACAUAUAUAUGCUAGGACGGAGGCAAAUCUAAUUAAGAAUGUUGUCGAUCAUAUUUGGACAAAAUUGAAUUGUGAACCAUCAUGUGAUUUAGAGGCCUGGUUGGAAUUGAAAGCCGCAUCGAGCAAAUUGAAUCGCGAUUGGGCAUUCAUUCAGAGGACGCUUGCAUCACUAUAGGUAUUUGGGGCAUGGAUGGUAUUGGCAAGACCACCCUUGCUGAAACUGUAUUUCACAGACUCUCUUCUAAUUUCGAAGGUUCUUGUUUUCUACAAAAUGUCAGGGAGAAAUCAGAAAAACCAGAUGGACUAGAUCGUUUGCAAAAUCAACUUCUGAGUGAGAUAUUCAAGGAAGAAUGCCUAUCCAUAGGAUCACCUGGUGUUCAAAAUAGGCUCAUCCGCACAAAGGUCCUCAUUGUUCUUGAUGAUGUGAGUAGCUCAAAGCAAAUGCAACGUUUAGCUGGCGAUCAUCUUCGGUAUGGCACUGGAAGUAGAAUCAUUAUCACAAGUAGAGAUAGGGGCACACUUAGACAAACUGUUGAAGAGGAUAAUAUCUAUGAGGUUGAGCUAUUAAAACCAGAUGACGCUCUUCAGCUCUUCUGUUUGCAUGCUUUCAAGAAUAACACUACUCGUAGAACAGAUUAUAAGGAGUUGGCAAAAAAGACUGGGGGUUAUGCCAGAGGCGUUCCUUUAGCUCUUACAAUUCUAGGGUCUUUGUUCUUCAAUUGCAAGAGCAAAGAAGACUGGGAAGAUGAAUUCAACAAAUUGAAACAAUUUCCCAAUGAAGAUAUCCAGAAAGUGUUGAGAAUAAGUUAUUAUAGAUUGGAAGAAAAUGAGAAGCAGAUAUUUCUGGAUAUAGCAUGUUUUCAUAAAGGGAAGGAAGUGAAGGAGGUAAAACGAAUGUUAGCUGUUCGUGGAUUCUUUGCGACAGUCGGAAUUAGAAUUCUCAUUGAUACGUCUCUCAUAUCAAUUUAUUCAGAUAAAUGGAAAGGGGAAAUCAUAGAGAUGCACGAUUCACUACAAGAAAUGGGAAGGACAAUUGUUCAAGAACAAUGUAUUAAAGAUCCCGGUAAACGAAAUAGGGUUUUCAUAGAUGAGGAUGUCUAUCGUGUGCUGAAGAGUAACACGGUAAGAGCCAAAUGCAUUCAAUUUUUUUUCUUUUCUUUUUUAGGAAAAAAUAAAUAACAAACUUUAGAUGAUAACAAAACAAAGUAAAACUCAUUUAUAAUAAAGAAGUCAGAUUCUUAAAAAAUUAACUUGAUUGAAUUUUUAUUGCAAAAAUGUUAUUCUUACUAUCUAUCUAUACUAUCAUUUGUACCUUCUCUCUUAUAGAGAUGAAACUCACAUGCAUUGGCGGGUUCUACCUCUAUUUGAAAGAUGAUACAACUAGGUGGUAAGAAUAACACUACUAUUUUUAUUUUGCUAGGAAGUCUGUAAUUUUUAAUAUAUUAUUACAUCAUCACCAUCGUAAGUACUCUAGACUAUUCUAUAACUUUGUUGAAUUCUUUUUCCAAAUAAGCAUUACAUCUUAACAUCGUUGAAAAUAUAUACAUUUAAACUUUGUUCUUAUUGUCAGGGAACUCCAAUUGUUGAAGCUAUAUUGCUUAACUGGCAUAACAGUGAAGUGCGACCAUUGAAACGUGCAGACUUCAAACUGAUGUCAAACCUAGUAGCGCUAAGUGUGCAUUCUCGAAUAUUUGACUGCAAAUCCACCGCUUCUCUAGACCUUCCUGGUUCUCUUCGUUACCUUUACUGGAAUAGAUAUCCACUGGAAUCUUUGCCGUCAAAUUUUUCACCGGAAAAUCUAGUUGAGCUUCAUAUGCCAUGUAGCGAAGUUAAGAAGCUUUGGAAAGAAGACCAGGUAUAUUAUAUGCCUAUUUUAAUUCUUGUAUAAAAUUAGGUGUAGAAAUUAUAUUAAAUCUUGAUAUUUCUCUCUACUCUUGUUACAGAGACUUGUGAACUUAGAAGUGAUCGAUUUGCAGUACUCUACAAAUCUCACUGAAGUUCCAAAUCUCUCUGGGAGUCUAAAAAUUGUGCACAUAGAUCUCUCUGGUUGUGGAAGUUUGGCUGAAAUUCCAGGGUAUUUUCAAGAUCUUGGCAAGCUUACUCAUCUUCAUCUUGCACUCUGCACUAGUCUCAAGUAUCUUCCAGAGAUGCCAGGAAAUAUUAAAUACUUAGAUUUAUUGGGCAGUGGUAUAAAGGAGUUGCCCCAAUCAGUUUGGUCUCACGAAAAAAUUUCUUACUUGAAUAUAAGUCAUUGCAGAUACCUUGAGAAACUUCCAAGCAACAAGUGUAAACUGAAAAUCUCUGGUUCUUUUAAUCUAGAUUGGCACACAUCUCUUGGCGAGUUUUCUGAGCUUCCCAGGGAUAUAAGUAAAUUAUCAUUGGUUGGUUGCAAGAGACUUGUGAGUCUACCAACCAACAUUUGGAAAUUGAAAUAUCUUGAGGAACUCAAUCUCUCCAACUGCUUUAAACUUGAAAACUUCCCAAAGAUUUUGGAGCCAAUGGAACAUUUGAAGUCCUUAAAUUUAAGUGGAACAUCAAUUAAAGAGCUACACUCAUCAAUCGAGUUUCUCCCUGCACUCAAAAGAAUUCAACUACAAGGUUGCAAAAGGUUUUCAAGUAUCCCAAAGAGCAUUUGUAAGUUGAAGUAUCUUGAGGUACUCGAUUUCUCUUUGUGCUCCGAACUUGUAAACUUCCCAGAGAUUUUGGAGCCAAUGGAACAUUUGAAGUCCUUAAAUUUAAGUGGAACAACGGUUAAAAAGCUACACUCAUCAAUCGAGUUUCUCCCUGCGCUCAAAAGAAUUCAACUACAAGGUUGCAAAAGGUUUUCAAGUAUCCCAAAAAACAUUUGUAAGUUGAAGAAUCUCGAGGUACUCGAUUUCUCUUUGUGCUCCGAACUUGUAAACUUCCCAGAGAUUUUGGAGCCAAUGGAACAUUUGAAGUCCUUAAAUUUAAGUGGAACAACGAUUAAAGAGCUACACUCAUCAAUCGAGUUUCUCCCUGCGCUCAAAAGAAUUCAACUACAAGGUUGCAAAAGGUUUUCAAGUAUCCCAAAAAGCAUUUGUAAGUUGAAGAAUCUUGAGGUACUCGAUUUCUCUUCGUGCGCUGAACUUGAAAACUUCCCAGAGAUCUUGGAGCCAAUGGAACAUUUAAAGUCCUUAAAUUUAAGUGGAACAUUGGUUAAAGAGCUACACUCAUCAAUCCAGUUUCUUCCUGCGCUCAUAAGAAUUUAACUACGAGGUUGCAAAAGGUUUUCAAGUAUCCCAAAGAGCAUUUGUAAGUUGAAAUAUCUAUGUCAUUUAAGAAAAUUUGGGAGAAGAAAAAAAGCCUCGUUGUAAGACCUAGAGAGCAGAAGCAAUCCUACUGGCUACUGCUGUGGUAUCAAAGAUCUGUGUGAUCAUUAUGUUUCAAAGAUCUUUUCAAAAUGAAUCUAAAAUUCUGGACUAACCUCUACAUGCUACAGAAAGGGUCUUUACAAACCUUAAAAAAAAGCACAAAAGACAACUUAUAGGUAGACACCAUAAAUUUACAGGUUCAGGCAGCUCAUCUAGCUUCCCAUACUUGCAAAAUCCAUCAAUAAGUCACGGGUCUCUUUAACCUGAUGUUAUUGGUUUAGUUUAAGAAAGAACUAAUUUAGCUGGCUAAAAUGACUAAAGUAGUGAACCUAUAAGUGGCCAUGUUUUAUCAUUUCUUAUAUUCCUGAUAGUUUAGCUGGCUAAAAAAACUAAAUAGUAGUGAACGUAUAAGUCCUUCGCGAGUUUUCUGAGCUUCCCAGGGAUAUAGGUAAAUUAUCAUUGGUUAAUUGCCAUAAACUUGUGAGUAGCAACAAAUAUUUGUAAGUUGAAAUAUCUCAGAGGAACUCGAUCUCUCCUAUUGCUUUAGACUUUAAAACUUCCCAAAGAUCUUGGAGCCAAUGGAACAUUUGAAGUCCUUAAAUUUAAGUAAAACAGCGGUUCAAGAGCUACACUCAUCAAUCCAGUUUCUCCCUACACUCCAAAUAAUUCAAUUACAUGAUUGCAAAAGGCUUUCAAGUAAUCCAAAGAGCAUUUGUAAGUUGAAAUGUCUCAAGCAUCUCGAUCUCUCUUCGUGCUCUGAACUUGAAAACUUCCCCGAGAUCUUGGAGCCAAUGAAAGAUUUGAAGUUCGUUUAAGUGGAAUAGCGGUUCAAGAGCUACACUCAUCAAUUGAGUUUCUCCCUGCGCUCCAAAUAAUUGAAUUACAUGAUUGCAAAAAGUUUUCCAAGUAUCCCAAAGAGCAUUUGUAAGUUGUAAUAUCUAAGUCAUUAAAUAGAAAAUUUGGGAGAAGAAAAAAAUUGUUGAUUUCAUUCUAGGUAAAAAAAAAAAAGAAAAAAAAAGUCCCGUUGUAAGACCUAGAGAGCAGAAGCAAUCCUACUGGCUGCUGCUGUGGUAUCAAAGAUCUUUGUGAUCAAUAUGUUACAAAGAUCUUUUCAAAAUUCUGGACUAACCUUAAAAAAAGCACAAAAGACAACUUAUAGGUAGAUACCGUAAAUUUACAGCUUGAGGCAGAGUAAGAUAGCUCAUCCACAACAAACCAAAAGGCACUUAUGCGGAAAAAAAAAAACUUCUGACUGAAAGAGUUUUCAAGUAACCAUUUAUCUUAUACGUCAUAAAGAAAAUUCGCUUUACAAGAAAUAGAAAGCAUCAUGAUAAGGAACUACCGGACACUGUGGUGACUCCUUAACAGACAAGUCCGCCAAACCAUUUAAUAUAAGAUACACAAACAAAAAAUCCGUUCAAGUAGUUGUACAUGAGUUCCAAUAUAAUCACAUUUUCUUAAUUCAAUCCUUUGAAUAGUCAAUAAUGGCUUGAAGGUCCAUGCACAGAUGCAACACUCAUAAAAUCAACAUGCAGAUUAUACAGAAACAAAUAGACUUGUUACUGUGCUUCCUUAAUUGUGUAUGUGCUCGCACAACACAAAAUGUCACAUUAAAUUCAACACUUUUCAAAAUUAAAACCAUUAACAUAGAAGAAGUAGUUCAAUGUUUUAUCUAUUCAAUAUUUCUUAAUUGCAAAUUAGAUGUUCUCCGUGCACAUUUCUUAGUUUGAGGUUUAUUUUGUUUGUACCAUACUUGACCAAUCUUGAAACUAUUGAGCACCGGUCAACGUUAUACCGUCAAGGAUCCAGAAGAGUUUCCCUCAAACUAGGAGGCCAAUCAUAGCGCGACAUGUGUCGACAUCAGAAGCCAAUUAUAGCGUGACACGUGUCAACAUCAGAAGCCAAUCACAACAUGACACGUGUCAAUGUCAAAACAAAGCUAGAAACUCUCUUCUAUAAAAGAAGAUCAUUCUCCCACAAUAUUUCCUAAUGUCAUUUGUACUAAAUCAUUCACUAGUACUCACUAAAGGAGAGCUUGAACCUAUGUACUUGUGUAAGCCCUUCACAAUUAAUGAGAACUCCUAUACUCUGUGGAUGUAGCCAAUCUGGGUGAAUCACAUACAUUUUGUGUUUGCUUCCCUGUCUCUAUCCAUUUACAUACUUAUCCACACUAGUGACCGGAGCAAUCUAGUGAAGGUCACAAACAUAACACUUUCUGUUGUACCAAAGUCCCCACUGAUUUUGUGCAUCAACAUUUGACACCGUCUGUGGGAACGACACUUAUUCCCACUCUCUUCAGCUUUGUUAAACUGGUUUCCACCAUUCAUACACUCUCUUUUGACCAGGCAUCCUUCUCCAACAUGGGGAGCGAAGGAAGCCAUAGCACGUAGAAUGACACCACUCUUGCACUUGGUGCAAGGCAAUGAAAGAAGGAAGGAGAUAGGGUUGCUCUUCAAGCCAAAGUCGAUGAGUUAGAAGCUCAGAACAACAAGAUAGCAAUGAAGAAUGAGGUCUUCCAGGAGCAGUAUGAGAAGCUCUUUGAGACGCUUCACGAAACUAGGCGUACUCAAACACAUGAGCUCCUUACCCCUAUGGACAUCAACCAUCAUCUGGGUGCCCCCCAACACGGAGGGUCACCUUCCUUCGACAUGGGUAUCCCUGAUGAGGAGCGAGUUAAUCAUCAAAACAUUGAUCAACAUGAGACUUCUCUCAACCCAGCUACUUCGACCUGAAGCAGGAGAAGUGGAGGAAGACACCUCCUUAUAGAAUGAGUGGAAGGAUCGAAAGCCAUCUUUCGCGAUUAUUGAGAUUUCCUAAAGCAACGUCGAGACAAUCCCAUCCAUGUAAGCUCGAAGAUCAAUGACCCAAAGGUCUCUAGAAGACUCGGUCCCCUCCCAUGUCCCAGGCUGGCUAUUUGGGGAAGGGGCAACAAGUCCUAGAGAAACACAAAGGUAUAGGGGACUCAGAGAUGUUCCGACAGACAUACCUUGGAAGUCAAUAUGGCGAGUCCAGGGAAAAAUCACAUGCUCUUGAUCAAACCUUCAUACUUCUAAGAGGAGAUGGAGAUUUAUGAAAGAAAGCUCCAGUGGUACAUGACUCCACUCAGGACCCUCUUGUCCUAUAGCUCUUUAAAGAAGUAAACAAGUUGAAGGCCGAACGACAAGCUGAGAUACAUGAUUGGAACCAACCUAGGCCUGGCCCUUUUACAAGGAGGAUCCUCGACACCCCCUCAAAGCAAAGACAAAGCAGAAGCUUGGCUUGGAACUUUAUACUGGAAAGGAGGACUCGAUUGAACACCUUACCCUCUUUGAGUCCACCAUGGCAUACUGGAUACACACAGACGAAAAGCGAUGUCUUCUCUUCCCCUCCACCCUCUCUGGCGGAACUCUAAACUGGUAUUGCCGUCUUUCACUUGAGACGGUAGACUUAUUUGAGGAAUUGAGGAAAUUGUUUGUUUCUCAAUACAUUUUCCAGAUCGAUCGCUUGCACUCUACGGAUGACUUGCACAUUAUUCGCCAGAAGCCAGACGAGUCAUUAUGUAUGUAUGCUGGCCGCUUCAGCCAUGAGUAUUCCCGUUGUGCCGAGGCAGAUGAUAAGACUGCCCUCAAAGCCUUCACGGCAGGCCUACGUGAUUGUUUCUUCAAGUACACGAUCAAUGCCAACACUUGGAAGACUUACUCUGAGGUGAUGGCACAUGCUUACAACCAUGCCUCCGCUGAGGCAAGGACAUAUCAAGGGAAACCCUCCACAGCCACCCCUUAUCAGCAAGUAGGGAGUGGAAGCCAUAUCCAACCAAAUGAGAAGAACUCAACCUUCCAAUCUGCAGCGGUGCUUCCCCCUGCCUUACUUAAUACUUCACCAAGUCAACAGACAUAUCAAUCUCAGGGCAAAAGGAAAGAUUUUCAUCCUCACCAGUCUCAUUUUAGUAAAGGAGUAAGAGACACUAUUGCGAUAACCAAGGGUAUCGCCAUGAUAAUGCCUGCUCCUAGGCAGUCAACACAGUGGGCCAAACACGUGUCAGGAUAGGCUCUACCCCGAGGUAUGAGACAUACACACCUUUGAACGGCACAUGCGUGGUCAGUUACCCCAGCAUAGCACACCUGAUACUGAAGCCAAUGCCGAGGCAGUCGGGUUACAAGCCCACGAAGAACACGGGCACAUUUUGCUGCUACCACGAGCAUAACAGCCAUGACGGCGAGAAGUGUAUCACUCUUCGUGAUUAUAUUGAAGCUUUGGCGCGUGAAGGAAAAAUUGAUCGAUUCCUCCUUCACUAUUCAAGGGGUAACCGUAACUAACACCAAAUGUAUGUGAUAUAUUCUAUAAGCGGCUGCACACCCAUAUCCGAAUCUUCCAAUAGGGCCAUGAAAAAUAGCGAACGAGCUUUAAGGCCUGGCCACCAAGUGUUUCACGUGGAAGAUAUCAGGGAAGGCAAGUAUCAAAAGUCUAACUGGGAUCCAAUAUGUUUCUACCCUGAGGAAGAAAGAGGUAUCAUCUACCCUCACAACGACCCACUGAUUGUGGAGGCUCACAUAGCCAACUUUGAAGUAAGACGAAUCCUAGUAGACAUGGGGGUUUCGGUCAAUAUCAUGUUUGCUGAAGCUUUCAGGGCACUUAAUGUAGCUGAACACUUGCUCGAUCGCUCGAUUUCUCCUCUGAUAAGCUUCUCCGGUGAUAUCGUGCAACUUAUAGGGAGCAUACACUUACCUUUCACCAUUGGUACAUGCCCUUACACAGCUACCAUUACCACUAACUUCCUGGUAGUUGAUUGCCCAACGAUAUACAAUGUCAUCUUUGGAUGCUCAUGCAUCAAUGAUCUCAAGGCCAUGGUAUCCACACAUAUGUUAUUGAUGAAAUUUCCAACCUCCUAUGGCAAUGGUUACAUCAGAGGAGAUCAAUUUAGUGCACGGUCAUGUUACAACACUUCGGUCAAGCAACAACACCUGCCUGUGCCCAAGGAAACCUUUUCUAUACAUGACCAAGUCAUAAAGACGAGCCCAGACGAAGCCAACUUGGAUCUUCACGGUGGCAACAGUCAACCCGACGAUCCUCGAGAUGACUCUUUCACCCAACAAACACAACCCGUUGAAGAGUUAGAGAAGGUUUCUAUAUCAAAAGAUUAUCCAGAUCGCAUGGUGAAGAUUGACACCACUUUGUCACCACCCAUUCGGUUGGCAUUGAUCUCUUUUUUGCAAGAGAACAUUGAGGUCUUCGCCUGGUCAUAUGAGGACAUGCCAGACAUCUCUCCCGAUAUCAUAUGUCAUCGCUUGAGUAUUGACCCCAAGACCAAGCCGGUGAGACAGAAGCAAAGAUCUUAUAACGCUGAAUGAUACGAAGCAAUGAAGGCAGAAGUUGAAAAGCUCAAAGGCAUAGGUUUCAUCCGCGAAGUUAAUUACCCAACAUGGGUAACAAAUGUGGUUAUUGUUAAGAAAAAUUCGACCAAAGAAAGUCUCUUGCUCCAAAAGGUCUUGUGGAUAAUGUGUGUCGACUACACUGACAUAAACAAAGGAUGCCCGAAUGAUAGCUUUCCUUUUCCUCUCAUUGACAGACUUAUAGACUCUACGGCAGGGUGUGAACUGCUGAGCUUUAUGGAUGUUUACUCAAGAUACAACCAAAUCCUCAUAAACCCUCCGGACCAAGAACACACAACCUUCACUACUGACAGGGAACUAUAUUGCUAUACAGUCAUGCCCUUUGGCCUAAAGAAUGCAGGAACGAUUUAUCAGAGACUAGUCAAUUCAAUGUUCGCCGAACAGAUUGGGAAGAGCAUGGAAGUUUACGUUGAUGAUAUGCUAGUCAAGAGCAAACAUGCUGACCAACACAUCGCUAACCUAUCUGAAACUUUCACCAUUCUGAAGUGGUAUCGAAUGAGGUUGAACCCUAAAAAAUGUACCUUCGGCGUAGGCUUUGGCAAAUUCUUAGGCUUCAUGAUAAGCCAACGAGGCAUUGAGGCAAAUCCUAAGAAAAUCAAAACAAUCCUCGACAUGAAGGAACCAGUAACUUCAAAAGACAUCCAAAGCCUUACUGGCAAGAUGGCAGCUUUAAUUAGGUUCAUCUCUAGGGCCACAGACAGAUGUGCACCUUUCUUCAAAGCACUUAAGGGAAGUAAGAAGUACAUUACAUGGACUGAUGAAUGUGCCAAGGCAUUCAAGAACCUCAAAGACUACAUGAGUAAAGCCUAUCUGCUCUCCAAAUCUAAGGUUGGUGACACUCUCAUUAUCUAUCUUUCGGUAUCGGCUUUAGCAGUAAGUUCCGUUCUCAUUCGAAAGAAUGGUAAUGUCGAACGACCUGUCUAUUACGCUAGCAAGGCUUUACAAGAUGCAGAGACAUGAUACUCCAACAUUGAGAAAUUGGCUCUAGCAUUGGUCAUGUUUGCUUGAAAACUUCGCCCUUAUUUCCAAGCACACUUCAUCAUCGUGCUUAUCAAUCAUCAUCUUUGACAAAUACUCCAAAGUCCUGACACUUCGAGGCGAAUGAUAAAAUGGGCGAUAGCAUUGGGUGAGUUUGACAUCGCCUACCAACCAAAGCCAGCUGAGAAAGGCCAAGCAGUGGCAGACUUCAUCGCCGACUUCACAUAUCAUGUUGACAUGGUUUCUUCGCCUAAAGAAAUGGUUUCAUUACCCUCAGAAGCUCAGAAAAUAGAACCAACAGCCCCUGCAUGGAGUCUAUAUGUUGAUAGCUCGUCCAACCAAUAGAGUUGUGGAGCAGGACUAGUCCUUACGACCCUGACAAAGUGGCGAUGGAGUAUGCUCUUCAUUUGAAAUUCAAGGUGUCAAACAAUGAGGCGUAAUAUGAAGCCCUCUUAGCAGGCUUACGUUUGGCCAAACACCUUGGGGUUAAACGAAUUGAUAUCUUCAAUGACUCCCAAUUGGUGGUUAACCAAGUCACCAACAACUUUGACGCUAAGGAUAGCUCUAUGGCAGCAUAUCUGGCACAAACACAAUUGUUGCUCAAGCACUUCCACUACCAGAUCACCCAAAUUCCUCGAGCGGCAAACAGUUAUGCAGAUGCUUUGGCUCGCCUCGCCUUAGCGGUGGAAGACAAGAUUGGGAGAAAAAUUCAGGUUGAAUUGUUGGCAGCACUAAGCACCAUGGCUGCGGAAGUGUGCAACUUACAAAGUCCGAUUUAUACAUUCCUUGCUCAUGACACCCUUCCAAAUGACAAAGUCCAAACUAAGCAGAUUUGAUACAAGGCUACCUGUUACUUGAUCAUUAAUGAACAACUCUACAAGCGGGGUUUUAACCUACCAUACUUAAGAUGCCUUACUACCGUAGAGGCGAAAAUUGUCCUUUGGGAAAUACAUGAAAGAGUCUGCGGAGAUCAUGCUGGAUCUCGAUCCCUAGCACACAAGGCUUUUCUCCAAGGAUAUUACUUACCAACACUCCACCAAGAUGCUAUCAGAAUAUCUCGCUUAUGUGAUAAGUGUCAACACUACGCAACUAUUCUUCACUCCCCUCCCUAGCCGCUCACUCCUAUGAUCAGCCCUUGGUCCUUCGCCCAAUUGGGACUUGAUUUGAUCGGCCUAAUGCCUGCAGGGAAGGGUAAGGUCUGCUAUGCAAUUGUUGCAGUUGACUACUUCACAAAGUGGGCUGAAGUAGAACCCUUGGCAACCAUUACUGAGGCAAAAAUAGAAGACUUCGUAUGGAAGAACAUCCUUUGUAGAUUCGGUAUUCCCAAUGUGAUAGUCACUGACAACGGGCGACAGUUCGACAACAAUAAGUUCAUGAUGUUUUGCUCUAAGUUCAAGAUCAACUUAUAUUUUUCCUCCCCAGCUCAUCCCCAGUCUAAUGGACAAGUCGAAGCCAUCAACAAAAUAAUCAAGUGAACUUUGAAAACUAGCUUGGAUAAGGAUAAAGGUUGUUAGCCAGAAUUUGUACCCCAAGUUCUUUGGUCAUACCGCACUUCGUAUCGAACAUCAACAGAAAAAACCUGAUUCUCACUUGCCUUUGGUACAGAGACAGUUGUCCCUGUUGAGCUUGAGCAAGCAAUGUUCCAAGUCCAGAACUACGUGCAAAGCGAAAAUGACAAACAACUUACCCUAAACUUAGAUCUAGUUGAGGAACACAUAAACCACGCUCACUUGAGGAAUGUCGUCUACAAGCAGUGUAUCUCCAACUACUAUGACUCAAGGGUCAAACCUCGUUUUUUCAAAGUGGGGGACUGGGUACUGAAGAAAAGAUUACUCUGCGACAAAGUCCUGAGUGAAGGAACACUUAGUCCAAACUGGGAUGGACCGUUUGAAGUUGUUGGCAUCAGUCACCCUGGCUCCUACAAGCUUAGAAGCUCCGAUGAUAAGACCUUUGGCCAUCCAUGAAACGCUGAUCACUCGAAGUACUAUUACAACUAAACUCACAUUGUACAAGUGUUAAGCUUCAGCCGUUUGGCAUCCUAUGUAACGAAGAUUAUUUGGAAUGAAUUCAAUAAAGAGGUGAUUUAGACAAAUCAGUCCUAAUCCUCUUACAUUCCUAGCAAUGAAGCACUCGGGUUCAAAGCUUCAACAUGAAUGUUUCCAACAUGAAACAAAGUCUAAGUAUACGUUAACAAGACUAUACAAAUAAACGAAUAGCUUCACAGUAUAUUCGUUCAAUCAUACAUUCCAACACAUUCAUACAUAAGCCAACUGUGCUUCGAAAGGGUUCAACAUACUUGGUGUCAUUCGACACUUGCUACAAUGUGCCUUGACACCUUGCCCUUAUUCUCACCAACCAGGUGAUGAAAUGUGAAGAAGGAACUCAUCUUCAUACCACCAACCAGGUGAUGAAAUGUACAACCCGUACUCUCUUUCAUGCCACCAACCAGGUGAUGAAAUGUACAACCCGUACUCUAAUAUCAUUUGGCAACUUGUCACUCAUGCCACCAACCAGGUGAAGAAGGAACUCAUCUUCAUGCCACCAAUCAGGUGAUGAAAUGUACAACCCGUACUCUCCUUCAUUCCAUUAACCAGGUGAUGAAAUGUACAACCCAUACUCUAAUAUCAUUUGGCAACUUGCCAUUUAUGCCACCAACCAGGUGAAGAAGGAACUCAUAUUCGUGCCACCAACCAGGUGAUGAAAUGUGAUGAAAGGUGAUGAAGGAACUCACAUUCGUACCACCAACCAAGUAAUGAAAGUAACUCACCAUUCAUUCCACAUACCAGAAGACGAGUGGUACAAUUUGUACAUGUGAACUCCUAACAUUCACAAAUAAUAAAAAACCUUCAAGCUUGACAACUCAACUAGGGGAGCACUUAUGCCCAACAAGAAUUAUAGUCACCAACAAAGUCUUAUUGCAAGCCAACAACAACUUCAGUGCAUGACAUACGAAGAUCAAGCUAUUCAGCCCGCUUGCAUCUACUUUAGACAUUUCUCAUUUGUAACAAUGCAACACUACAACUCGUAGAAAGCUUCACACACUCUUGAUCAAGACAGUGGGAAGCAAAACCAAUUUAUAGUGCCAACAAGAGCUUCAUCAAAUGAGUUUAACCAUAAUUCUCAAAAGUUUCACACUCUUGAUCAAGAUAGUGUGAAGCAAAACCAAUUUAUGGUGCCAACAAGAGUUUCAUCAAAGGAGUUCAACCACAAUUCUCAAAAGCUUCACACACUCUUGAUCAAGACAGUGUGAAGCAAAACCAAUUUAUGGUGCUAACAAGAGCUUCAUCAAUGGAGGGCAACCACAAUUCUUAAAAGCUUCUCACACUCUUGAUCAAGAUAGUGUGAAGCAAAACCAAUUUAUGGUGCCAAUAAAAGCUUCAUCAAAGGAGUUCAACCACAAUUCUAAAAAGCUUCACACAUUCUUGAUCAAGACAGUGUGAAGCAAAACCAAUUUAUGGUACCAACAAGAGCUUCAUCAAUGGAGGGCAACCACAAUUCUCAAAAGCUUCACACUCUUGAUCAAGACAGUGUGAAGCAAAACCAAUUUAUGGUGCCAACAAAAGCUUCAUCAAUGAAAGGCAACUACAACUCGUAGAAAGCUUCACACACUCUUGAUCAAGACUGUUCGAAGCAAAUUCAAUUUAUAUAGUUCAUCCAAACCUUCGACUACUACAAGGUAUGGCUUGCAUCACAAUCUCUUGCUCAACAGUGUGGAAGCAAAAUGUGUAUAUGUUGUCUCUCCCACAUUUUCAAAUUUCUAGUUUCCUUAAAAAAAAAAUUGGGAAAUUCAACAAAGCUUCAUCAAUGGAGGACAACUACAAAUUCUCAAAAGCUUCACACUAUCUUGAUCAAGAUAGUGUGAAGCAAAAUCAAUUCGUGGUACCCAACAAAGCUUCACCGCAAAAGCUUCACCAACAAAAGCUUCACCAAUAAAAGCUUCAUCAAUGGAGGACAACUACAAAUUCUCAAAAGCUUCACAUUAUCUUGAUCAAGAUAGUGUGAAGCAAAAUCAAUUCAUGGUACCCAACAAAAGCUUCAACUCCAAAGCUUCACCUACAAAGCUUCAACUCCAAAGCUUCACCUACAAAAUCUUCAACACAAAAGCUUUACCUGCAAAGCUUCAACUCCAAAGCUUCACCUACAUAUCUUCAACACAAAAGCUUCACCUACAAAGCUUCAACUCCAAAGUUUCACCUACAAAAUCUUCAACAAAAAAGCUUUACCUGCAAAGCUUUAACUCCAAAGCUUCACCCUCAAAAGCUUCACCCACAAAAGCUUCAAAGUUUCACCCACAAAAGCUUCACCCACCACAAAAGCUUCACCUACAAAAGCUUCACCAACAAAAGCUUCACCCACAAAAGCUUCACCUACAAAAGUUUCACCCACAAAAGCUUCACCAACAAAAGCUUCACCUACCACAAAAGCUUCACCCAUAAAAACAUCACUAACAAAAGCUUCACCCAUAAAAGUUUCACCAACAAAAGCUUCACCCAUAAAAGCUUCAUCAACAAAAGCUUCACCCACCACAAAAGCUUCACCCACAAAAGCUUCACCUACAAAGCUUAAACACAAAAGUUUUACCUACAAAAGCUUCACACUAUCUUGAUCAAGAUAGUGUGAAGCAAAAUCAAUUCAUGGUACCCAACAAAGCUUCAACUUCAAAGCUUCACCUUCAAAGCUUCAACACCAAAGCUUCACCUACAAAGCUUCAACACCAAAGCUUCACCUACAAAGCUUAAUAUAUAUAUAUAUUUUUUUUUUUUCGAAAAUUCGGAAAUUCGAAAGAAAAAAAAUUGCCUAGGCCUCCUCUUGUUUGGGCCUAACAACUUUCAUAACAAAUAUAUAUGAAGGAGGAGUUUUGGGCUACCACUUAGAAAGGAAAUGCCUCGUUCGUCAACUCCCUUGACCGGACAUUGAGGGACUCCUACCAUAUGUUACUGCACCUUGAUACUCGGAAGUCUCACGACCACUCAGUGACUUGGAUUUUUGAAGUCUCCAACCGAGAAGUUUUCCUCACUUGGGAAAUUAAGGGAGCACUACCUCAACAUACAUGCUUCACUCACAAAACUUCAACAUACAAGCUUCAACAAAAGAAAAAAUUCAAAGAACUUAGUGAAGAAGCCUUGGUGUAUUUAACACAAUACGUUGAAAUGAAGCAAAACUUGUUUAUUAAUAUCUCUAAUAAGUUACAAGUAUGUACAUAUACAUGAAUCAAAAUAAACAAACAAGAGGGAGCCUUCACAAAGGUUGCUCAGGAGAAGUCUUAGCAGUUGGCAGAGCCCCAAAAAGAGGAGGCACCAGAGGGUGAUUAUUCGGAGCCUCAGUACUGGGCAGAACCCCAGAAGGAGGAGGCACCAAAGGUUGAUCAUUUGGACCUUCAUUACGAGAUACAGCCCUAAAAGACGAAGGCAAUAAAUGCAUUUGGAACAAACCCACAAACCUCUGAUGAUCAAGUAAAAUCUGACCAUCAGAUUCUUGCAGCUGGUCGAGCUUCCUCUUCAUGUUUGUAGCAUAGUCAUGUGCGAGCCUGUGCAACUGUUUAUUCUCAUGCUUGAGCCAUCUGAUCUCCUGUUUGAGACUUGGCGGGUUCGAGCAAAUAGGCAUUGAGCCAUAUUAGACACAAAACCUGCACACUGAACACUAAGAGCCAGAGAAUCCUUAACAACCAACUCAUCAGAUUGUUUGGAAAAUAGUCUGUUAUCUUUGGGAGUGAGAAGGUUCCUGGCCACCACCGCAGCGGUCAUAUCAUUCUUCAUCAUAGAGUCCCCAACGGUAAGAGGACCAAUAGGGGAUAAGAAGGAUUGGCGCCAUAUGUUGUCUUGAGAAGGCAUGACUGCCUUUUCACCAAAGUUCAAGUCAAAACGAUGGUCGGAUGGGCCAGACAUUCUCAGAAAUGAUGAAGGAGAAAUGAGGUGCAAUAAAUCUCUGAAGUACAAAAAUAAGGGGAAAAUUCAUGCAAGCAAUAACUCUCUGAACGUACUUCUUGCACACAUUGGUGCCCCUAUAAAAGAAAGGGCAACAAGGUUGUUGGUUCAAAAAUCGAAGAGGCAUCACUCUCCAGAUUUUGAGAAGCAGAUUUUCCUGAGUAAAAUAUGUCGACAAUCCCCACAUGCAACAUCAGCUCCUCGGGUACCACAGAUAACUUUGCCAAAGAUCUCUGACAAAGUUUAGACACAUAAAUUUUGAAGGUCUAGCUACCCUACCAUUACCCACAAGGGUAAAGGAACAACACCACUGCUUGAUAACUGGAAAGUCCCUAUAUGUGUCAACCUCCGUGCUCCGUGGCAAGGUUGACUGGUAAAAAUGCCCAACCUUUACUCACAUUUGAGAAAACAUUCCCAACAAGAUUGCUUGCUCAAAUAUCGAAGAGGCACCGAUCUCCGAAUCUCAAGAGCCAAACUCCCAACAGGAUUACUUGCUCAAAAAUCGAAAAGGCACCGCCUUCCGAAUCUCGAGAGUCAGACUCCCAACAGGAUUACUUACUCAAAAAUCGAAGAGGCAUCGCUCUCCGAAUCUCGAGAGCCAGACUCCUAAUAGGAUUACUUGCUCAAAAAAAACUUUUUUGCUUUGUAACGGCAAUCUAAACUUUCAAUUUGUUGAUUGGAUACUUGAAGUGUUUAUGUUUAUGAAACUAAACCCUGCAUGCAGUCUGACAUGUGUAUGAGGAAACAGAAUGAAACUAACAUCACUCCUCUCAAUUAUGUUCUAAGAGAACAUAUUUAGGACACACCUAGGUGUUUAUUCCUUCCAAUAAUGUGCUCAUAUGACACAAUUGGGAGAAAUAUUGAGCACCAUGACGCUAGGUUAAUUCCAGUUCCUCCUAUAGAUGUCAGAUUGCAUUUAGGGUUCAAUCUAAGAAUCAUAAGACGCUUCAAGUCUCCACCAACAUAUAGGAAGUUUUAGAUUGCCGUUACAAAUCAAAGAGAGUUUUCCAUAAUUCAAGCCUAGAACACCCUCUAUAAGAACCUAUCUCAUUUCUUCCAUGUGUCAUCACAUAGUCCUAAGAGUUACAGCAAAAUAGCACCAAGAUAUACUCUCUUAAGACUUGUAGCUCUUAAGAUUUGUUAUGACACAUGGAAGAAAUGAGAAAGGCUCUUAUAGAGGGUAUCCUAAGACUUGAAAUUAUAGAAAACUCAUUUAGCUUUGUAACGACAAUCUGAAACUUUCAAUACGUUGGCUGGAGACUUGGAAGUGUCUUCUGUUUCUGAAACUGAAACCUGCAUGCAGUCUGACAUGUGUAUGAGGAAAUGGAAUGAACCUAGCAUCAUGAGUGAUUACUCCUCUCAAUGAGCACAUAUUUAGGACACAAUUGGGUUCUUAUUCCUACCAAUAAUGUGCCCAUAUGGCACACUUGGGUGUCAUAAUAAACACCCAUGAGGCUAUGCUUUUCCAAUUCCUCCUACAAAUGUUGGAUUGCAUGCAGGGUUCAAUCUGAGAAACAUAAGAUGCUUCAAUUAUCCAACCAACGGUUUGAAAGUUUUAAAUUGUAGUUACAAAGCAAAGAGAGUUUUCUGUAAUUUCAAGUCUAAGGACACCCUCUUUCAGAACCUAUCUCAUUUCUUCCACGUGACUGUCAUCACAUAAUCUUAAGAGCCAGAACAAAAGAGCACCAAGAAACACUCUGUGAUAAGAUGUAUUUGAUCAUAAUUCGAGCCACCAAUUUUUAGCUACUUGGAUGUACAAGUUGUCAUUAUUCUGGAACAAUCUCUUCUACAAUGGCAGAGAUCCGAAGUUCGAAACUGUGCGGAUAUGGACUACACUAUCCUCAUGUGAAUAUUCAUCACUUUAAAUUAUCUGAAUUCGGUAUCCGUUUCUAGCUCAUGGAAUGCAGCUGCUACAAUCCAACCCAUGGGAAAAAGUUGGACCUGAUUGUGCUCAAGAUUAUUUUGUUACUUGGACAUGCCAACAAGCCUUUGAGUAGUACGUAAGAAGAAAGGCCAGAAUAGAUGGAAAGAAGAAGAAAAGGCAUGCUCAAACAAAUAAACAAUGAGCAUACAUGGCAGAUAAGUCUCCUCUUUAAGCCAACUUAGGUUUUCAGAGGUGAAACAAAGUUUAUGUGCUCGAGUAUAUUCGUCUUAUUGGUUUCACGGUGAUGAUCCGCGCGCUCAUUUAUUUUUAUAAAAGGGGUGUAGUCAAAUUAGGAUUUGAUAGUUUUAAUGGAUUUUGAAAUCUGAGUGUGUUCAAUUAGGAUUUUAAACGAAGAUUUUAAAAGAUUUUGAAAUUAUGGUGUAGUCAAAUUUUGAUUUUAGAGGAUUUUAAAAAUACAUUGAAAUCCAAGGAUAGCCGAUUUUAAAUAAGUCUUCAAAUGUCUAGCUGUAGUGAAAAUACCAAAGAUUUGCUAGGAUUUUAAUGAGUGAUGGAUUUUGAUGGAUAAGAGGGUGUGUGGUAUAAAUACCAAAUGCCAUCAAGAAUUCAACCCUCACCCCUAGAUUUCUUUUCACUUUGUCGUGUCUUCGUUCAGCUCUUGAAGUCUAAGCGCUUCAACCACACUCUCUAGGUUUCAAUUUCUAUCAUUUUGCUCUUGUACUCGUGUCUUUUAGAAUUGUUCCGAUCAAGCUGAAAUGCUCCAACUAUCUUCCAUGGCGUGCGUUGUUUGCUCCGAUUCUCCGUCGCUACAAACUCAUUGGCGUCAUUGAUGGCACAAAACCGUGUCCUUCUCCUCUGCUUCCAUAUCAUUCAAUCAAUCCGGCCUUUGAACUUUGGUAUGAAAAAGAUUGCAAUCUCCUCAUUUGGUUAAAUUCUACGCUUUCUGAAGAAGUUAUUCCAUUUACUGUUAGGGUUUCAUCCUCUCGCAAUCUGUGGAUUAAAUUGGAGCUGUGAUUGGUGGUGUUUCUGAUGCACAUAUUCACCAAUUGGGAUCUCGUCUUCAAUCUCUUCAGAAAGGAUCUUUGUCAAUUUCUGAAUAUCUCCAACAAAUCAAAGAGAUUUCUUAUUCAUUUACUGUUGUUAAAGCUCCUGUUACCGAUCGUGACUUCAUUGCAGCUACCCUUGUUGGAUUACCAGAUGAAUUUGAGACGUUUAUUGAUUCUAUCAUGCUUCGUCUUUCUACCACAACACUUGAUGAAUUGCACGGUUUACUUCUCACCAAGGAAUUUUCCUUGUCUUGAAGAAAGAAACUUGCUUCCUCCAAUGUCACAUAACCAUUUCAAGCCUUUUCAAUUCAAGCUCAGGCCUCUCAAGCUCUUAUUCUUCCUGCACUGCAAGUCUUGGCUGCUCAGUAUUCUCAAUCACAGAACUUUGUGAAGCACAAUCGUGGUAAUCGGGGCAAUAACUAUAACAAUCGAGGCCAUAGUUACAACAAUUGUGGCAGUCAUGGUUCCAAUUUUAAUUCUAGAGGUAACAAUUUCAAUCACCGUGGCAAUUCUCAUGGCUCUCACAAUUAUAAUCCAUAUGGUUAUCGUAUACCAUGUAAAUAUGUAGUUCUACUAGUCAUAAGGCUAUCGAUUGUUAUGAUCUUAUGAAUCCUGAUAUUGUUGGUAAAGUACCUUCUGCAAAGUUGGCUGAGAUGUGUGUUCAUCAUUCAAUGAAGCCUAAUACUCCAUCAUGGUUAAUUGAUUCUGAUGCCACUUCUCAUAUUACAAAUGACAUCUCCAACAUUCAAUCUCCCAUCUCAUAUCAUGGAGAAGACAAAGUAUACAUUGGUGAUGGUAAAGGUCUAUCCAUUGAUCAUAUUGGUUCAUUUUUGUUGCAUAAUCCUUACUCUAGGGGUGGGUUCAAAAAACCGAAAAUUGAAAACCAAACUGAACCGAAGCCGAAAAAAAUCGAACCGAAAUUGCCAAACUUGACUGCAGGCUUUGUGUUGUUAUAAAUGUACUAGCAAGUUAUUUAUAGUUUCUAAUAUUUAAUUCUUUAUAAAAUUUCUUAACUUUACAAACCCUAGCCAUCUCACUCCCAUUUCAGCUUUCACCUUUUCUCAAACCUUCGCUCUCCCCAUCUGCUGCUUCAUCUCUACCUUUGCUUCCUCAGUCUCUCUCUCUCUCUCAUUCCCUUCUUCCUCCAAAUCACUCUCUCUUUCCAGUCUUCACCUAUCCUCCUCGUGGAUUCCUUCUUCCAAACCAUGAUUUUCACUCGCCCCUUUCGAAUCAGAACCCCCUCCAAAUUGGAAGAUUCUAAUCCGAGUUUUCUAUUCUCUCACAGGUAAUUUUUGAAUCAAAAUGAAUAUGAUUUAUAUUGUGAUUUUUUUAAUUAAAAUGGGUUUUUGUUUUAAUUAUUUUGUAGGGUUUUUCUUUUAAUUAUUUUCCCAUGGCUGAUGAGAAGUUUGGGACUAAAAACAAACCCCCAAGUAAAAAUCUCUCAUGGCUGCUAUUUAGUUCUAUUUGGUUUAUUUUCAUGGAAAAAUCAAAGAACUAACACAUGCAUGUGUUUUCUCUACAAAAGCUCUCGAAUCCACCACAAGAAAGACUCAUCGACACCCAAUAAUGUCAGAUCCAUGGCCGAUCGUCCCAGUUCAUAUUCAUUUGAUGCAGAAGUUUUUGCAUCUUCAGUGCUCAUUCGUUGCAGAUUUUGUGCCAAAUUAAAAAAAAAAUCUUGGAAAAAAUCGAACCGAACUGAAACUGAACCGAAAAAAAAUUUAACUGAAUCGAAAUUUCGAUUUGGUUUCGGUUUUGGCUAAAAACCGAAGUGUUUCAAACCGAACCCAGCCCCACCUUACUCUACAUUUCAGUUGCACAAUGUUUUACAUGUGCCUCAAAUGCAACACAAUCUUCUUUUUGCUUAUCAGUUUAUUAAAGAUAAUAAAUGUUCAUUGACUCUUAAUAUUGAUGGAUCCUAUGUCAAGGAUUGUACUACAAGGAGGAUGCUUCUGCAAGGACCUGUUAAGGAUGGUUUCUUCCUACUACAAGGCUCCCCUACACUCUGUCAUUCUUCAGUAUCUUCUCCUACUGCAUUACUCAGUAAUAAAGCCUCUGUCAAAGUGUGGCAUAGCAGACUUGGCCACCCUUCUUCUUCCAUUUUCAGAAGGGUACUCUCCAAUAGUAAACUUGCACUUCAAGGAAAAUCUACAGUGGAUUUCUUCUGCAAGGACUGUGUUUUAGCCAAGAAUCAUAAACUUCCUUUUAGUAGUACUAGUUCAUUUUCUUCCAAAUGUUUGGAUUUGUUGCAUUAUGACUUAUGGGGACCCUCACCUGUGUUGUCUGUGAGUGGUUAUAAAUACUAUCUGUCAUUGUUGAUGAUUUCAGUAGGAAUUGUUGAUUUUUUUCCUUGAAAUCAAAGGCAGAUGUGUACUCCACUUUUGUAAACUUUCAAUGCUAUGUAAAAAAUGUUCUUGGCAAUAAAAUCAAAAUUGUUUGAUCUAACUCAAGGGGUGAAUUCAUUGGUAAUUAGUUUCAAUCUUAUCUUAAGUCUCAUCGUAUUUUACAACAAUUCAGUUAUCCUCAUACCCCUGAACAAAAUGGUUGUGUUGAGCGCAAACACAGACAUUUAGUUCAAACUGCAAGGACUUUGUUAGUUCAAUCUCAUGUCCCUCAUCAAUAUAAGUUGAAGCAUUCUCAACUGUUGUCUAUUUGAUUAAUAGACUCCAUAUUUCUGGUAAUCUAAAGUCUCCUUGGGAAUUUCUAUUUCAGAUUCAUCCAGAUUAUUCAAGGCUCAAAGUAUUUGGAUGUAGCUGCUUUCUAUGGCUCAAACCUUACAUCUUAUCCAAAUUGGAUAGUAAAAGUAAACAUUGUGUUUUCUUGAGGUACAGGUGCUUGGAUCUACUCACUCAACGCAUUUACAUUUCAAAGCAUGUCAUUUUCAAUAAAGCAGAAUUUCCCUAUCAUAAGAUUAUAACUAUUGCAUCUAUUACUUCAUUAACUUCAUCAUUAUUUUCACCUAUUAGUCUUGGGUUUACCAUUCCUCAUUUUGCUCCAUCUUAAGCACCAAUUUCUCAAGUGUCUACUUCUCUUACAAGUAAUCCUCUUAAUGAUGCAUCUCCACUACUUGAAGAUCUUGCAUUAUCAUAAAUGUAGUUUCUUCAAUUGUUCCAGUUCCCCAGGUUGUUACCAAUAUACAUCCAAUGGUAACUCAGUCUAAAGCAGGAGUCUUUAAACCAAAAGCUUACUCAGCAACUAAGCGUCCAUUGCCAUCUUCAAUUGAUCAUGUUUCAACUAUAUAUAUUCAAGUAUCCAAGUUUGCACACUAGAGAACUGAUAUGCAAGAGGAAUUUAAUGCUUUGCAAUCCACAUGUACAUGGUCAUUGGUGCCUUCUACUUCUAAUCAAAAUGUUGUUGGUUGUAACUGGGUCUUUAGAGUCAAGAAACAUCCAGAUGGUAGCAUUGAUAGAUAUAAAGCCCAGCUUGGAGCCAAGGGCUUUCAUAAGCAAGAAGGAUUAGAUUACAAAGGAACUUUUAGCCCAGUAGCUAAACCAGUAACAACUCAGAUUCUUUUGUCUCUUGCUGUGCAAUAUGACUGGUUUUUUAAUCAACUUGAUAUUAGUAAUGCCUUUCUCCAUGGUGAUUUCAAAGAGGAUGUCUUUAUGACUCAACUUCCUGGAUUCUGUGAUCCUAAUUUUCCCAAGCAUGUAUGUAAACUCAAAAAGUCUUUAUAACCUCAAACAAGCUCCUAGAGGUUGGUUUGACAAGUUGUUAAACACUUUGAAGUCUUUUGGUUUGCAACACUCCAUUUCAGAUGCUUCUUUCUUUGUUCUUAAAGCUCAUGUCUUGGUCAUUGUUGUGGUCUAUGUAGAUAACAUUCUAGUGACUGGACCAAACUCAGAUGUUUGCAAACUCUUUAUUUAGAAGCUUAGUUUAGUAUUUCCAGUCAAGGAUCUUGGCCCUUUGCAUUAUUUUCUUGGUCUUGAAGUUCAGAUGACUUAUGAUGGUUUAUUUCUUCACCAAAGCAAAUAUUUGCUUAAUUUGCUUCAGAAAACGAAAAUGGAAGGUGCUAAACCAUGUACAACCCCUCUGUGUAGCAUCAAACUUGAUCAUACUGGACCACUUCUCUCAGAUCCUACAGAGUAUAGGUUUAUAGUUGGUGCAUUACAAUAUUUGACAUGGACUCGGCCUGAUUUAUCCUUUGCAGUUAAUCAAGUAUGUCAGUUCAUACAUGCUACAAGGGAAACUCAUUUGCAGGCAACUAAAAGAAUCUUAAGGUUUCUCAAAGGUUCUUUCACAUAAGGAUUAUGGUUAAAAAAUGGUUCAAUUCAUCUCUCUGCCUUCUCAUAUGUUGAGUGGGAUGGCUGUCCAUUUGACUGAAGAUCUAAAAGUGGUUAUUGCAUUUUGCUAAGAUCCAAUUUGAUUAAUUGGAGUACCAAGAAGUAAUCCACUGUUGCUUGUAGUUCCACAGAAGCUGAAUAUAGGUCAUUAGCUCACUAUUGAUGCACAAAAUCGGUGAAGACUUUGGUACAACAGAAAGUGUUAAGUUUGUAACCUUCGCUAGAUUGCUCCGGUCACUAGCAUGGAUAAGUAUGUAAAUGGAUAGAGACAGGGAAACAAACACAAGAUGUACGUGGUUCAUCUAGAUUGGCUACGUCCACAGAGUAGAGAAGUUCUCAUUAAUUGUGAAAGGUUUACACAAGUACAUAGGUUCAAGCUCUCCUUUAGUGAGUACUAGUGAAUGAUUUAGUACAAAUGACAUUAGGAAAUAUUGUGGGAGAAUGAUCUUCUUUUAUAGAAUAGGGUUUCUAGCUUUGUUUUGACAUUAACACGUGUCGUGUUAUAAUUGGCUUCUGAUGUUGACACGUGUCGCGCUAUGGUUGGCUUCUGAUAUCGACACGUGUCACGCUGUGAUUGGCCUCCUGGUUGGAAGGAAACUCUUCUGGGUCUUUGACGGUAUAACGUUGACCGGUACUCGGUAGUUUUGGGAUUGGUCAAGUAUGGUACAAACACUCACACUACUGCAGAAAUCACCUUGAUUUGCAAAGUUCUUAAUGAUAUUGGUCUACCACUUCUUAAAGUUCCUGAUUUAUGGUGUGAUCACAUCUCUGCCAUCUCAUUGGCAUCAAAUCUAGUAUUCCAUGCUUAAACUAAGCACGUAGAAAUUGAUUAUGAUUAUAUCAGAGAGCUCGUUCUUGCUCAUUUGAUCGAAGUCCAAUAUGUUUGCAGUCAGGAUCAACUUGCAGAUAUUCAUACUAAAGCUUUGACAAAACACAGAUUUCAAUAUUUGCAGUCCAAGCUUCCUUUAGGUUCUUUCAGCACCAAGUUAAGCUUAAGAGGGAGUAAAGAGUAAUCAAAUAAUAGGUGAAAUGUUUUUUCUCUUCUGUAUAGUUGUUACACUUGAUUAUGUAAUUGUUAGUAUUUGUAACAACCCGUUCCAGAAUUUAAUAAAAAAAAAGAAGGUAUUUUUGUAUUUUCACUAAGUUUGGGGAUAUUUUCCUUUUAAAAAUAGUUUUUGGGUCUUAAAUGAUGUGCCCAAGGGACCCACCCCUGAUUUGUCCUUUGGUUCCUUUCCCAUUUUCUUUAUUUUUCUGAUUUUUAUAACUCUCUCUCUCUUUCAGCUCUUUCCCCCUUUUCUCCCUUUCGAGCUCAUCUUUUUCUCUCUCGGACUCUUUCCCGAUUGACACCCAUACACACACCCAGUCACCAACCACAACCCAUACCACCUGAGCGUGGAGACGUUGAAACCCAGGACCUGAAGGCGUGAUACUCCAACAGUGGCAGUGCCACUGUGCAUCUUCAUCCCUAAACAAACUCCGACGAGUUUGUAUCACCUCUGACUUGGGUAAGCUUCGAUAACACUCUAAACCUCCCCAUUUUUAUCCUCAUAAUUCAUUUCUGAUCAUAUUUGUAUGUUUUGGUCGUCGAAACUACGAAGAAAAAUGUCGAGGAGACUUCCCCAAAUUCCGGCAAAGAACCAGUCACUUUCGAGCCAAUUUCCAGACAAACAACGGGGAGUUGGCCAACGUGCAAGGUAUCAAUCUCUUCAUCUCGCUGAGUGCUACAACUUUCAUUUUUGUUUUACUCAAUUUGGUUGAGUAUUGAAGAAGUUAUAUCCAUUUGAAUCUUACCCAGUUUUCAGCGACCUCCGCGGCUUUCGAGGCUUUUUUUUUCAGACAAAACAUGGUGAGAUAGAUGUCGUGCGAGGUACCAUUCUCUUUGUCUCUUCAGGAACUAUGAUUUUUGUUUUUGAAUCACUCAAUUUCAUUGAGUAUUGACAAAGUUAUGAGCGUUUAAAGUUUGUCUAAUUUCCGGCCGAAUUUCGGCCUUUUCCUUUGAUUAGAUCCAGUGACCUCCAUGCCAAGAAGCCAGGCCCUCGAGCCUUUUCUCAAAACACUAUGGGCCUUGGGCCCUUUAAGCACUAACCCAACCCUUUUUAGUUUUGUUUUUAAUUAAUUAAUUUAUUGGGAAUUUAAUGAAAAACUCAUGGUAUUGUUCACUUUAACGAAAAAUUACAUUUUUACACUAAAAAGUCAAUCAUAGUAUUACUCAUUUCACCCUUUAUUUUGUCCUUAUCGUUAAAACUCAAAGUUUUCAAACCAUUUUCAUUAUUUUUCCUUAAUUUAUUUCUUAAUUCCUUUUAAAAAAACCUAGGCCCGUGUGCCCUAAAGAUCCAAGCCUUUAAAGGUUUAAGGCCUUAGGGCCGUCUCUCUCUCCUUAGGCCUUUGGCCUUGGGGCCGGGCCCUAAACCAACUUCCCAAAACCCAUUUCAAAACCCCUUAGCCCAUUUACCUAAACCCAACCCAAUUUCCUAAUUAUAAAACCCAAUACCCAAACCCUUUUUAAUUAUAAAACCCCUUAAGCCCUUUUCCCCAAACUCAACCCACCUAUUAACAAAACCCUUAACCCUUUAAAUCCAAGACCCUCGGCCCAACCCAGAUUCGGACCCAAUGGAAUAUUCUGGAACAUUCUGAGGAAUAUUCCUGGAAUAUUUCCAUGUUGACUUUUGUUGACUUUUUGAAAAUUUAACCGGGACCCUUCUUAGGGUAAUUCAACGUCCUGAAUCCAUUUUUGACAUCCGUUUCCUCAAAUUCAAUUGAUAUCAUAUAGUUUUAUUAAUUGGGUAUGGGCAAUUAUUGUGGCGUUUCCGUCUUCGCUAGUUUGCGCGGCUCUUCAGCGGCGAAGUAACUGUGAGUGGACUCCUUCUAAAAAUGCAUGUUUUAAUAGUAGAAAUGCAUACAUGGAAAAGCAUGAUUUAACAAUUAUGUUCUAUGAAACACUUUGAGAUAACAUGCUUAUUGAGGCUAGUUUGAAUUAUUAUUAUUUUUCCUAUAACCCGUGUUCUUAUAGAAUAUCUGAUGGACGACGAUAUAAUAUUUAGAACACAUUUGGAACACCUCUUUAUAGUAUAGAUGAUGGAUGACUUUAUACUAUGAAGUUGUUUUUCAAUAUAUGUAUGUUCAAUGGUUUUGUACUUACCCAGUGGUCUCUAUUUCGCUACGGGAUGAGGGAUAGAUUCUGGUCCAUCUCAGGCGACGGUUAUGAUGUUGGCAUAAGGCUUGAAGUGUUUUUCCUCUGGCUAUUAGCAUAGGGAUGGGGAGCUAGCAUGGGGCCUGGGGGUAAUUUUCCUCUGGCUGUUUGCACAGAGACGGGGAGUCGGCAUGGGGCCUGGAGAUAUAUUGGACAUUCAUUAGUGAUUAUUAUAUAUAUAAGUUAUGAUUUAAGACAAUGCACGACAUGCUAGGUUUCGGAAAACCUAUUUUAUCAUGAUAUAUAUGUGUUUUCAUAAAACCUGGGAGCUAGUAUGUUGAUUACUGUUCUAUAUAUAUAUAUAUAUAUAUAUAUAUAUAUAUAUAUAUCAACUUGGUCCACUCAUAUUUGUUUUGCGCCCCCUUCACGACUUAGAAUCGAGGCAUACAAUCCCGGCGUCAAGACACUUCCACAUCGGCAUCUUCGAGUCCUCUCGGUGUAGGACCCAUUCUUUUAUUCAUUCAAUUUUAUAUUAUUUCUUUUAGUAUUCUAGUUAGUUGUAUACUCUGAACACGUUCUUUAAAUACAUAUUUGUUGAUGCACAAAAUCGGAAGUCUUCGAACAACGUAAAUCCGACCGUGAAUCUACAAGUAAUGUAAAUAACACAAGAUGUAUCGUGGUUCACCCCAAGGUUUGGGCUACAUCCACACUAAUUAUAUAUUUAUCUGAAGGGUGAGGGGAGUAAGGGAGCUCUGUAAUGUGAGAGCUUUGAGAGGAUGAAAGAGCCUUAAGAAAUGGCCUCAGAGUUGGCCUUCCUUAAUGAGGAGAGUGAUGGGUCCUUUUAUAGAAUAAGGGCUCCUCACUUAUUACAUAUUUGCCCCUUCCUUUAUUACAUAAUUACAUUUAAGUCACCCGAGUAUUUAUACGAGAUAUAAAUAUAGAGGCCCUAAAUAUGGUAUAAAUAGUAGUCCCCCAAGUCUUCAGUUAAGAUAGUCUUUUGGCUGAAGACUUGAAAUUCAGUCCAUAAGUGGGCCAAAAUAACUAAAUGUUGUCUUGAACUGAUACUUGAUAUGAGGCGGUGCUCAAAGUGAAAUGAUGCUCAACUAUAAGUAGCACAUGUUGUGAGGCUUGUUGGCUUGUGGCUUAUGUUGCCUUGGUUGGGUAGGCUUGUGGCGCUUGAAGGUGAGGGAGUCCCUUUUAUAUAAUAAGGGCUCGCUCCUCAAUACAUAAAAUGAUGGGCUAGAGUUGAUGCUCAAGGCGAGGCGGUUGCUCAGUAGGCGGCGAUGCUCUCUAAUGGUGGUGAGGGAUUCCCUUUUAUAGAAUAAGGGCUCGCUCCUCAAUACAUAAGUGAUGGGUUAUGAGUGAUGCUCGCGGCGAUGCAGUUGCUUAGCUGGCAGCGUUGCUCUAUAAUGAAGGUGAGGGAGUCCCUUUUAUAAAAUAAGGGCUCGCUCCUCAGUACAUGAAUAAUGAGUGCUCUCUAAUGAAAGUGAGGGGGUCCUUUUUAUAGAAUAAGGGCUCGCUCCUUUAUACAUAAAUAAUGGGCUAAGUCCCCCAACUAUUUUUCCUGAGGCCCAGUUGAGGUCCAAUAUAUGGUACCUAAUGUAGUCCCUCCAGUUUUCGGUCAAUAGAGUCUAUUGGCUGGAGACUUCAAAUUGAAUCCAUGUAUGGGUCGAAAUGGCGGUUGUUCGAAUGCGGUAUUUGUAUACUCUGCACUGAAGCUUUGUAAGUGAAGCUUUGAAGUUGGAACUCUGUAAAUGAAGCUUUUGAAGCUAGAGCUUUUGUAGAUGAAGCUUUUAAAGCUAGAGCUCUGUAAAUGAAGCUUUUGAAGCUGAUUGACAAGAGUGAUGCUCAUGAAUGUUUAUGUUGAUUGACAUGAGUGAUGCUCAUGGAUGUUGUCAUGCGUGAUGUUCAUGAAUGUUAACAUGAGUAAUGCUCAUGAAUGAUGGUCAUGAAUGUUUAUGUAAGAAUGUCAUGAGUGAUACUCAUGAAUGUUUAUGUAUGAAUGACAUGAGUAAUGCUCAUGUAUAAUUUGGAGUACUGGGGGUACUUUUGAUCACCUGGUUGGUGGCAUGAAGGAGAGUACGAGUUGUACAUUUCAUCACCUGGUUGAUGGCAUGAAUGGCUAGUUGCCAAAUGAUAUUAGAGUACGGGUUGUACAUUUCAUCACCUGGUUGGUGGUAAUAACGGCAGGUUGUCGAAUAAUUUUGGAGUAUUAGACGUACUUUUGAUCACCUUAUUGGUGGUAAUAACGGCAGGUUGAUUUUUGGAGUACUGGGCGUACUUUUGAUCACCUGGUUGGUGCUAUUUUGGGCAUAUGAGCCUUCGCCCUCACACAACAUUCCAGCCCAUUUAUUUUGGGCUUUGCCUUUUUUUUUUUACCCUCUGAUGGAGUUUAUACAGAUGUUUCCAAAAGAUAAGGAAAAUAAAUUACAUCAUUCUGGUAGGGUGUUUAUUCCUUGCUUUUGCAGUGUUCCCAUGUGUCUCCCUUUUGCUUUCCUCCUUUCCACCACACCUCUCCCACUCAGUCUUUUUUUCUUUUUCUAUUUUGCUUUGCUUUUGCUGUCUUUUAGAAAAUGGCAGGCAAUAAUAACAUAGUUAAUAAUAUAAAAUCCUUGCUGAUCUUUCCAAGAGCAAAAGCAGAGUCUUCCUGGCAAAGACAAUAAUGAAAGUGCAACGAAUUUAGCUAAAGCAUGUGGAGUACUGAUUGAUCCAUUACUCCUUUACUGAGUUGCUUACGUGAUCAUCGCUCCUCAAUUGAGGUAAGCCAUAUUCAUCAUCUUCAUGCCCUGUUGGUGUCUCUGUCUUUGCCUUUUUGAGGCAUUGGAUUCCCUUGCUUGGCAAACAAAAGAGAGAAAGAGAGACUGUCAUUGUCCUUUUUUUUUUGUCUGGCAUCUUUCUGUCAUGUUGUGGCUGUAAGCAUGGGCCUGCAAGGCUUGGAGUCGAAUAUAGUUGGCAAGCCCAUUUCAUUGGGGAAAGUUACAACCGAUCCUGAUGGACCAAUCACCCAUCGAAUAGAAUCUAGAGGAAGUGUGAAAGCAUUUGCAGCCCCCUCCUGAGCCAUAUCUUCUUGAAAACCUUCAACCUAGCAUCUUCCUCCAUUUCUUGGCCAAUCUAAUAGUCUUAGUAACUUUUGUGGUAGCCGUAAGGGAAAAUCUCUUUGCGUUUCUUAUUACUGAUCUGCCCAUGUUGUUGUUCGCCUUCCAACCUAGAUGCGACACCUCCGGCCCCAUUCCCGCUCACAAACGACGCCGUCUCGUACCUGCCAUUCAUUGUCCCCCAGCUCUCCCUGCUCAUCGCUCGGUCCAAAUACACCACCACCCGAUGUUCUAGUUUCCCAAUCUUAACGUGGAGUUCGUUGACGAUUUCCUGGAUUUCCUUCGAUUUGACUGAAGUAGGGGGUAAGUCGGUGGCGGUGGGCUUGGGCUUGGCCUUAUGAGGGAGCGAUAGAAGGAGAGGAGGAAGAAGAUCAUGACUAUUAGAGAACCAACAAGGAUUCCAUGAUGACUCAGAGACGGAGCCUGAAGAUUGAUGUAGGUUUCGAGAGCUGCGAGUUCACAAACGUCGCAUCGUACAACGAUAUUGUGAAUACUAAGAGAAUGGCUCAGACAGUUCACUGCUUGGGUUGUGGGUUCCAUCGCAUUGGGUCUUCGGAGUUUGAUUUUCCUGCCAUCGGACUGGUGUUGGGAGAAAAGGGGUUUGUGUUGGGAGAAAAGGAUUGGGAAAGUGUUUGAUAGUUUUUUUAUAGAUAAUACACACAGAGAGGGGGACGAAGUGUUUUCUUGGUUUAGAAAGAGAUGGAUUUUUUGGAUUUCUUUUUGUUUUGAUUCCUGGGUUUUGCAGAUCCACAACGGAAGUGGAAAAUUGAGAGAGAACCGACACAACUUUUCGUAUCGAUUCCCACAGAUGGCGCCAAAUGUUGAUGCACAAAACCGGAGGUCUUGGAACAACGUAAAUACGACAGUGAAUCUGCAAGUAAUGUAAAUAACACAAGAUAUAUAGUGGUUCACCCCAAGGUUUGGGCUACAUCCACACUAAUUAUAUAUUUAUCUGAAGGGUGAGGGGAGUAAGGGAGCUCUGUAAUGUGAGAGCUUUGAGAGGAUGAAAGAGCCUUAAGAAAUGGCCUCAGAGUUGGCCUUCCUUAAUGAGGAGAGUGAUGGGUCCUUUUAUAGAAUAAGGGCUCCUCACUUAUUACAUAUUUACCCCUUCCUUUAUUACAUAAUUACAUUUAAGCCCCCGAAUAUUUAUACGAGAUCUAAAUACGGAGGCCCUAUUGAUGCACAAAACCGGAGGUUUUGGAACAACGUAAAUCCGACCGUGAAUCUACAAGUAAUGUAAAUAACACAAGAUGUAUCGUGGUUCACUCUAAGGUUUGGGCUACGUCCACACUGAUUAUGUAUUUAUCUGAGGGGUGAGGGGAGUGAGGGAGCUCUGUAAUGUGAGAGCUUUGAGAGGAUGAAGGAGCCUUAAGAAAUGGCCUCAGAGUUGGCCUCCCUUAAUGAGGAGAGUGAGGGGUCCUUUUAUAGAAUAAGGGCUCCUCACUUAUUACAUAUUUGCCCAUUCCUUUAUUACAUAAUUACAUUUAAGUCCCCCGAGUAUUUAUAUGAGAUCUAAAUACGGAGGCCCUAAGUAUGGUAUAAACAAUAUUCAUUAUUUUUAAAUUUAUAAGUCUUAUUUAUUUCUUUUUCUUAGCAUUUGCAUUCAAUAAAUGGUUUUCGUCACCCUCGGGUGUCGGCCAACACGUGUCUAUCCUGGUGUUCGGGGAAUAUCGGGAUUGGGGCGUGUCAGUAUUACUGAGGGUAAAUAUGUAAAGUGUUAGUUUUGUUAACACUGUAAAUACCAAGUGUAUGACUAAUUAUUGUUUAAUGAGAAAUACAAGUAUUACGGUUAAAAGUUUUCUUUCUCUAUAAGCUUCCUUUGUAAGUCUCAAUAGUUAGGUGAUAUUGUGGAAGCCGAGAGGAUAUUUUAUGGAGUGGGAGUCCAAUUGCUUUAGGUAUGAUAUUCGAGUCUCCGAUGUCCUUCUUGGUGCAUAUAUGCAGAAUGGAAUUGACUGACCAAGCUGAGGCAUUGCAUCUGCACACAUUGGAGAGAGGCGGUCAACCAGAUUAUAAGACAUGGGAGUUCCUUAUGGAAGGAAGGUUGACAAGCCAUAACAUAACAAGGCCAUUGGAGCGAUGAAAAAGGGGUUUAGUAUGUUGCAAGAUUGUCAUUGGAGACCAUCGGACAAUACUGUAAUGGCCUUUGCUGAUUAUUUCGAAAAGCAUGGGAACAUUGAGGAUGCCAAUUGGUAUACCAGAUUGUGCACUGAAAUAAAUUCGUUUUAUGUUGUCACUAAAAAAUUAUGCACUAAAAGAAUUCCUUUUAGAUUGUGCACCCAAAGAAAUCCUAAGAAAUUCAUGAAGGAAGUCCUUACAAAUUUAUAGAAAUCUAAUAAAAAUACUUGUAAAUCUGCCAAAAUCUAUAUAGAAUUGUAAAGUCUAUUAAAAUCCUUUAAAAUCUAUCAUUUGAAGAAAAUCCAUUAAAAUGCUCUGAAAUCCAAAUUGACUUUAAUGCUAUGGACUUGGUGGGGUUAUUUUUUUCUUCCUUCAAAGAAUCUAUAGUUUGUGUGUAAGUCCAUUGUCUUUUUGAGCACGAUAUUUUGUUGCCUUAUUUUUCAAGGUGAUAAAAAAAGGAACACGAUACAACUAUACUUGGUGGUAAUGGUGGAUGCACAUAGGGACUAGGGUGGUACCAUGACUCACCAGAUUUUCGAAAAAUGCCAUUGAAGGUCCUCUAAGAAUAUUUUGAACGCAUGGUACGAGACUCCUUUGUGUCCAUAAAAUGUUCAAUAAAUUACUUGUUUCGCAUAUCUCAACGACACUUGGGAUCCCCUAAAUUAGGAUCCUCAGAUAAUACUGGAUCCACCAAUGGUUGGUGGUGUUCAAAGAAAAUGAAAAUGAGUGCCCAAUGACCAACUAUUUCCUUUCCUUUUCAAAGAAAAAACCAACUAUUUCUGAGAGAAAAAAGUUUAUUUGUCACCUUCCUUUGAAAACAGUCAUUGUUCAUUGUUAUUCACUAGUCAAUCAUAAUUUAACAUAUCUCCAUCAUUUAGUAUUACAAUGUAGUGAUUUUUUUCACUAGUAAGUAAAAAAUCUUAAUUUUCACUGUCAUAAAUAACAAAUUCGAUAUAAAUUAUCUCGAUAUAAAAGAAAUAUGUGUCUAAAUCAAGAAUAAAGAAUUACUUCUUUUAUAUGCCUAGCUUCCUUCUUUUUUUCUUUUUUUGUUGUCGAAAAACAAGAAAUGAAUUGAAUGAGAAAAGUCCAAUACAAUGACAUUAAACUAGCCUAAUAAGGUGGGGAUAACUGAGACCUACUCCAACCCUUGAAGUAAAACUCAAAUUUUAGGUUCAAAACUUUCUCAAAUUGCUCCAACCUUUGGGGCAAAUAUGAGUUUUAACCCAAAACUCAUUUAUGGGGCAAAUUUAGCACACGAUUCCCCCUAGGUUAGUGGGGUUGACCCAUCAUAUAUGUGUGGUUUUUUUUUAGUUUUAUAUUUAUAAAUUCAUUGAAUCCAACGACUAAGAUCUAAUAUGAUCAAAUACAACGGUAAAAGAAAAGAUCUAAUGUUCCAAAUUUAAAUCCAACGGCUAAAGUAAUUAAAAAAUAUAUUUUAGGUGUUUCAUAUUCUUUCAUAGUGGUCCAUGAGUUUCAUUGGGUCGGUUUAGUGAUUUUCAAUAUUUAACAUAAUCUAAAUAUUUUAAGUUAAAAUGGUCAUAAAAUUAAAAUAGGAUAGCCUACAUAAUUUUUAUUCUUAAAGUUACUUUAAGAAAUAAAUUCAUUCUUAACAAUGUCAGGCUAAAAAUUUAGCCCAUAAGGGUUAGAGAAGAAAAACUGUUUCCGAGUUAAAACCUAACGACUAAGAUCUAAUAUGAUCAAAUCUACAAGUAAAAGAAAAGAUCUAAUGGUUCAAAUUUAAAUCCAACAACUAAAGUAAUUAAAAAAAUUAUUAUAGGUGUUUCAUAUUCUUUCAUAAUGUUCAAUGAGAGUUUCAUGGGGUCGGUUUAGUAAUUUUUCAAUAUUUAGGAUAAUCUACAUAAUUUUUUUUUAAAUUUACUUUGACAAAAAAAAAUCAUCCUAAAUUCAUUUUUUAAUAAUAUCAGGCUAAAAAUUUAGUUCAUAAGGGUUGGAGGAGAAAAUUUGUUUCUGGGUUAAAACCUAAAUUUUUCGGCUUAAAAAUUUUUGGUUUUAACCUCAAGGGUUGGAGAUAGUCUAAGGUGGGGAUAACCAAUGGCCAUUCAACAAAAAGGCAGAAGAAAAAAUCCUAAUCUUCAACCGCAAAGGCUAACCGCUGUCACCUUUAUCAGCUCGCCAGCGAUCACAAAGGUAGCCACCCGAAAAAGAUUAAUUUCGCAUUGUAUUCAAUGAAAGUAUCCCAGUGCAAAACAAUUCAACGUGCAAUAAAAACCGCCACGAAGAAGAGCCAACAAAUCCGGACCACAAACACAAGCCCCUGCAAGUUGAACAAAAAGCCAAAACAAAUGGUAAGGGAUGGGGCUAAAGGGGCAUCUAAACACCGUCGCUUUGAUAAAAGCCGCGACAAACUUGGGCCCUGAUUUGAUGCAUGAAUAUUAAAUCUUCAAAGCUGAAACUCAACCCUUUAUUGUUAUGCUGAUUUAAGAACUAAAUAGUCAAAAUGGGGAGAUGAGAUUGGAUUAAGUGUAAGGAUAUAAUUUUUUUAUUUUAAUCUUGUAAAGAAUUAUCAAUUUCUUGUUAUAAGAGGAAUUUCACAUAUUUUCACCCAGUUUCACUUUUCUUUUAUUUAAUUUAAUUUUUAGCUGACGAGCCGGAUUUGGAUUAGAGAUUUUUCCUACUGACCCCAGUUCGGGCGUCACAAAAGUAGCCUUCGCCUCUAGUCGUCAUCUAGCCUAUGGAUAGAGGGCCCCACAAGUUAACUAAAAUAUAAAUUCAUGAUUACAUCAAUAAAUAGUUGGGUGCUAUUAUUUUUGUCUUGAAAGACAUAAUUAAUAUUAUUAUAUACUCCCUAGUGCUUAGCCCACAUCAAUUAAUUUGUCAAAAUGUUGUUCAGCCUUAACAAUUAUUUUACCUGUAGGUGAUUAAGUGCGUAAUUUUAUGACUAACUUUCAAAUAUAACUUAUUGUUGCCGACUGAUUGAGCAACGCUCAAACUUAUAACAGAGUUUCAGAAACUAAUUUAUUGUAAGCAAUUGAUUGAUUGACUCGCUCAAACUUAUGACGCAUGUGUACCCUUCUUCAAAUACUGCGUGAAUGAUACACAAAUUUCAAUACUUAUUAAUGGGAUCAUAUAUAUUAUAAAUCAGUUUGUAAAUAUUAUUUUUGAAAAAAAAAUCAACAUGAGCUAUGAAAUCUGUUGCUGGCUAUUGGCCCAUUUUCGUGAUUAUUGAAUUUGUUGAGAUACUUAAGCCUUAUGUAACGCUCCUGAGAGAAAAACAAAAGCCAUGUGUUGUGUCCUGGCACCUUGUCACCAGUGUUUAUGAUUGAUUAUUGCAAGUUGGGGCAUGAAGCUGCUACAUAAUUUCUCAUUACAAAUUGAAUAAUAUUAUGUCCAUCAAUGUUUCGUCAACCCUUGCGGGCAGCCCUUGGACCUUUCUGUUUGUCUUGCCUUUCCUCCACCGACCGCCUUGAAAAAAAGGUGUGAACUGAUGACGAUGCUCCCUUAAUUUGUCUUCCUUCUUGUGUGAACGCGUUGAAUUUUUGUACGCGGAAGGUAAAGGUCCUUGAGUUUAGAAAAUGUGAUUUUAAUCUUGGUUAAGAUUAUAGUUAGAAAAAUGUCUUAUGCAAAAUUAAAUAUUGAUUAUAGUUCCUGAUUAUACAUCCAUGUCAAUAUAUAUUAUCCAUGUCAGCUUUUAUUUUUAUGGGUGGUUUUAUUGAUUCUAUUUUCCCAACAUUGCCCUUAUGCGAUGAUGGACAAUAACAAAUUUUAAAUGCUGAGGUAUGAGUGUGCAGUUCUUGCUAAAUAUCCGCAAUAAACAAACGAACUAACUGAAUAUAAAACUUUACUAAAUGGAAUCAAGGUUCUAAAAAACGCUAGGCGCUAGUCGGGCGGCGGGCUAGCGCCUAGCGCCUAGGCGGCCUAGACGGAUUUAGGUAAAUUUAUUGUAUAUCUUGUAAAUAAGUGCAUAUUGACGCCUAAAAAAAACUAUACUUGUAUGGAUAAUAAAAUAAUGAUAAAAUGCAAAUUAGGUACACUAUUUCCAUAAGUAUUGGAUGAACUUGUAGUAAAUCCAUCAUUUGCAAAUUAGAUACACCAUUUCCAUAAGUAUACCACCAUGAAACCAAAAAAAGAAAAAAGCACGCAAUUAAUAAAAAAUAAAAAAUAAAAAAAAUCUCCUAGGACCGCCUAGCCCGCCUAACCCGCCUAGCCGCCCAGCCCGCCUAGGCCCAACCCGAUUUUUCCUCCCGAUUUGCCUAAAAACGCCUCGGUUGCUAAGCGCCCAGCGCCUAAGCCGUUUUUUAGAACACUGAAUGGAAUUGCCAAGAAGGCUACAUGAACCAAAAAACUACAUUUUGAUUGACUUAUUUUCUCUAAAUAACAAAGUUCUCUAUUUAUAAUAAACUAACCUUAAUCCCUAAUAAGCAAGAAAACGAAAACCUAAUUCUAAUUGGCUAAGCCCAAAUCUAAACUCUCUCUCUAUCACUUGCUAAAGAUCUAAACUCUCUGGGCAUGUACAGACCGAGGUGAGGUCCGAUUCAAGUGAAAUUUCUCCUGCAUGACUCCGCCAUUCACGACCUAGGUAAGAUUCGAGUCCAUCAUUUCCCUUCAUAUCGAUCAGAUAGCUUGAUUUCUGAGUUACCAUGUGAAAAAUAAACGUGUUUUGGUGCAGAACCACUGUUCUAAAAAUCCUCACCUAGCGCCACCUAAGCGCUAGGCGGUUGGCCACCGUCCCGAUUAAUGCCUAGGCGUUUGAAAAUUAAGAAAUGGCACCUAGACCUGUUGAGGCACCCACCUAGCCCGCCCAAACUCGCCUAGACACUUGCCUAGGUUGCAACUCACUUAGAUAGAAAAUAGAUAACUUUGCUUUUGCAUUUUAUUGUUUUCAAUAAAUGUAAGAGGCUUAUUAAACACUUAAAUAAACACACUUUAUAUGUUUAUUGCCCAUAUUUUUAUUAUGUUCCAAUACUUCAUAAUAUAUAUGUCAUUUUAUUUUCUAAUUUAUGAUGAAAUUAUAUAUAUUUUAAGUAUAAACAGAUACUUAUUUACACUAAAUACAACAGAUUUACUUAAAUCCGCCUAGCCGCCUAGGUGCUAAGCUCCAACCCGCUGCCCAACUACCAUGUUGGGGAUGAACUUCUCCAGAUUUUCAAGCGACUUUUGAGUCGUUUCCGGCCACGGUCGAGGAAACCAAAGGUAUAUUUUGAUUCCUUGUUCUCCGAGCUUCGAUUUGAUAAAUGGGAAGGCUAUAUUUAGUUAAGUAUUUGGGUUGGUCAGAGUUCCGGUUGCCGUUUCCCCAGAAUCUGGCGGUUGCAAUGGCAACCUGCAGGAGAAUAAGAAGAAGAAAAAAAGAAAAAAAAAGGGGCUUAUCUGGAUCCAUGGGCCUAAGUCCAAAUCCGACCCAAAACUUUAAGCUUAAGCCUUUGGGCCUUUGUCCCACCGGCCCAUUUUUGAAAUGGGCUCAGAAUAUUCUGAGAAUAUUCUUUGGAAUAUUCCUUGGGUUGACUUUUUCAGAAAUUUCUCGAAACCUUCCUAGGCUAAUUUCAACACCCUGAGUACGUUUUUGACAUCCAUUUAGUGAAAUUCCAAGGUUUAACAUGGUGACCACCGGGACGUCCUGGUUGACUUUUGUUUGGGUUGACCGUUAUAAAAAUUGUCUGUGACCUCUCUUAGCGUAAUUCGACGCGCUGAUUCCAAAUCCGCCGUCCGUUUCUCCAAAUUCAAUUUUUUUUAAUUGAGUUUUACUAAUGGGUCUCAAUAUUAUGCUUAGGUGCGAUUACUAUUAAAGACUCACUAUCCUAGUUCGAACGGUUGCAAUAUUGAAAGUAUCUGUGAGUGGGUCUUUGCUUUUAAAUAUUAUAUAUUUAUUUAGUUUCCAUUUAUACAUUUGAAAAAGGAUUUCCUAUGUAUGCCUAGAUUAGACUAAUGUUUAUAAGAAUUAGCGAAAUAACAGAAAUUACGAAAUUAUCCUAAAUCUUACGAGAUGCACAGGUAUGUGUACUUGAUGGGAUUUUAAUUACAGCCAUGAUUAAUAUUUUAUUUAUUAAUAUUAUGUCGAUGUGAAUUAUUGAUUUACGGUUGCAUGAUUAUAUUUACGUUAUUUGCUCAUCGUUGAUGCACCGGUGUUAGUACUUGCCUGGCCAGGGCCAAUGUUUCACUUGUAUGUGCACAUUGCACCGUACACUCACUUUGGAUAUAUUGUAGGUGCCAGUCAUGUCCUAGAUUGCUAUGGCAAUUAGGACUUGUAUGUACUGCACAUAGCGCCAGUUUUCACGUGAUUGUAGUACUAUAGCGUAAAUCAUUAUUACACCCUGUCAUGUUCAUGUCAGAAUACCUCUGCAUGAACUCGUGUGUCAGCAUGUGUCGAUGAGCACUCAAUAUGAUAUGUUUUCUUAUGCAAGAUUAUGUGAUUACGGACGCCAUGUGCGUACUUAUAAAAUUUGUGCCAUAUUGAUUUCUUAAGACUUUGCAGGCUACGGUAAGUAUUUUCUUACUAUACGUAGCAUUUAUAUUUUGGAAACUAUACUUGUUUUACGACAAGGGGUUAUUAUGUUUUCAAAAAGGUUUUUACAAAGCUUUGUUUUUAGGCCCAUUCAUCCUUGUUUUUUGCGCAUCCAGGUUGUAGUGCUGAGCUUUCGUAUUGACGAGAAUUCUUGGCAAAUCUUGGUGUUGGAGAUUACCUUCAAUGGUAAUUUUCAUCCAACUUUAUUGUACUUUACUUAUGCUUUGACAUCACGUGUGAAAUGGGUUCAUUCCCGCUCACAUGUGCACUCUUGUGUUUAGACACUUUUAGUUUUAAAUUUAUUCACCUUUUUCCACAUCACUUUAUGGCUUCAUGACCCUUCAUGUGUCGGCCAACAUAGCUCGAUUCAGAAUCUGUGGAUGCAAAUUUCUUCCUCCUUGAUCUUGGACAAAAUUGCACCUACAAAACAAAUCACACCUUAGGUCAAGGCCAAGAGCCUCACGCGUCCACAAUGAAUGAUGGGGGCUUUGGUCAAAGAAUCCCCGAUGCCAAAGUUAGAAUUUUGAGGGAAAAGUGUUUGAAGAAUUGUGUUGAAUUUUGCUAGAGAACUGGAAGUGAGUUUUGGAGAGAAUGUAAGGCCUUUUAUAGGGGUGUGGCCGGCCUCCUUGGGUGAGAAAGGACUGGCCACUUAGCUCUCUUUGUGGGCUAGGUUCUUGAUUUGUGUUUAAUUAGGUAUAAUUGAAUAAUUAACAAAUUAAUUAGCCAAUUAAUAGAAUAAUAGCCUAAUUGAUUAGCUAAUUAAUAUAAUAAAAAGGGAAAGAUUUGGGAGUUACCUUGUGGAGACAAUUUGAUGAGGAUGGAUGAAAUAGGUUUUGAAUUGUUACCUAUUUUAGGCACUUUUGACUUGGUUUAGGGAUGAUUGCUCGCUGCUCGCGCGUAGGAAUCCCAAUGUGCCUUAAGGGUAAUUUUGUCCCCUUUUACCCAAAAAUCCACGUGUCUCCUUGUGAUUAUUUUUGGCUCCACAAAUGCCUCCACACAUGCUGGGCUGCUCGCAGGAAAGGGUUGCAGGUGUAGAGAUCUUCUUACUUUAUGAAACUUAGGACUGUUUCCUAUUUUGAUGUAGAUUCCAUCUUUAAUAGAAAAUUAGAUCAUUCUAGGAAAGUGAAAUAAAUUUCUCUCAAAGCCUAUUUAAGUAUACCUUAAGUGGGUUAUUAAAUACACUUUGGAGAGUGAUUUAUUCUACCCUACAAGAGAGAGAGAGCUUAGAGGAUAUUUGUUCCCCCUCGUAUAACAAUCUUCUACAUCUUGCCCGUGCAAAUGAUCAUAUUUUGUUGCUUACUUCGUCUUCUUCUUGCUUCUAGGUAAGAAAAUUUUAUUUUUCUUGUCUUCAUAACUUUUUUUGAAAGUCUCGGGGCUUGAGAGUGACUCAACAGGGGUUGAGGUGGCUUGAAAUUUUUUUUGGAAAGACCAUGACAUUGUUGCCAUGGGUCAUGGUGUGUCAUUGGAUGGCUAGGCUCAACUCGGGCUGUGAGGAGGGAGAGGAUAUGAGGGCGUCAGUCCCCUGUCAGCUGAAUUUAGGCUGCGAGGCCUUUGGGCCGAGAGGGAUGGUGGGGGAGCCAGAGUGGGCUGGGCUCCCUUUUUUGCCUUUUUUUUAAAGGCUGGGCUUGGGCCCGUGCCUAAAGGAGAAAAGGAAGAAUGAAGCCGAGUGCCUCUUUUGGGCCGAGGGGCCUACUUGUGUUUUUUUUUUUUUUGAAGCAACCGUCUAAUGAAUUUUCCUUGCAACUUUGUAGAAUUUUUUCAAGCAUGUCUUCCUUGAACCUCAAGAAUGAUGAUUGUGUGCCGCCAUUGUAUCGUCAAGGUGGGUCUUUGAGCAAGGUUGGCUACUUCAAGGUUGUUCACAUCAAGAUUAGCUCCGACGACUUGUUUAGAGACUUCUUCGAAGCUUAUUGGCAUGCUAUUCCGUCGGGAGUGCGCGUGAAGUGUGUCAAAGAUGGUAGCAGCCAUGAGCCAUGUGAUGGGGCUUGGAGAGUCAUCAAGUUCCACCCCUACUAUUUUGUAUUGGGGUUUACCUUUCCUGUGCUGUGUUUUUUCCAAGAAGUACUUUGCUCCAUGAGAUGUGCCCCCGCUUAAUGUUCUCCGAAUGCGGUCCACGUGAUGGUGGGAUUCCACAAUUUAAACUAAUUAUUUGACUUAGAUCUAACCGUCAACACUUCUUUGACAUAAGUCACAUUGAGGGAGUUGGGCAGCUGCAAUUCCGCCAUAGACUUUUUGACAACUCGAGCAAGGGAGAUCAUGACUGGGCCAAUGAAACUUUGGAAGUGAGUGGAGAAUGGGAAUAUAACUCUUCCCCUGAGCUGCAUGUGCCAGGGUCUUCAUAUCUGGUAAGUAAGCUGCUUAACCUUUCGACUGCUUUGUACUUGUGCUAAUACUGCUUCUAUUUUUCUAAUUGCCUUCCGUUGCUUUUGUAGAUUCCGAGUUUGGCUCAACUUCUAAGACUUCUCCGGACAUGAGGAAAUUGCAUAUUGCUCUUGGUAUUCCCUCUAAGUAUCGUGAGUGGCGUUGGCUUCUUAGCCCUCUUCAUAGGGAGAAAGGUGGGUUGCCCCCGAGAGAAGAGAUAAAACGGAUCAAGGCUAAGGCGUUGGCUCGUUCUAUCACUCCGGUGGAGCCUACUGCAAAUAAAGGUGGGAAAAAGAUACCUUCCCUGCCUGCUUAGGAGACACCUGCUGAGAAGAAAUUGAAGGCUUCUUCCACUGCUCACAGAGGUUCACUGGCUGCUCAAGAGACGUCUGCUGAGAAGAAGUCAAAGAUUUCCUCCACUGCUCACGAGGAUUCACCGGCUGCUCCCAAACUUAUGAUUGAUUUGACCUCCUCCAAGGGCGAGAAAGAAGAGGUUGCUAGAUCUGUGCCGGUGACGCCUGCCGCUCUGAAGGUUACUAGUUCGAUUGCUGAUAUGAUUGCCCAGCAUAGAAGCUCAUCCGUGUCUUCGGUGCCGAAGUUUGUGCCAAAGCAUCCAUUUGGGGCUAAGUCUGGUUCACUUUUGGAGAUGCUUGCUAUUAUGAAGAAUAACAAGAUGCCCCUGCCUGUUAAAGUGGCGUCAAAACUUUUUCCCUCUGCUGCUGAAACCGACUCGUCUGCUUAGAAGAAGGAAAAUGCUUGAGAAAGCAGCUGUGAAAAAUCCACCAAGAUGGUUUCUGGGGAAAUUGCUGAGAUUUGUGCGCUUUUGAAGCCAGAUCUGCUUGAGGAUAUGGAUAUAUGUCCCAAGUUUGUUGAUGGUGUCAAGGAGAUUGUUCACCUCAGUCUCUUCAUGAAGCAUAUGUCGGAGUAUAGGAAGACUGUUUUGCUAGCCAUGAUGCAGAAAACAACGAUUCUGGCAGCCGAGUCUAUGUUCCUUGAUUAAGAGAAUACCAAGGCUACCAAGGAGGUGGCAAGAACUAUGGCAACCGAAGUUUACUCCUCGGCCGAGAAAGUCAAGAAAUUAGAAUCUGAGCUUGCUGCUUUGAAGAGGUCUAACAUCUAUGCCCCCACUUCUCCACAGUUUGAAACCACUCGCCAAAAGAUCGUGGAUUUGAAUACUAGGCUUGACGUGAUCCAAGUAAAGUAUGAAAUUGCAGAGAAGGAAAUCAGGUGUUACAUACCUCAAAUUCAAAAUCUUGAGCGCUCUAUCUCUGAAUUUCGCUCCGCUGCUUAUGCAAGGGAUAAAGAGCUGAUCGCUGCUUACAACCAAGUGAUCCACUUCAAAAAGGUCAUUGAUAGACUCAAGCCUCAAGUGUUAGAGCUUCAAGGUGCUUUAAAGCUCAACGAUAAUCUGAAGAAAAAAAUGGAGGAGCUACAGCGGAUUCGUGCUUGUCUGCUUAAGGAGAAUGAGCAGUUGAAGGGUGAAAAGGUUGGGUUCAAGGCUUCUUUUACUUAGAGUCAAGCUGGGUUAUGUGGACCAUCUCUUCGAGAGGCCGUUUGACUUUGAGUUUUCUGGUAAAGACUUCGAGACCUUCUCUAUUUCUCCGGAAGAUUUGCUCGCCUUCAUCUUUGAGUCUUCUAUUGGUGAAGGGGUCGGAGAGGUUGGUGCCCAAGUUGGGGCAGCUGGUGGGGAAGCAUCGGAUGGUACCGUGGCUGAGAGUGUUGCGGCUACUGAAGGUGUGACGACUGAGUAGUCAUGGGAUGUCCAAGCUACUGAAUAAUAGUCUUCUAAGUAGCCUUUAGGAUUUUCUUUUUUUUCCUUGUUGCUUUUGCUUGAACCUCUUUGAUCUUUGCUAGUUGUUUAUCAAUUUUGCUAGAAAAUUUAAUAAACUUGCUUCCCUUGCUUUUCUCCAUCUUCGCUUCUUUUGUUCAUACCUUUAACCUUUAGACUUUAUAGACCAAUGGUGAGCAUGCUACUUUUCUAUAAGCAGACAAGCUCGCGUAGCGUAUACAACUGUAGGUGUUGGUGUAGAACUUUGCAAAGUUAUUAACCAUAGGGUUGGCAACCGGAUGUCUUACUUACAGAAGCAGACAAGUCCGCGUAACCACUAGGUUGUUAACCUUGGCUUUUUCCAAUUUCAUAGGAUGCGUAGCAAGUAUCACAACACUUUAGGACUUGGUGUAGGUUGUUCCAUGCUUCGCAGAGGUGAAGUUUAUCGACUAUAUAGCAUGUCGGUAGUGGAUAGGAACUUCGUAUAUGCACGCUAGAUUGUUUAAUCUUUCACAAGAAUGUGCAGUUGUAUAAGUCUAAUGUGACUUUACUGCUUGAAGGGCAAGCCGUAGGCAGUCUUCUAAAAACCGUAGGCUACCUUAGUGCACUCGGUAAUAGCUUUAGUUUUCCAAGGCAUCCAUCUAUAGGGCGUAUUGGGUAAUGUGCCCCAUCUGCCUCUAGGGCCCGGUUCCCAACGAAUUAGGCCAAAAGACCCAUAAUCCUUCAGGUAACUAAGCCUUGAAAAAGACCAUUGUGGCUACUUUUAGGAAUCCCGGUGUAAGCCAUCGUGCAUCUAGUUAUACUAGGGUAGUCUAGCUCAUCCACGUCUGGAUAUUCGGAGUGUUAGUUUAUCCUCCCACUUUGGAAAGCAUGAUUGGUCUAUCGGGGGGUGCAAUUCUUGCGAUGAGUCCCUUAAAAGGGCGCGAUCUUCUUUUGAAAUGCAAGAGAGAUAAGUUGUUGUAGACAUAUAGUCGAGCCAGUUUGUAAAUUACUUCUUAAUUCCUCAUUAAAAAAAAUGAGUGAAACGAACGAAUAAUUUAGCUGUAAAAGACUGCAUAAUAAUUAGAUAGUCCUUGGUUUGCGAGGUGGUGCCCGUUUAGCUGAUUGAGUCUUCGGGUCUUGAUAUAGUGGGAGGUCAUACAUGGUACUUCCUCAGGUUAUAGGUGUUCCAUUGCUUUUCAAUCUCUUUGUCGUUCAUGGUGGCGAUAAUGUAACUAUCCUUGCCACCUACUCUGUUGAUCUUGUACGGACCUUCCCAUAUGGGAUCCAUCUUUUUGGAGCCUUCUUUACGGGCAGUGAUGAAGGCUCUUCUUAGGACUAGAUCUCCGAGUUGAAAUUGUCGAAUCUUUGCCCUUUUGUUAUAGCUGGAAAGAAGCUGGUGCUGGUAGGCUGCGAUGCGAGUGAUGGUCUGCUCUCACUUUUCCUCUACCAGAUAUAAGCUUGUGGCCAUCUCGUUACUGUUCCGCUCAACAUUUGGCAGUACAGUGUUAUUGCUUGGCACGAUAAUGUUGGGAGGAAUGGUUGCUUCCGAGCUAAAUGCCAAAGAGAAAGGAGUCUCACCGGUUGCUUGUCUUUUAGUGGUAAUAUGCCCAAAGACAUCCAGGGAAUUCGUCUAGCCAUUUUCCCUUCUUGUCAGUAAGGGAUUUCUUGAGGUAGUCAAGGAUUGUCUUGUUGGAUGCUUCAGCUUGCCCAUUGCCUUAAGGAUACCUCGGUGUGGACAUGUGUUGCUUGAUGCCAUACUUUUUGAAGAACUUCGCUAAAUCUUUGUCCAUGAAUUACGGGCUGUUGUCGGUGAUGAUGGACUGAUGAAUGCCAAAUUAACAAAUGAUGUUCCUCCAAAUGAACGCUAUAUAUCCAUAUGAGUCGUGGUUGUCAUGGGCUCUGCUUCUACCCAUUUGGUGAAGUAAUCGGUUGCCAAGAUCAUCAUGCCUCUGCCCCCAGUAGUAAGCGGCAUAGGUCCCACUAGGUUGAUCGCCCACUGUAUGAACGGCCAAUGACUCGUCUGCAGAUGUAGUUCGCUGGCAGACAAUGCAGGUACCGACUUGUAGCGUUGGCAGCAGUCGUACUUUUGUACUAACUCUUUAGCAUCUUGGUGCAUGAUAGGCUAGUAAUCGCCCGCGUUGAGAGCCUUUUGUGCUAAGGAUCGGCCUCUGGAAUGAUUUCCACAAACGCCUUCAUGGAUUGAGCUUAGAACCUUCAAGUUAUCAGGAGACGCUAGGUAAUAGAGAUGUGGUCCGGUGUAGGAUCUUCAGAUAAGAAUGUCGUUCCACAUGUAGUAGCGUGCUGCCUUUACUUGGAGCUUUAUAGACUUCAAUAUUUCCGUAGGGAGUGUGCCAUUGACCAGGUAUUCUAUAAUAGAACUUUGCCAGUUGGGAGUUAUACUAAACUAUGACACCUCGGCUGCCAGCUCCACUUCUAUGCUUGGCUUGUCUAGAUACUCCACCAGAAUAGAAUGUUUGAGUUGGUGGUCAAUAGUGGAGCCAAGGCCGGCUAACGCAUUCGCGUGAGCGUUGUCUGCUCACGAAACUUGAGUGAGAGUGUAAGUCUGAAAUGCCUCAAGCUGCUUACGUACCUUCUCUAGGUAUUGCGCCAUCCUUGUAUGUUUUGCCGUGAACUCCCCAGUAGCCUAGCUGGUGAUUAGUUGGGAAUCAAAAUAAAUUGCAAGUUUCUUCAACGCCAAGUCUUUUGCCAUCCGAAGGCUAGCUAAUAGAGCCCCAUACUAUGGGGCUUCAUUGUUGGAUGCUUAGAAGCCUAGAUUGAUCACCUGCUCGAGCAUUUAACCAUCUGGGGUGACAAGAACCACGCCUACUCCCGAGCCUUAGUAAUUGGAUACACCAUCAGCAUACAAGUGCCAAAAGUCUCCAUUGGGGAAAGCAGGUACGGUUAAGGCAUGCUUGGCUGCUUCUGGGGCAACAUUAGGCUCUCUGUUGCGUCGCCUAGGCUAGGCGUGAAUUAUGCUAUGAAGUCUGCCAAGGCUUUGGCCUUUAUCGUCGUGCAAGAUCAGAAAACUAAGCCGUAUUGGCAAAGUUCCAAUGCCCAUUUCAUCACUCUUUGAGAAUCGUCUGGACCAUGUAAGAUUGAUCGUAGAGGAUAUUAAGUUAUGACGAUGACUGUAUGAGCUUGAAAAUAUGGUCUGAGCUUCUGAGCCGCAACAACUAGCGCCAAAAUUAAUUUUUCGAUCUUCAGGUAUCUAGUUUUUGCAUCAAGAAGAGCUUUAGAAGUGUAGAAUACCAAUAGUUGGGCCCCUAACUCUUCUCGUAUGAGGGCAGAGCUCACUGCUACUUCUGAGAUUGUCAAGUAGAUGUAUAAGUCCUCCGCUGCUUCCGACUUGGAUAGUAAGGGAGGUGAAAUAAGAUACUUCUUCAGGUCUUGGAAAUUUCUUUCGUAUUCUUCAUCCCAUUUGUCUCGUUAUGCCCUCUUGAUGGCAUUGAAAAAAAGCUUGCAUGGAUCGGUGGACUGUGAAAGAAAGUAAUUGAGGGCGGUUGGUUGUCCAGUCAAGCUUUAGAUCUCUUUCAAGGUGGUGAGAGACUUCAUUUCUAGGAUCGCUUAAACUUGCUUGGGAUGUGCUUCGAUUCCUCGUUGUGUUACUAGGUACCCAAAAAACCUGCCUGAAGAUACUCCAAAUGUGCAUUUGGUGGGGUUAAGCUUCAUCUUGUAUUUUGUAAGAAUAUUGAAAGUUUUCGCCAAGUUGCGGAUGUGGUUUGACCGAUGCUUGCCUUUUACCAUGAUGUCAUCGACAUAGACCUCCAUAGUUACCCCAAUUUACUUCUUAAACAUCAUGUUCACUAACCUUUGGUAAGUGGCUCCCGCAUUCUUGAGGCCAAAGGGUAUGACUUUGUAGCAAUAGGUGCCUCGCUCGAUCACGAAUGUAGUUUUCUCCUUAUCAGGCUCGUAAAUGGCUAUUUGGUUGUAGUCGGAGUAUGUGUCUAAGAAAUUGAGUAGCUGACUCUAGAACGUUGAAUCUACAAGCAAGUCGAUUCGAGGAACUGGAUAGGGAUCCUUCAGGCAUACUUUGUUGAGAUCAGUGUAGUCUACGCAAACCCUUUAUUUGCUCUUAUCUUUUUUCACAACUAGUAGAACGUUGGCAAGCCAUGCUAAAUGUGCUACCUCUUCUGUGAAUCCAACCUCCAGUAGCUUGUCAAAUUCUGCUUCGAUGAUCUCUACUCAUUCGGGCGCAAAGUGUCUUCUCUUUUAGAUCACUAGUGUGAUAGUGGGGUCGACGUGCAGCUUGUGGCAAGCUACUUCAGGGUCGAUGUCGGGCAUGUCAGAAGGUGACCAUGCAAAGACAUCAUGAUUUUCCUUAAGGAAAGCCGUGAGUUCUUCCUUCUUAGCUGGGCUCAAGCGUGAGCCAAUUCUAGCCGUCUUUUCUGGCUGUUGGGGAUCAAGAAUGAUGUCCUUGACGUCCUUCUUGGGUUUCCAUCCUUUCUUGUUUGGUUGCGCGUUUGUUUGGACUCCAUCUUCUUGAUCCGCUUUCUGAAAUUGCUAUUUGGUAGCUUCUUCAUCCUUUUAGACCUCGGUAACCUCUACGGGGGUAAAGGUUUUCUUCAUUGACUCCUUUAAUACUUGCAGUGUAUCGUCGGGAUACGGCCUGGUCAAACUUGAUUUCUUCGAUUCCUCUUCCCAGGAUGCGGAAUCAUAUUUUUUGGUACUUGACAGAAGUGACAGCAUCUAGCUUGAUUAACCAAGGUCUCCUAAGAAUCUUACUUGACAGAAGUGACAGCAUCUAACUUGAUUAACCAAGGUCUCCUAAGAAUCUCAUUGUAGGGAGAUGGGUUACUUACGAUCGUGAACGUCUGCUUUGAGACCACUGGCGGUGUUUUCACAUCAAGGGUAAUGUAAUCGAUUGUAGUUGAGGUAUACCCUUUGAAUCUGGUGAGUACCUCUGCUCGGCAUAUGAUUUUGCUUUCCAGACCCAUCUUCUGAAUUACUGAGAGUUGAAGUAAGUUGACUGCACUUCCAUUAUCAACCACCAUUCUGUCAACUAUAGCAUGGGCUAGUCAGACAGAGACCACUAAUGCGUCGUCGUGUGGGAAAUCGACACUUUCUACAUCCUGCUCGAUGAAGCCAAUGAUGGGUCCAGAUUGAGUGUUGACUGCUUGGACUUGGGAGAUUAGCAACGUCUGUUAGAUCUUUCUCUUCUUAGAAUUGUUGGUGGCCCCCAAGUGCUCAGACUCAACGAAGAUGCCAUUAAUCUGAAUCAUCUUGUUUGGUGGAUCUUCAUCUGCAUCCGCCUUCCUUCUAGGCUGCACAGCCGACUUGUCUAAGUAUAUGUCGACUUUUCCUUCUUUCACAAGCUUCUCUAAGUAGUUCUUCCAAGUGUAGCAGUCGUCAGUUGUGACCUGGACAUCGGUGGAAUGUUUAAUAUUUGGUGUGCUCUAACUUGGAAGUGUCUCAUUUUAAUUGCUUUGGCAGCUUGAACCGUGGCUCGUUCUUGACAUCGAGAAUGAUUUGGUGGAUCAAAAUCGAGAACUUGUAGUUCUUGGUUAUCGAACCUCCUUUAGUCGGGAAUCAGUCCAAACGCUUGGCCCCCUGCCUGGUUUUGUUGUUUUCCUGCUUUCCAUCCUCCUUCUUUACUGCCACUUUUUUCCAAGGUUGCUCGAGCGCCUUGUCUACUCGCCGAGCCUAUUCCCAAAGCGCGUGCUUCUCUGCUAAAGCAAAAUAGUCAGCUAGAGUUAGAUAUUCUUUCAUGAUCAACUCUCCAAACAACAGGUGGUAUGCCGGAAGUCUUUUUUGGAAGGCUGCUUUUGCUAUCGAGUUGUCGCAUACAACUAUCUUCGCCUUCUCUGCUUUGAACCUCUUCACGUAAUUACGUAAUGACUCAUUUAGGUUCUUCUUCACAUAGAACAAGUGGCCGAACUUCUUCUUGAUUGAGCGGCAGGAGGAAUACUCUUCGGUGAAAACCAAAGAAAGAUCAUUGAAACUCCUGAUAGAUCGCAGCAACAAAGUGUGGAACAAUCUUGCGCAUCACCUUACAAAGUGAUGGCGAAUAUUUGCACAUAAGGGCAUUGUUGUUCCGAUAAAGGACCAUUGUGCUUCAGUAGUGCUUCAAGUGUCUUUCUGGAUCUCCAUCUCCUUUGAAAGAUGUGAAGUGCGGCAUGCUAAAUUUGCGUAGAGGCUCUACCUGCUUAAUUUCGUCCGUGAAGGAUGACCUGCUCAUAUUGGUCAUGUCUCAUCGUAGUUACUCAUUAGCGACUUUGUUGCAUUGGAAAUCAUGUAAUUGCUCGUUCAUGAGCCUUUCUACCUCUUUCUAAAUUAGCCUUUGUUGGGGUAGUGGAGCUCUCGACUGCCCCCGAUCUUGACCUGCUGGUCUAGGCUACUCUUCUACGUGCUCGGUUCGUCUAUGCCACGGCAGCGGUGCAUGUGGUAUGUUCCUAGCAAGCAAGGGAAUUCUUCGCAGGCUAUCGGUUAAACUUGAGAUGGAUUAAAUGACUGUUUAUCUCCGUUCGUCGGGCUACCUACUCCGAUAUGAGGUGAAGGAUACUCCUUGUGAGCUUAGCCACGAAUGAACACUUUGCCUGGAAGGCUACUCAUGUUGACCAUUAGAGUGUGGCCUCAACCAUGAAUGUAUGCUCGUUCGUGGGCCUAGUUGAGAGUGCACGCUCCUCCACGCGUAAAGAAUGGAGUAUACGUUAUCUCGGGGGCCCAGUCAGGAGUGUACAUUGCCUGAACUCUCGGUUCAUAGCUGGUCGAGUAAUUGCUUACUAGGAUGUUGCUGGAAAUGUUCGUCUGCCCUUGUCCUACUUUGGGACACCUCGUCUGGGGUACGUUGGGUUUCGGUGCGUUGCAAGAGUUAAUUCACCAAGGUCGUCUGUUGUGCAAGGGCACUUGUCAACUCAAUAACUUGUCGAGACAAGUGUUGUUCGCCAUUUGGAUUGGAAGAGCUUGGAAGAAAUGCACCUUCUUGAGUAAUGGAAGUGUGGUAGGCUCCGGGCGCGAGAUGUCAAAUCUGCGGAGAAAUGUGGUGAAAAUGCCCCCGAUUGGACUGUAGGUCCUGAAACUUGGAGUCGGGAUGGUUAUGCUACUCUUGGGCCGACUUGGGCUGCUUGGAGAACCACGGGAGCAGGCUAGGUUGUGGGUAGGCUUGGCCAUGGGAGCAGGCUGCUCAGUGCGUGAUGCAUGCGAGUGCAAGGCUUGGGCCAUGGCUUUGGUGCCAUAAGCCUUGGAUGGCACGAUUUGGGCCGUGGUAGUGGUGCCAUGGACCUCGCCGCGAGUGAUUACCAUGGUGGUCACCACGAUGGUUGCCAUGGUAAAGCCUCGUAGCGGUAGUGCCGCUCCACCUAUGAUCACAUUUAGCCUCGUGGAUCGUCGCGGUCCCAUUUCUUGAAUAUUGGAAUUUUCACUUGUGGAAUUUUCUAAAUUUCUCGCCAUUGUAUAUCUAUUUUACGUUUUAUCAAAGAAUCUUUGCAAAUAAAAAUUUCUAAUAAUAAGAACAUACAAAAAAUAUACAAAUGGACAAGAAAAUAGAAAAACCUUUUAUGCGAGAAUCUUCCACGAGCGUGUGACUCUUAUCUCAAUGAAAGCACCAAUUUGUGGAUGCAAAUUUCUUCCUACUUGAUUUUGGAUAAAAUUGCACCUACAAAACAAAUCACACCUUAGGUCAAGGCUAAGAGCCUCAUGCGCCCACGAUGAAUUGGGGGGCCCUUUGGCCGAAGAACCUCCGAUGCCAAAGUUAGAAUUUUGAGGGAAAAGUGUUUGGAGAAUUGUGUAGAAUUUUGCUAGAGAAUUGCAAGUGAGUUUUGGAGAGAAUGUGAGGCCUUUUAUAGGGGUGUGGCCGGCCUCCUUAGGUGAGAGAUAACCAGCCACUUGGCUCUCUUUGUGGGCUAGGUUCUUGAUUUGUGUUUAAUCGGGUAUAAUUGAAUAAUUAACUAAUUAAUUAGUCAAUUAAUAGAAUAAUUGCCUACUUGAUUAGCUAAUUAAUAUAAUAAAAAGGGAAAGAUUUGGGAGUUACCUUGUGGAGAUGAUUUGAUGAGGAUAGAUGAAAUAGGUUUUGAAUUGUUAAUAGUUUGGGCACUUUUGACUUGGUUUAGAGAUGUUUGCCCGUUGCUCGCACGUAGGAAUCCUGAUGUGCCUCAAGGGUAAUUUUGUCCUCUUUUACCCAAAAAUCCACAUGUCUUCUUGUGAUUAUUUUUGGCUCCACAGAGUCCAGGUGGACAUUCUGGGUUGAGGUGUGUCAUCUCAAUUACAAGUGAAGAGGAAUACCACUAGAUCGUAGUACUAAAUGGCAAAAUAUUCUUCUUUACUUGUAGUUGAUUAAGUGCAUAAUUUUAUGACCAACUUUCAAAGAUAGUGAGUUCGAUACUAAUUUAUUGUAGUCGACUGAUUGAGCACCUUGCUCAAAUUUCUUCACCAUAGCUCAGUUGUAUUAAACCCAAUAAUUUACAUUGCUUCACUCCACAAAAUUGUAAAGAAUUCUUUUAUUUUUUAUUUUUAAAGAAUUUAUGAUUAUUAAAGGGAGGGAGAAGGUUCGAAAUUGUUUAAAAUUAUUACAAUAAUUUAAAAGAUGAGGGAUUCGAACCCGGGACGCAUGGGUAUAGACCAACACCAUUCUUCAAACACUGCAUGAAUGAUACACAAAUUUCACUGCUUAUUAUCAAGAUCAUAUAUAUUAUAAAUCACUCCGUAAAUAUUAUCUAUGGAAAAAAAAAAUUAACAUGAGCUACGAAAUCUGUUGCUGGCUACUGGCCCAUUUUGGUGAUUAUUGAUUUUGUAGAGAUACUAAAGACGUGUGUAUUGCUUCUGAGGAAGAAAAAAAAGGCCGUGUGUAUGAUGUAUCGAAAAUAAUUUCGUGGUUUGUUGCAAGUUUUGAUGAUUGACUGUUGCGUCCUGGCACCUUGUCACUGAUGUUGGUGAUUGUUUGUUGCAAGUUGGAGCAUGAAGCUGCUAUAUAAUUUAUCAAUACAAAUUAAAUAAUAUGAUGUCCAUCAAUGUUCCAUCAAUCCAUCGUGGCAUCCUGGACUAGUAACGCACCAGCAAACAAGUCGCCCAAAUGCUACAGUAGUCCUUGUUGAGAUUGUUGAGAUCAGAUUACAUUGGAUGCUCUGCUGACCAAAGAUGAAAUCGAGCAACAAAGUUUGUACAUAAAACGCGUAAGGCCGGGAAGGGGGCCUAUUGGCUUACUGUGUGUUUGCCGCUACCAUUCACUGUGACCUGUGAGUAGUCAGCUGGCUUUAAUAAAAGGUAUGAACUGAUGGUGACGUUUCAUCUACCUUUCUUCAUGUGUGAACGCGUUGAUUUUUUGUACGCGGAAGGUAAAGGUACUUGAGUUGGCUUCUUCUCUGUGAUGAUUUUCUAGGAAAGCCUGAGCACCUUAAAAUUUUCAAUAACUUAAUAAAUCCCAUUCAUCUCAAGUAUCCCCUUCUCUUUCUUUGAUAUAUUACCAAGCGCUCGCUUCUUUCUCUUCUUUUUUACUCACAAGUUACAAGUCUACUGUUAGUUCCUUGAGAGAAACACAAACAGAUGGAGUGUGUAAUGACUAUCUUGCAGAUGUGCUGCAGAUCGUUAACAUUUUCUUCUCCGUCAUCUGCAGCAGCUGCUGCUGGUGAUGAUGAUGAUGAUAAUGGUAUUGAAGCUGAUAUCCCCCCUCGUCGGGAGAAGUAUGAUGUAUUUAUCAAUUUCAGAGGUGAGGACACCCGCAAUGGUAUUACCAGCCAUCUUCAUGCCGCCUUACUUCAGAAGAAAAUUGAAACCUACAUAGAUAACAGACUUCAAAAAGGAGAAGAAAUCGGACCUGCCCUUCAAGAGGCAAUCGAGAAAUCCACACAGUCGGUGAUCAUUUUCUCACAAAACUAUGCUUCUUCCACAUGGUGUUUGGAUGAGCUUGUGCAUAUAAUCGAAUGCAAUGAAAGAUAUGGCCAGAAGGUUAUACCCGUAUUCUACGACAUCAAUCCAUCUGAUGUACGAAAACAACACGGGAGUUAUGCGGGUGCAUUUGCUCAACUUGAAAAACGUUUCAAGGACAAUAUUGAUAAGGUGCACAAGUGGAGGGAAGCUUUGACAUCUGCAGCCAAUCUAUCUGGGUUUGAGUAUCCAAACAAGGGCGGGUAAGUAACUCAGUCUUUAAUUGUAUAAAAUUAUAAAUUUUCUUUAAAAUUGUUACAAUUUGAUUUGUGCUCAGAUUUCGUAAAGCUAGCAUUACUCUAAACUUGGGGAGGGGUGGCUCUGUAGUUUAGCUACAAUGCAAUUGAGGGGAGGUUUUGGUUUUAACAAGACUUCAUGUACACGCGUUGCGGCUGGUCAAAAAAUUUAUAAUGUAAUUAAAAUCAGAUCCUAAAGAAGAGGGGAAUUUUUGUUUUUUUUUUUUUUUGGUUAAUUUAGAAACAACAUUACAUCAAAGUGAUAUGUAAUGUAAAUAAUAGAACAAAAUAGAACAUUUUUAAUAAACGGUGUAAUCACAAAAUAUAAUGAAUUUGCAUAUACGAAAAGGAGGAAAAAGUAAACCAAUGGCAAUGAUUGGGUUUUCAUUUUCUGUCACUGUACUUCUCAUAUUUGAAGCAAGCAACCAAACAGCAAAUGAUAAUUCCAAUUUCAAUCCACCAUCACAAUCUCUGACCUGAAACUAAAUCUCAGGCCUACCCAAAACACACAGCCCAAAAAUUUUUACUCAAGUUAGUCUCCAAUCUAAUUACAACUCUGGAGUAAGUACUUCCUAAAGAAUAUGAUCAUAGGGAUACAGGAUCUACACGUGACAUAAGGACAUAGGGGACAUCUUAAUGUACGUACAAGAUACGAAAUAAAAUACUAUAAUCAAUACCUCAAAAUAAACAUAACACAAAACAUAUACAAAUCUGUACUCUCAAAAUACACAACUCUCACUGGGGCCAAGACAUGCCCAUAGGCGCUCAAAAUAUAAGUCCCAAAAGAAAUAAUACAAGGAAGAAUAAAGGGGUAACCUAAUCGCUCCAAGUCUCUGAUCUCUGCACUACUACCCCCACUGUCUCCUCGUAAUCAACACAAGCUUGUGUCAUCGGUGCCUGGUGUCCACGCUAACUAAGGGUGGUUCGGUAUGGGAUCCCGAAUCCCAAAUCGAAAUUUUUUGGGAUGAGAAUUUGAAACCAAUUUCGAAUCAAAAUUUCGAUAUUCCCACUUUUCGGUAUUUCGGGAUGGAUCAGGACUGGAUUUUGAGUUUUGGGCUUUGCGUUGAAAUUUGAUAUUUUUGGGUUGUGGGCUAAAACUUGGGUUUUUGGCUUGAAAUUUUGUUGCCAAAUUUCAUACCAAUUGAAAUUUAGGCUUUUUACCUCUUACCAAUUUGAAAUUUCAAAUCCAUUGAAAUACCAAUUCAUUCAUACAAAGUCAAAUUGACGUUCCAAAGUUCCAAACUAAUUAAUUUCAUAUUUCUAUUUCUAAUAUUAGUCUACAAUCAAACUACUUAAAUUCAACAUUCAACAUGCAUGCAACAAAAAAUAAAAUAAAAUAUAUAUAUAUAUAUAUAUAUGAGGAAAUGGGAGGAAUGGUCCCUGAACUAUGCUCGAAUUGUAGAUUUGGUCCCUAAACUAAAAAAUCAUUAGAUUUGGUCCCUGAACUUAACAAAAUGUAUAGCAUUGGUCCCUCUAUACUAACACCGUGAGAUUUUCCGUUAGUUUGAUGACGUGGUCUUUGUGGGCUGCAUAUUUUUGUUCACUAAAUGCCAUGUGGCUUUAAAAUUCAAAAUAAAAAUAAAUACAAACAUAGAAAAAGAAAAAAAAUAAAAAAGUAAAAGUUAUCUCUCUCUCUCUCCCUUUCAUUGCUUGGACCGCAACGCCCAGGAAAUCCGGCGCCUCACCAACCUCGGCGUCGACACCAACUUCGACUGCGCAAAAUCGCCAAAGUCUUUCCCUUUCUCUCCCACCGGUGCUCUUACUCCUCCAAAUCCCCGUAAGUAGCCACGAUGUCCACACUUCCAAGAUUCAAUCGCUGCCCACCUCAGAAGCUUCCCAGUCGACUCGACUUCUCUACCAUGGCGAUCCAGUUCAAAAUCAGAAGCUCCGUACUCCGUCGCCGUCGACGGCCGAGCCUCCAUCUCCGAUCGUCGAUCUCAGCAGCACCCUGCUUCAACUUUGCUUCUCCAUGGAAUGUCGCCGACCUCACCACCGCCGAGCGCCGUCUCUGGGUGAUCACCACGGCGACAUCAUGCCAUUUGAUCUGGGCGCCAAACUCCCUCGCCGACUUCACCACCGCCGAGCGCCGUCUCCUCCAAAUUCCAGAAAGCUCCAAGAAACCAUGGCGUCGGACUUCUUGGUCUCCCUCGCCGCCAUCCUCUUCGCUCUCUCUCUCCUUCCCGGGAGCACCUCGAUGUUCACCACCUAGCCAUGAUCCGCGCUCUGACUCGACGCCUCCGACCCAGCCAUGAUCCGCGCCUUCCUCCUCUCCUUCUCCCUCAAGGCGUGCUCGAUCGAUGCGACCUCCCUCUCCGUCGCAGUUCGUCGUCGCAGCAAGGCAGAAGGGAAGACGGGAGAGAGAGAGAGAUAACUUUUACUUUUUUUCUUUUUUUCUCUUUUUCUAUGUUUGUAUUUAUUUUUAUUUUGAAUUUUUAAGCCACAUGGCAUUUAGGGAACAAAAAUAUGGAGCCCACAAAGACCACGUCAUCAAACUAACGGAAAAUCUCACGGUGUUAGUAUAGAGGGACCAAUGCUAUAUAUUUUGUUAAGUUCAGGGACCAAAUCUAAUGAUUUUUUAGUUUAGGGACCAAAUCUACAAUUCGAGCAUAGUUCAGGGACCAUUCCUCCCAUUUCCUCUAUAUAUAUAUAUAUAUAUAUAUUUAGUUCGGUUCGGGAUUCCUGAACCAUGAAUAUGUAAUCCUGAUUCCCGUACCAAAAAGUUUGGGAUUGGUUCGAUAUGGAUCCUGAAAAUUUCGGUAUUAUUGAUUUGGGAAUUUUUUAGUAUGGGAUCUGGAUUUUUUGGUUUGGAUUGGGAUUUUCGGGAAAAAUUUCCAGCCCUAGUGCUAACGCAUCCUAGCACGAAUAUUGAGAUGUCAUGUACCAUCAUCGCCUGGGUCGAGGUUCAAUUCGGCCAGGAAGUGGCCUGAAAUCACCCUAGGCUGUCGGAACCCUAAAAUGGGUGUUACUUUAAUCAUUGUCAAAUCGAACCUCGAUGCCCCAACCAGUGCUUGGGCCUUGUUCCUGUGUUCAAGGAGAGUCUAUUGGUGGCGGUGGUCGAAGGAACAAGCUUCAGAAAUGGCCGAUCCUCGUCGAAUAUUCAUGGACCUUUCGGCGGAAUUCUUCGUGAAACCAAGGCAAAAUCUCGUCGAGUUUGUGUGGAGAUUGAAGGGAAACUGACAUGGUGAUGCUUGGUGGUGGUGGAAGGCCAAGAAAGGCCAAAAAUAAUCAUCAAAUCUACUGUCAAUAAUGACAUCUAGAUCUUGCAUCAGAAUAACCAUCAAAUCUACUAUCAUUUCACCCUGACCCACGCGAGCCUCACAAGAUCGAACUACUUGGUCAACAAUGUAAGGCCCCAAAAAACAAGAGGAAAUAGAGUACGUCAUAUCCAUUGUCUCAAUAGGUCUACCCAAAGACUUAAUAAAAGUAUAAAAGAAUUCUCAACUUCAUGAUCAAACAAUGCCCUAGCAGCGAGCGAAUCAAGAUGAAUAAUACAUGUGACUGUGUUAGGCUCAGUCUUGGUCUCCAAAGUGCAUAAUGUACAAACCCCGCCAACUCGAUGAGAACUCGAGCAGCAUAAACAAUGGCCCUUGCCACAUCACCUCAUUGGCCCAUGCCAAGCCGACCGCUGGCCUUUGCCAGCCGACGUGCCUCAUCACCCGGACGACUGCCCCGUGGCAUCACCUCCCAAGAAAAAGACAAGGAGAAUUAAGUCUUUCUUACAUCGGUGCGGCAUGAAGAAGACAAAGAAAUCAACGAAAUACGGUUCUUCUCAUCGGCAAGCAAAGAAGAGUGUUAGGGGAGGGGGGAACAAAUAUCCUUUAGCUUUCUCUCUUUCUUGUAGGGAUAAAUAAUUGCCCUCAGAAGUUGAUUUAAUCCCUUACUUAAGGUAUGCUUAAAUAGGCUUCGGAGUCGAUUUAUUCCCCUUUCCUAGAAGAAUCUAAUUCCAAGUCCAAAAGGUAAUCUGUAUCAAAGUUUGAGAUCUCUACACCUGCUGCUCUUUCUUACGAGUAGCCCAGCAGGUGUGGGGGCAUUUGUGGAGCCAAAAAUAAUCAAGAGAUGAUACUUAGAUUUUUGGGCUGAAAGAACAAAAUUACCCUUGAGGAGCAUCAGAAUUCUCAUGCUCGAGCAGUGGACAAUCAUCUCAUAAUCAAGUCAAAAGUGCCCAAAAUAGGUAUUUAUUCAAAAUAUAUUUCAUAUGGCAAUUAACUACAAAAUACACUCAAAAACGCCACAAAGGGCAGGCCACUUUCUCCCCCAAUGAGGCCCUCCAUGCCUCUACCCCCAUUUUCUCUAAAAAGCUAAGUUCAACACUCUUGCAAAAUUCUCCAAAUUCUCCAAACACUUUUCUCUCGAAAUUCAAACUUUGGCAUCGGAGGUUCUUCAGCCAAAGGCCCCUCCCAGUUCAUCGUGGGCGCGUAAAGCUCUUGGUCUUAACGUAAGAUGUUAUUUAUUUUGUAGGUGCAAUUUUUUCCAAGAACAAGGAGGAAGAAAUUUGCAUCCACACAACCCUUACUAGGGCCAAAACAAUGUCCAUAGGCGCUCAAAAUAUAAGUCCCAAAAGAUAUAAUCCUUAUAAAGGGGUAACCUAAUCGCUCCAAGUCUCUGAUCUUUGCACUUCUACCCCCACUGGCUCCUCGUAAUCUACUCAGGUCUUUCACCUAUACAAUAUGUAAUGACUCAUCCCUAAUUAUUACGUUUUUGUUUUUUUUUUAUAAUACGCGAAUUUACGAAAAUGCUUUUCGAGGAAAAAACAUUGACUUUUGUUGACCGCCAUGUCAUGUCAUGUAAGAUCCAUUUUCUUGGUAUAUUCUUGUAAUACUCAUCACUACGAACACAUGGGAGCAAGCAGAAUCAGAUUUAGAGUUACGAUGAACGAUUUACGAAAUUUGAAACUUAGGGGCAUUUUGGUAAUUUUGGAAGAGGAGAUAUUUUCCACCUUUGACCACCCCGAGCUGACACAUGGCAGCUCCUUCCCCAAUCUUCUGGAACUCUCUCCCUCUCAUUUCCUUCCCAUGUCUCUCUCUCACUCUAGAGCUCUUUCCCUCUGUCUCUGUAAACUGACACUACCAUUAUCCCUCACCGUACUACGGCGAGCCCCACGACACUAUCACUACUCAUCAACCACUCUGGCGAGCACCAAGAACCACCACCACACUUUGACCUUCCCCGUCUUGAAUCCAUACCGAGGCCCUGGAACUCGACAGUGGCUAGGCCACUGUUUAUUGCCUUUCCCGUCGAGGCACGAAAUGGCAUAGAGGAAAUUCCCUAGUUUUUCAACGAAUAUCCUGUGCCUUUGAACCUUUUUUUUGCCAACUCGAGCCACAAUUGAGGAAACCAAAGGUGCGUCGGUGGAAGGUGGCACCAUCCUCGCUAGCUCGAGCGGUUCCUGGGCAACAAAAUAUCUGAGAUAGAAUCGAGGCACACAAUCCCGACGUCAAGACACGUCCACAUAGGUAUAUUCGAGUCUUCUCAGUGUAUGACUCUUCCUCUCAUUCAUACCUUUUUUAUUAUAAUUCUUUCAUAUUACUCUUAUUUAGUUGUAUGCUCUGAACAUGUUCCUGCAUUAGCAUUUUUGUUCUAAUUACAUAUUUUAUUCGGAGGCAUUUUAAAUAUGGCUUCGUCACAUUCGGGUGUUGACCAGCAUGUGCCAUCAUGGUAUUAAAGGAAUAUCGGGAUCGGGCCAUGUCACAAUCAGUGCAUGGAGUUUGCACUAACAUACCCUGACACAAAUAUCAAGACGGCAUGUACUAUCGUCGCGUGGGCCGGAGGUCCAAUUCGGCCGAGAAGUGACCUAAAAUCACCCUAGGCCGUCGGAACCUAAAAUGAAUGUUCUUCGAAUCACUAUCAAAUCAAACCAUGACGCCCUAACCAGUGCUUAGGCCUUGUUCCUAGGUUCAAGGAAAGUCUAUUGGUGGCGGUGGUCAAAAGAACAAGCCCUAGAAACGAUCGAUCGUCGUCGAAUACUCAUUAACCCGUCGGUGGGGUUCUUCGCGAAACCGAGGCCACAUCUCAUCGAGUUUGUGUGGAGAUUGAAGGGAAAGUGAAGUGGUGGUGUUUGAUGGUGGUGGAAGGUCGAGAAAAGCAGGAAGAAUCGAUUGAAAUCACAUCGGAAAUUGCAGAGGCUUCAAGUCAAGAGCCGGGUCAUGAGGGGGCAAAUGGGUCGCAUUGGGUUCUCUCCUCUUUUCUCUGAUUGGUCACCUCACUAUCACUCUCUCUCUCUCAUUGGUCCCUCCCCCCAAAUUAAUGUGAGCUUCUAAUUAUAUAUUAAAUAUUUUUUUUAAUCGAACUUUUAACGUCUGUAACUUCUUCGAUAUCACUCUGAUUCGCGAACAGCUUUCGCAUACUCGCUCGUGGAAUUGAGUUCUAUUUGAAAACACUAUGUGUGGUCUCGAAAGGUCUACGAAUUUUAAAAGAUUAAUUAUGAUAAUUCAUGUCUUAGAACUAUACAAUUCAAAUUCAAAAAUUAACUGAAUUAGAAUAAAAUAAAAAUAACGUAAAUACGAAAUACAAAAUUAAAUAAUGAAAUACAUAAUUAAUAUUAAAAUAUGGGAACGAGAUUUCACAUAUACAAUAAAGCAGCAGAUUUGGUGAAUUCUUUUUUUCUUUGCAUAUUUGGUGAAUUUAGGGUCAUUUGAUUGAACACCCAAAACAUUCGAUCUUAUACCAAUGAAUAUUGCUGCAACCAAUAGCCCAUUAAAAAUUUGAUAGUGGGAAAGCAGCCAAACUAAUGAAAACAUUGAAAAGGAGAAGACAACCCACUCAUCCCUCUCUAUUUCUAUCUUUGCAAUCCGUACUGCUCCCUCCCUCAUUCUCUUUCUGUGACGCUUAACAGGAUUGCAGAUCUCGUAUGAACAGGUCUUACUUGCCCUUGUUCACGCCUCCCUCCCUCUCGCUCUCUCUCUCUCUCUCUCUCUCUCUCUCUCUCUCUCUGUAACACUUCCCUUACCAAAUCUAAACACCUCACCUCUCCCAAGUCGAAAAUGAUAAUACCGCCUACCCACCUUUUUACCUUAGGCUGUUGGAUCUAAAAUCUGGAUGGGUAUUACUGUCAUUUGCACAUUGAAUCAGGCCUUCCUCAUUAACCACCCAGAACAAAGCUUUUAAGAUGGAUAACAAUUCAGUAAAUGAAUCAAAAUCCCCAAUUGAAAUAGCCCUUAGACUAAUGUAAUUACAAAAUUGCCUUUUUUUUUUGUGGGUUUGGGGAGGGGUGGCCCAGUUCCUUGCCAUGUAUGUAAUUAGUUGUAACCUAUGUAAACGUAUUUGAUUUCUCUUCAAGAUUAACGAUUUUAUUAGUGGGGCAAGUUCAUUUUCAUCAAAUAGAUGGUGGGUUGAAUGAUAUAUAAUAUGCAAGCUCAGUUAGCUGUAUUGUUGUUUACCUAAAAACAAAUGUAUUUUCUAUUUUAAUAUUGCUAAUAUCAUUUUGAGCAGAGAAUAAACAACAUUUCUUUUUCUUGCACAAAUAUAUGGUAGUAAAACUUUUAGUAUAUUUCUUUAUUUACGUGACAAAUUUGUCGAUCUGCCACAGCGCAUGGGCAUAACUAAUUGUAUAAAACUAACUAUUGCUUUUUUCUACAUAAUCAUAUAUAUCAGGACGGAGGCAGAUCUAAUUAAGAAUGUUGUAGAUCAUAUUUGGACAAACUUGAUUUGUGAAUCAUCAUGUGAUUUAAAGGGCCUGGUUGGAAUUGAAAGCAGCAUCAAGCAAAUUGAAUCGCGACUGGACAUUCACUCACAGGAGGCUUGCAUCAUUGUAGGUAUUUGGGGAAUGGGUGGUAUUGGCAAGACCACCCUUGCUGAAACUGUAUUUCACAGACUCUCUUCUAAAUUCGAAGCUUCUUGUUUUCUUAAAAAUGUCAGGGAGAAAUCAGAACAAUCAGAUGGACUAGAUCGCUUGCAAAAGCAACUUCUAAAUGAGAUAUUCAAGGAUGAAGUUCUAUCCAUAGAAUCAACUGCUGUUCGAAAUAGGCUCAGACGCACAAAGGUCCUCAUUGUUCUUGAUGAUGUGAGUAGCUCAAUGCAAAUGGAACGUUUAGCUGGUGAUCGUCUUCGAUAUGGCACUGGAAGUAGAAUCAUUAUCACAAGUAGAGAUAGGGGCACACUUAGACAAACUGUUGAAGAGGAUAAUAUCUACGAGGUUGAGGUAUUAAAACCAGAAGACGCUCUUCAGCUUUUCUGUUCGCGUGCUUUCAAGAAUGACACUACUCGUAGAACAUAUUAUAAGGAGUUGGCAAAAAAGACCGUGGAUUAUGCCAGAGGCGUUCCUUUAGCUCUUACAGUUCUGGGGUCCAUGUUCUUCAAGUGCAUGAGCAAAGAAGAUUGGGAAGAGGAAUUCAACAAAUUGAAACGAUUUCCCAUUGAAGAUAUCCAGAGAGUGUUGAGAAUAAGUUAUGAUAGAUUGGGAAAAGAUGUGAAGGAGAUAUUUCUAGAUAUAGCAUGUUUUCAUAAAGGGAAGGAAGUGAAUGAGGUAAAACGAAUGUUAGAUAUUCGUCGAUUCUUUGCGACAGCCGGAAUUAGAAUUCUCAUUGAGAUGUCUCUCAUAUCAAUUUGUUCAAAUGUAUGGGGAACGAAAAUCAUAGAGAUGCACGAUUUGCUACAAGAAAUGGGAAUGACAAUUGUUCAGGAACAAUGUAUUAAAGAUCGGAAUAGGUUGUUCACGCAUGAGGAUGUCUAUCGUGUACUGAACAGUAACAAGGUAAGAGCCAAAUGCAUUUAAUUUUUCCUUUUCUUUUUUAAGAAAAAAUAAAUAGCAAACUUUAGAUGAUAACACAACAAAAGUAAAACUUCUUAUGAUAAAGAAGUCAGAUUCUUAAAAAAACUACUUUGAUUGAAUUUUUACUGCAAAAAUGCUAUUUUUAAUAGGAAAAAUUAGUAUCCGGUCCCUCUUUUUUACUAUUCAUUGACUAAAACCUUAUUAGUUCUCAAAUUUUGAUUCAAGUCCCUAGCAUUAAUGUGAUAAUGAAUUUACAUGUUUAUUAUAUAAUUUUUUAAUAUAAAAAUUAGUAAUUAAUUUAGGGUUUAAUACUCACACCUCUAUUAAACUUCUAAUUAAUUUUCAAUUCAAACAUUUCCAAAAUAAUAAAAAAUUAAGUUUCUACCUAUUAGUUUUUUUUUAUAUAUGUAAAAAGAUUCUCAAUUUUUUAUCUUAAAUGUACCCAUUCAUAUAAUUUUUCAAUUUUUUUAAUCUUAAAUGUACCCAUUCUCAAAUAUAUCAAUUUGUUAUAUGUAAAAUGUACCCUUUUUUUAAUAUAAAAUCCAUUGAAAUUUUUUAAUCCAUGUUUAAACUUAUAUGGGUACAUUCUUUUUCGUUGAUUUGAGAAUGUAUCCAUGUUUUGGUACAAUAAUUUUUUUUGUUAAUUUUGGUUAAUGUACCCAUACAUAUAUGUACACACACACACAAUAUAAUAGAGAGUAUAAUUUAUAUUUUAUUAUUUUUAAUCCCAUAAAUUAUGGGUUUUAUUUAAAAUCUCAUUAAUAUAAACAAUUACAAAUUUCAAUUUUUAAUUUUUAAUUUAAAAAAUAUGGUAACUUACAUUAUUACAUUAAUGUUAGGGAUCUCAAUCAAAAACUAAAAACUAACAAGGUUUCAAUCAAAGAAUUUUGAUAGCUAAGGAUCGCAUCCAAAGUGUCCCUUUUUAAUAUCUAUUUAUACUAUCAUUUGUAUCACCUAUCUAAUAGAGAUGAGAUCCAAAUGCGUUGGUGGACCUUACCUUUACUAGAAAGAUGAUACAAGUGAUAAUAACUAGGUGGUAAGAAUACCACUACCAUUUUUAUUAUGGGAUGAGGAUCCUCUCCGGAACCUCUUUGUGAGGAUCCAGAUGAUCCUUUAAUCGGUUCCGUUAAUCGUAAAUCUUGCGGCCAGUUAUUGUUAGGUAAUAUUUGUGUUUAAUUUUAAAUAAAAAAAAAUUCAAAUGAUUUCUGACCGCACGAUGUACGAUGAGUGAAUACGAUUGAAGAAUCUCCGAAAUCCUCAUAAAGGGAAUCUGGAGAGGAUCCUCAUUCUUUAUUGUGCUAGGAAGUCUAUGUAAUUUUUAUUAUUUUACAACAAUUAUCUUGGAUAUUGUACUAGAAACUUGUACAUCAUUACCAUCGCAACUACUCUAGAAUAUUCUACAACGUUGUUGAAUUCUUUUUCUAAAUAAGCAUUACAUCUUAACAUGUUGAAAAUGUAUACAUUUAAACGUUGUUCUUAUUCUUUGUUCUUAUUGUCAGGAAACUCCAAACGUUGAAGCCAUAUUUAUUGAAUGGCAUAAGAGUGUAGAGCGACCACUAAAACGCGCAGACUUCAACUGAUGCCAAACCUAAUAAUGCUAAGUGUGGAUAAUCCUCAAAUGUUUGAUUGCAAAUCCACCGCUUCUCUAGACUUUCCUGAUUCUCUUCGUUACCUUUGCUGGUGGGGAUAUCCACUGGAAUCUUUGCCGUCAAAUUUUUCGCCAGAAAAUCUAGUUGAGCUUCAUAUGCCAGAUAGCAAAAUUAAGAAGCUUUGGAAAGAAGACCAGGUAUAUUAUAUGCCUAUUUUAAUUAUUGUAUAAAAUUAAGUGUAGAAAUUAUAUCAAUUCUUGAUGUUUCUCUCUACUCUUGUUACAGAGACUUGUAAACUUAGAAGUGAUCGAUCUGCACCGCUCUACAAAUCUAACUGAAGUUCCAAAUCUCUCUGGGAGUUUAAAAAUUGUGGACAUAAAUCUCGAUGGCUGUCCAAAUUUGGUUGAAAUUCCUAGGUAUUUUCAAGAUGUUGACAAGCUUACUCAUCUUUGUCUUUUAGGCUGCACCAGUCUCAAGUAUCUUCCAGAGAUGCCAAGAAAUAUUAAACACUUAGAUUUAUCUGAGAGUGGUAUAAAGGAGUUGCCCCGAUCAGUUUGGUCUCACGAAAAAAUUUCUUACUUGAAUAUAAGUUGUUGCGAUAACCUUGAGAAACUUCCAAGCAACAUGUGUAAGCUGAAAGUCUCUGGUUCUUUUAAUCUAGAUGGCUGCUCAUCUCUUGGCGAGUUUUCUGAGCUUCCCAGGGAUAUAAGUAAAUUAUCAUUGGUUAAUUGUCAUAGACUUGUGAUUCUUCCAACAAACAUUUGUAAGUUGAAAUAUCUCGAGGAACUCGAUCUCUCCAACUGUGUUAAACUUGAAAACUUCCCAGAGAUCUUGGAGCCAAUGGAACAUUUGAAGUCCUUAAAUUUAAGUGGUACAUCAGUUCAAGAUUUGCACUCAUCAAUCGAGUUUCUACCUGCUCUCGAAAGACUUGAACUACGUGAUUGCAAAAGGCUUUUAAGUAUCCCAAAGAGCAUUUGUAAGUUGAAAUAUCUCAAGGAACUCGAUCUCUCCAACUGUGUUAAACUUGAAAGCUUCCCAGAAAUCUUGGAGCCAAUGGAAAAUUUGAAUUCCUUAAAAUUAAGUGGAACAGCAGUUCAAGAGCUACACUCAUCAAUCGAGUUUCUCCCUGCUCUCCAAGUACUUGAACUACAUGAUUGCAAAAGGCUUUCAAGUAUCCCAAAGAGCAUUUGUAAGUUGAAGUAUCUAUUGGAGCUCGAUAUCGAUGGGUGCUCCGAACUUAAACAUUCCCCAGAGAUCUUUAAGCUAAUGAAACAUUUGGAGCCAACGAGACAUAUUUUUGAACGCUUACAGGCUGCCCUCAUUGUUCAGAAAGCAGCCUUACAAUUUAUUCAGUCCAAAAAGACUACAAGAAAAAGCCCUUAUUGCGACAGGUUUUUUGCGUCAGAUAGCACGGCCCUCACAAAUAACACAAAAUAUGCGCGCUAGAUGGAAUUGCCCAGCGCGCGUUUCCUUUCGCCCUAAUCCAUCCAAUUAGAGAUUCAAUCGGAGAUUCUAGAGCUUAGUCGGAGAUUCUGGAGCACAAUCGGAGUUCUUGUAAGCCACUACAAUCAUCUCCAUCGUCUCUCUUUUUCUUAUUCAAUAACUUUUGCUAAGUGAUUUCUAGGGUUCCUCUCAAAUCUGGAAGGCAAUUGUUUUUAUUAAUAUUGGAUUGAUUUUUCUAAUUGUUGUUAAUGUGUUUACCAAUUUUUGUUAUUUCCAAUUUUUGUUGUCGUUUGCUUUCAAGUGAGUUUUGAGAUACACAAGGAAUUAUUUUUCGUUUCAGUAUGGGUGGUAACGGAAUUUGAUCUGGAACUCAGUAGAUUCUGCUAAAAUAUAUUUUUUAGUUAAAUUCAGAGUUGUGUUUUUUUUUUUUCAAUUGGGUUUUAAGUUUUAGUAGAAACACAGAACCACUUCUGGUAUAGCUAAUGGGAUUGUUUAGUUUUGGAUUAGUUUGGAAAAUUGUUUAGCUUUGGGUAGCUAAUGGGACUUUGUUGUGUUGCAUUAGUUUGAAAACUUGUAAAACUACAGGGAGUAUGAGUUUGGUAAAUUUAAUGAGUCUUUGACUCUUUGUAGGGUACAAUUUCCCACAAUUUUUCAUUUGGAAUAAAUCUGCAUUGUUCGUGAUUUUAGGAGUUUUAGCAAUGUUUGUUGCCAGGACAUUACGAAGUUUUGUUUCUGAUAGAUUCAUGUCCACAAUUUUUAGUUAUAUCUGUUUCUAGUUACCACAAUGUUUGUUGCCGACAUUCACCUUUCCCAGACCCUGCGUAAAGCGGUAGCCUUGUGUACUGGGUACGACCUUUUUUAUUUGUUUCUAGUUAUAUCUGUUUUCUUCUUAUUGAUACAAAACUAUGAUUUUUGCAAAAAAAAAAUCAUACAUUAUUGAUGGUUCAAAAAAUGUCGCUUGUUUCAGGUUUUGGCUAAAGACUACAUGAUGCCAUGGAUGUAUAAUGUAUAGGACCUUUCAACUAAGCGUUGCUGUUAUAGUUUUGUUGGUAUUUGUAUAUGAUAAUACACUGUAUAAUGAUUUUCAUUAAUUAUAGUUUAUUAUUAAUAACAAUUCUUCAUAUCUAGCUUAUAGAUAUCUACAUAAUUUAUAGAUUAUUCAUUUUUAAUAAUUAUUUAUUUCUAGUUUAUAAAAUUAAAUAGAUAAUUUGUAUCUGGCGUCAAAUAUGAUGUCAUAUUUUUUUUCACACCUGCCAUCUAUUAUUAAAGAUUCUUCAGAUAGUGUGACAAGGUUGUCACGAAUAGUUCUUGCGACAGUUAGGUUGCGUCGUAUAUGGUAUCAAAACAUUUGCAACACAGGUUUAUUGCGACGCGUCCAUUACCGUCGUAAGGCUGUCGCUGAAAACUUUUUACGACGUUUUUAGCAUUUUUGGCAACAUUCCCGUUCCAUCGCAGAAGGCCCUUUUUUUGGUGGUGAAUUCCUAAAAUCUUAAGCCAAUGGAACAUUUGGUGUCUCUUAGUUUGCAAGGGAUAACUGUCGAAAUUCUUCCUUCGUCUAUUGAAAAUCUAAUGAGGCUUAAAACUUUAAACCUUUGCGGCUGCAAGCAGCUUAAGAAUGUCCUAACAAGUAUCUACAGUUUAACCAACCUUAAAAGUCUCAACUCUCAACUUUUAUGCUUGUCGGAAACUUGAAAAUUUGUCUUCUAGCUCUGCCGGUUCUCUCUCUUUUGGACUACUAAGGGCUGAUUUAGUAUUGCUGUGCUUUGAAAAAAAACUGUUGUGAGAAUAAGCGGCUGUGAAAUAAACCAGCAGAGUGUUUUUGUAAAAAUGCUUUUGGAAAAAAAGCAGUCUGAUAGUGGGUCUUUUCAUUAAAGGAGCAUUGUAGCUCCGUGUGCUUUGAAAAAAAAUCAGUUUUCCAAAACUGCAAAUAACAGCUUCAGCUUUUUCCUUUGAUUUCAGCUUAUUCUCACAGCAAUUUUUAAAAUAAGCCUUUUUUUUCAGUUUACCAAACACCUAAAACCCUCACAGCUUUUUUUCAUGGGUGCUGUUUUUUUAAGCACAUCUCACUCCCAAACCACACCUAAAUCUCACCAGCUACAGAGGUAUAUUGGAAUAUCCCUGAUCGUCUCAUUUUCUCAACCUCAUUGUAAAAUUUAUUUUUCUGGAACCAAGAUGACAAUUCCAAAGGUGGUGGAUGAAGAGACGAGUCUGAAGUCAAUGGAUCAAGUGAUGAAGUCCAAAGCAAAUGAAAGUGAUGAUCAUGGACUGCAGCCGGUGGAACGGAAGAUGUUUCAAACUUUUAAUCCAACAAUCUGUAUAGAAUUAUCCGAUAGAAUUAGAAACAACUUUACAACAAAUUUGUACUUUGAUAGCUCACUUGUCCGUCCAAGAAAUAAAGACUGACAAAUAGGCAAGGCUUUUAUUAUUUUAGAAUUGUUUAUACAUUAUAAAGCACAAGUUAUGGGCAAGUAUGCCAUAUCCUAUAUGUAAUUUUUAAAACUUGAUUUACAAGUCCAGCGGCAUCUUGAAAUCCGCCUCUAUAUCAUAAACCUAGACAUUAAUUAAUACCCCAUACCCAGGGCAAAGUAAAAAUCUCACGACCAAGCGCCAUAGUUUGAAUAUUCGACACUACAAAAAUACACGAUAGUUCAAUGGCUGAACUGCAAUGAGCGAAAAAUAUGAAUGGCCCAAUUGGACUAACACCGGCUAAACUCAAUGUUCUUGUUUGAACCAUACUAAGAUUAGCAAAACAAAUUUUAUUAGAGCAGGUUAAAAAUUACAGCAAAUUAAGGCCGAAAAACGAAAGGCACAGCCCCAGUUUAGUAACAAUCAUCAAAUUUGUAACAACGACAAAACAAUAGGGGUCUUCGCUUCAAUAGGACUAGGAACAUUCCAAAGUUCAGGGGAAAAAUUAUACGUCGCGUAACAAGCUAAAAGAAAAAAAAGAAUGGAGAAAAAACGAGAUGCAUGUACAAAGAAAUGAAAUACAAAAUUUCCAAGUACCUGUUUAUUAGCUUCGGUUGCUUGUUUUAACUUUGAGUUCAGUGAGUUAACCUCCUCUGUACUCAGUUGAUUUACAAGAUGUUUCUCCAAUUCUGGUACUCUGGGUUUCUGCUGAUUGGCCUGCUGCUUUUCUUCAGCAUGAGAAGGAGCAAUUGGCAUCGGUUGCUGUUGAAAGCCUUAGGAAGUGAAAAAUAAGAAACUAUUCUCCAUCAAAGAAAGACAAGGUUUCAAAAAAUAAAAAAGUGAUUUGUUUUAAGGAUGAAUAACAGAUGCAGGUCUCCGGGCGAGAUUGCCAGCAUUAGAGUAAUUAGUUGCAAGUUGAAAAAUAUUGGAUACAUCAAACAUAACAUUGCUUGGUAGCACUGCUGGAAGAGGGCGUCCCUCCCUAAACAACUCUGAGUAGCUGUUGGAGCAGAAUUAAACCGAGAUUGUAUUUGUGGUCCCCUGAACCCAAGUUUUGGCAGGACGUCGGAGUGACAGUGCCACCCUGAGUGGCACCUGCUGCUCCAGCAGAAUUAUGCUGAGGUGGUAAUUGCGGUCCCCUGAACCCAAGAUUUCGUGAGGAUGUCAGAGUGACAACACCACCUUGAAUGUCAGGUGCUGCUGCAGCAGAAUUGAACUGAGGCACAGGAGUCGCAGCAAGAUUUAUCUUGGGUGCAUGUAUUUUAGCUGCAGCCGGGCCAUAUAAUGCUUCCUUCACCAUUUCUGGUGUAAGUUCUCUCUUACUUUGUGCCACAGUGACAAUUCUAAGGGCAUUGUAAAACUCUGCCCGACCAACGAAACCAGUCUGCUCCUGGUCUGCACAUGCCCAUAUCUGCCAAUAAUAUAAGCAACCAAUAUAAACUAGAACAGAUCCAAACUUCUGUUACAAAAAGAACGAGAAAGUGCACUCUUAUAGUCAGUAUUUAACAUUUUAUGAAAAACUUCCUUCAGCAAAACAAACAUACAACUUCAAGAACCUAUUUGCAGAUAUGAUCAUGACCCAAGAACAUUUCCCUUGUAUGUUACAAUCCUAACUAUUCCGUAUUCAUAUAACACAUUUCUGAAGUCUGCUUACCACCUAAGGUCGAAAGAAUACACCAGAAAGUAAAUUAAUGACCUGAUAACAUAACUCUCUCAACAUCAAUUCCGCAUUUAUACUAAAGGUCGUACCCAGUGCACAAGGUUCCCGCUUUAGGCAGGGUCUGGAGAGGUGAAUGUCGGCUAGCCUUACCCCCAUUUUAUGGAGAGGCUGCUCCCAAUUCCGCAUUUAUACUAACACGAAAUAAACAUCUCAUUUUAGAUCGAAGAAUUACGACAUCCCGAGCUCCACAUUAACCACUUCAACUACAAUUAGAUUAAAAAUUCAAAAUCAAUCUGAUUUGGACUACAUUUCCACCAACAUAAAAUCCCGAUCAACCACUAUAAUUACACAAAUAUAAUCAUACACACUACAAUAUAUAUAUCCACUUUUAUAUUUAUAUAUAUAUAUGCAUAUAUGGAGAGAGUGAAAGUACCUGGGCAAGGACCUAUUUGGAGAGACCGGAGCCCUGGAAGAAAGCGACGGCUUCAUUGCCACUAAUCCGAUCAUCGCGGUCCAAACCGGCUCGUCGGAAAUACGCAUCGAAGAGAUCCACGUUCGCCGAUUGGUAUUGCCACAGUCGGAUUGCGAUUCGCUGAAGAUCAGACCAUGGAAGCAAUCGAGAGCGCCGCGCGCUCGGGCUGCCAUACGCUUGAGGAGCGCCGGGAAGAAUCAGAAAACCACGAAUUCGAAGGACCAAGGUUUCGAUGCCUUAAAAAACGACGACGUACAACGUGGAUUUGGUGGCCCUUCUUCUCCGAUUAGGAGGAAAAUCAGAAGACAACGGAGACACGGAGCGAUGGUUGUGAUAUUUCAAAACUGCCACUCUUUCGAAUGAGCCCGGCCCAUUAAGUAUCAUCAACUAGUGUUUUGGACGGGUUUAUUAAGAGGAUUGGAUUAAAUUAGGGGAUUUUAACAAAAAAUCUUUCUAUACUGUUCAUUUUAACGAAAAAUCAUAUUUUUACAUUAAAAAAUCAAUUCUAUUACUAUUCAUUUUACCUUUUAUCUUGUCUUUAUCGUUAAAACUCAAAGUUUUCAAGCAAUUUUCAUUAGUUUUUCUUUAAAUUAGUCCGGUUCAAUUUAAUACAAGAGCGCAUCAUAUAUUCGGCUCUGUAUUAAUAAUCUUAUCCGUUGCUAUAUACAGCGUAUCAAACGAGGCCAUAAGAUGCUUCAAGUCUUCAACCAACGGUUUGAAAAUUUUAAAUUGUUAUUACAAAGCGAAGAGAGUUUUCUACAAUUUCAAGUCUAGGGACGCCCUUCUUAGAACCUAUCUCAUUUCUUCAAGGCGACUCCCAUCACAUAAUCUUAAGAGCCAGAACACAAGGGCACCAAGAUACACUCUAUGAGCUCUUAGGUGUAUUUAUGUUGAUCAUCAUUCGAGCCACCAAUUUUUAGCUACUUGGAUGUACAAGUUGUCAUUAUUCAGGAACAAUCUCUUAUAAAGUGGCCGAGAUGCAAAGUUCGAAACCGUGCAAAUAUGGAUUACUCUAUCCUUGUGCGAAUAUUCUAUCGCUUUAAAAUUUUCUAGGUUUGAUAUCUGUUUCUUGAGUUUGUAGCUCAUGGAAUGCAGCUUGCUGCAAUCCAACCCAUUGGAAAAAGCUAGACAUGACUGUGCUCAAGGUUAUUUUCGUUCUUUACUUGCUUGCACAUGCCAACAAGCCUUUGAGUAGUCCUUACGAAAAAACGCCAGCAUAGAUGGGAGGAAGAAGAAAAGGCAAUGCGCAAGCAAGUGAAUAAUGAGCAUACAUGGCUGAUAAGUCUAGGGCCGGCUAGCAACAGUUGGCGGGGCUGCCUAAGGCCCCCAAAUUUUUUAUAUAUAUAAACUAAUAUUACAAACUUUGUCUGAUCAAAUAAAAAGUAUACAGACUUUGAGCCAUUGAGUAUUUGCUUAUAGAAUUUUGUUAACCAUAUCGGUUACCAUUGUCUCUGCAAAAAGAAGUUUUUCAAAAUAAGUUGAUCAAAUUUUAUCUUCGAUCAACUAUGUCGCAAGAAAUAUUGCAUGAGUUUGCUAUAUUUUAUCAAUUGAAAAAUGAAUUGGUUGAUUAGAUUAUGUAAACUUAAUUUGUACAUUUGUAUCUAAAAUGCUAGACGUAUAAUAUUUCCAUUAUGUUUGUAUAUCUUUCUUCUUUUGAUAUUAAUUUUUAAUGAUUUUUUACGUAGAAAGACUUUUUCAUGUAUUUAGAAUUUUUUUUUUGUACACAUCAAUGUACAAAGAUCGGGAUUAUGAGGCCAUUAUUUUUGGGAUCAGAUUUUUGGAUACGAGCAUAUAAACCUCGAACAAUCUGGGAAUGGGAUUGCAAGACCAAUAGUUGGAUGAAGACUUUUGUUCACUAUUUUUCACAAUUGGAUCGUUGGAAACUUGAUUUUUUCUCAGUUUCCCCGUAUGUUCUAGAUAAUCUUCUUAAUUAAAUGAAGUAGGUGUGAUGGUAGCGCUACUUCAUGCUCAUUUAUGUUUUUUAGUGCCAUGAACUCUGUAGUUAAUUUUUUUUUUUCUGUUGAGAAAUGGUAAUGAAACUCUCUUAAAAGUGAGACUUUUUAAUAGAGAGUCUCUAUGGACUCUUUGACACCUCAUAUUUUUAGCACAAUUCCGUGUCAACAUUAUAAAAAUUGUGCAAAAAACGUGAGGUGUCAAAAAGUCUAUGAAGAGUCUCACUUUUGAGAGAGUAUCCUUAGCAUUGUUUUUUACAAUGACUCUAUAGUUGUUUAUGUAUUUUCUGUCCAUUAUAAUUGUCUUUUUGGGGCACAUUAUUUUGUUGUUUUAUUAUUCGAGGUGAUAAAAAAAAGAACGGAAUACAACUAUACUUUGUGGUCUCAUGACUCACCAAAUGCCACAUCCCGGCCGAGACCCCCACCACAUCCCGACUUGAUUCCACCGUAGCACGAUAUUGUUCGUUUUGGGCCCCGACCACACCCUCACGGUUUUGUUUCUGGGAACUCACACGAGAACUUCCCAGUGGAUCACCUAUCAUGGGAUUGCUCUCGCGCGAACUCGCUUAACUUCGGAGUUCUGAUGAAAUCCAAAGCCAGUAAGCUUCCAAAAUGCCUAGUGCUAGGUAAGGAUGGGAAUAUACAUUUAAGGAUCACUCCUCUGGGCGAUGUGGGAUGUCACAAUCCACCCCACUUAAGGGGCCCGACGACCUCAUCGACACACCACGCCCAGGGUUAGGCUCUGAUACCAAAUUGUCACAUCUCGGCCCAGGCCCCACCACAUCCCCGGCUUUACUCCACCGUAGCAUGAUAUUGUCUGCUUUGGGCCCCGACCACGCCCUCACGGUUUUGUUUUUGGGAACUCACACAAGAAUUUCCCAGUAGGUCACUCAUCAUGGGAUUGCUCUCGUGCGAACUCGCUUAAAUUUGGAGUUUCGAUGAACCCAAAACCAAUAAACUCCAAAAGGCCUCGUGCUAGGUAGGGAUGUAAAUAUACAUUUAAGGAUCACUCCCCUGAGCAAUGUGGGAUGUCACACCAGAGGUUCGAAAGGUGCCAUUGAAGGUUUUUGGGGGAUCUUUUGAAUGUAUGAUGCAAGACACUUUUGUGUCUAAAUAAGUAUUCGAUAAAAUACUUAUUCCCGCAUAUCCCAACGACGCUCGAGAGGAUGCGUUUAAAACUUACAUUAGGACCUCCCGAUUAUCCCUGGAUGCACCAAUGGUUGGUGGUUUUCAAGAGACGAAAAUGUGAUGCCCAACAACCAACUGUUUUUUUUUUUCUUUUCAAAGAGAAAAAAAAAUACCAACUAUUUCUGAAUGGAAAAAAAAAAUUACUUGUCUACUUCCCUUGAAAAUAGUCAUUGUUAUUUACCAGUUAAUCAUAGUUUAACAUAUCUCCGCCGCUUAAUAUUGCAUAGUGAUAUUUGUUUUUACUAGUAAAUGAAAUAUCUUAAUUUUCGCUCUCAUAUAUAACAAGUUUGAUACAAAUUAUCUCGAAGAAAAAAAAGAAUAUGUGUAUGUAUCAGCAAUAAAGAAUGAGUUCUUUUACACCAAUAAAUAAGGUGGGUUGAUCUAGAUUUUUCGCGGUUCCCUGAAUUAUUUACAAGUGGUAUUCAAGCUGUUAUUUUUGCAACCUUAGUUGCGGCUUAUAUAGACAAAUCCAUAGAAGGUCAUCAUUGACUAGGCAAGCUUCUUUUUCUUUUGUCGAAAAAAAGAAAGAAAUUUCAUUUAAUGAAAAAAACCCCAAUACAAUUACAUUAAACUAGUCCAAUAAGAUGGGGACAACCAAAGCCCAUUCAACAAAAGCUGACCACUUCUGUCGCCAUCACUUUGCCAGCGACCACAAGGGUAGCCACCUAAAAAGAAUCAGCCAUGCGUUGCAUUUGAUGAAGGUAUCCUAGUGCAAAACAAUUCAACAUGCAAUCAAAACCACCACACCGGAGAAGAGCCAACAGAUUCGGACCACAAACACAAGCCUCGGCAAGUAGAACAAAAAACCAAAAUAAAUGGGAAGGGGAUGGGGCUAAGGGGGCAUCUAAAUAUCAUCGCUUUGGGCAAAGCUGCAACAUGCUUGCGCCUUGAUUUCAUGCAUGGAUAUUAAAUCCCUAGUGUAUUGCCUUUCUUUUUUACUCUAGGAGUGCGUAUGGAAUCCUACUAAUACUCUAUGUAUGGAUACCAUUGAGUGUGUCUAGAUGCCUACACUCUGUUAGGUUCCAUUGAGUGCGUCUGGAUCCCUACAUUUUGUUCGGUUCUAUUGAGUUCGUCUGGAACAUUCAUCCUAUGGAUUGCAUGUGGAGUUAGUCUGAAUCCUACUUCAUGUCUUGUGUGUCAGUUCUAUCCUAUUUCAUUAGUGCAUUUAGAAUGCGUAACGUUGUGAAUCGUAUUAGCUCUUGUGUAUUCUUUGUAUUUGAUUCCAUGGGUGCGUUCGGAAUGUGGAACGUUUUGCGUUUGCUGGCCUUAUUAUUUUAAUAUAUAUUGAAAGGGAAGUCGAUUGAAUAUCAGUGAGGAUUCAAUGGAUUUUGUGAGUGAAGAUAUUUUAUACAUGCAAAGUAUUGUGAAAUGUUUUAUAAAUGAGAUUGAUUGACUUUUCAAUCACAUAUGUAUUACUGUCACUCACACGAGCUUUAUAGCUUGUCUGAGUUUUUGCUUUGCCCGAUGCACCAUUCUCACAGUGUAGAGGGUAAUUUUGCAAGUUGACAGGUGUUCAACGUUCUGAAGUUAUGUGUCGAUCCUAUUAGGGGUGGGUUCAAAAAACCGAAACCGAAAAAAACCGAAAACCAAACCGAACCGAAACCGAAAAAACUGAACUGAAUGAAAAAACCAAACCGAAUUGAAAAUACCGAACUGAACUGAAUUCUUUUGGUUCGGUUCGGUUUUAGUGAUCUAGAAACCGAACCAAACCGAACCGAACCAAAUUAAUUAAAUUAAUUUUUUUAUUUAAUUAUUUGUUUUGGAUAUUAUUUUCUAAACCCAAUUUGUAAAUUAAAAUGUGUUAAACCCAAUGUGUUGCCAAACUUUAAGCUCAAAAUAUUAAAAAUUGCCUAUAAAAACUCUAAACCCUAACCUAUUAUUUCUCUCCCAUAUAAGGUUCCAGAACCAAACCUCAUCCUGAAGUACCUAUAUCCAUCUCCAUAACACUGUCUACUUAUGCCACAUCUUUCUUUUCCAAAUCUACUAUCAUAUAACAUGUAACAGAAUCCAUAAACAUUUAUUUCGGGUAAAUUACUUGGGUAAUUUGUUAUGGAAAAAAAAUCCAACACACACUAAAUAAAUCCACCCACGCAUUACUUUUACUAAUCAAGUUGUCAACAUGUAGUUACAAGCAACACAACCCUGAUCUUUGAACAACAUCAUACAAUUUAACUUUUUAAGUCAUUUGUACGAUUUUUGUGUUGUGAGGUUGUUAGUUUGGACUUUGGAAGACUUAAUUGAUGAUUUUAGUUCAACUUUAAAUGUUUAUUUUCAUUAUCUUUGAUUCUAGUUAGAAUGCUUAUGUUAUGAUUGUGUUGGAUAUGUUAAAAUUUAAAAUUUCAAUGUUUUUCAUUUUUUGAAAAAAAAAAUAACAAAAACCGAAAACGAACCGAAACCAAACCGGAAAAAACCGAACCGAAAAAAAAACCGAACAAAAAAAAACUGAAAAAAAAAUGAACCGAACCAAACCGAACUGAAAUUUCGGUUUGGUUUCGAUUUUGGUAAAAAACCGAACCGAUUUAAACCGAACCCACUCCUAGAUCGUAUGUAUAUCUCCUAAUCAGGGCAUGACAUUGUAUGAGAGAGCAUGUUUACUUUUAUGAGGCCAAGCCUAGUGUUGUACUUUUGGAAAGACAACUCAAACAUCCAACUCCAACUCAUAAAAUGAAAAGAUGAUUUCUGUCCUUUCAUUUGUCCUCAUUUUUUACUUUAUGCCCCACUUUGGACCACAGCUAGCCGCAGACCAACUCCAUCACAUUUUCUGGGUCAAAAGUAGCCUUUUACUCUAGUCGUCAUCUAGCCUAUAGAUAGAGCCUCUAUCAUAGAGGCCCCACAAGUUACAUAAUGCAUGCUUUUUAUAUACUAAAAGAGAUCCGGAUAUUGACCCAAAAAAAAAAAAACGGAUAUGGAUCUCUUCUAUUAUGAUUACCGGAUCAAGUGAUCCGGAUAUUUGAAAUUUCAUCUAACGACUUACUUGUUUUGAUUUCUUAAAAACUAUGAUAAUUUUUUGCUAUUAAAUGAAAUUUAAAAAACUCAGGUUACUUAAUCUGAUGGCCUCGGAGAUGAUCUCUUUCCUUUAUAUACAUCCAUAUAUAUUCAUGAUUACAUAAAUAAAAAGUUGGUAACUAUUAUUUUUUUUCAUUAAACAAGUGAUUAAUAUUAAGGAAACUAAUGAAAAUGGCUUCAAAUCUUUACAUUUUAAUGAAAAACCAUACACUAACUUUAUUUAAUGAUAAGGACAAAAAAUUAAAAAAACAUAAAAAAAAUCCAAAUCGCGUUGAGCGCGCGUCCCUCACCCCCCAACCAAAAUCCCCCAAAACUCACAUCAGACAACUUCACGUCCCCCAAACCACAAACCCCCCCCCCCCCCCCCCCCCCCCCCCCCCCCCCCCCCCAAAAAAAAAACCUCAUCUCUCUCAUUCUAUUUCAACAGCUUAACUCUCUCUCUCUAGAAAAAAAAAUCAAAAUCCCCCAAAACUCCCAUCAGACUACUUCACGUCCCCCAAACCUCAUCUCUCUCAUUCUAUUUCAACAGCUCAACUCUCUCUCUCUCUCUCUCUCUCUCUCUCUCUCUAGAAAAAAAAAAUCUGAGAAACAAAGAUGCUGAGUCGCUGUGAGAUCUGUUGUGAGAUUGUGAUUGCAAUUUUGCUCUUUCCGCUGGGCGUUUGUGUCCGGCAUGGCUGCUGCACCAUAAGUUCCCUUUCUUUCUCCUCCGUCUUCUUCAUCUUCUGGUGGCAGAUUUGAUAUUAUUAAUGGUGAAAAUUGAAAUUUUGGAUUGGUGGUGGGCCCAACUACUCCUAAACAACUAUCAGCAAAUUGCCUUUGUUUUUUCUUAUAUGGCAGGCAAAUUUUUGUUUGUUUUUCAUUUCGAUGCUUCAAUUCUUAGCUAUGAUUUUUAUGCAUUGGACAUGGACAUGGGAAGAGGAGAAAUUUGUGUACACAGUACGAAUACAUCAUCAUGCUUAUGUUUGAGACAAAAGGAUAAAUAUAUGUGUAUAUUGUUAUAAACAGUGUCGUUAAAAUUCAUAAUAGAAAGUUUCAUAAACAGUGUCUUAAGUUUCAUAAAUAAUGGAGAAAGUUUCAUAAACAGUUUGUGUGAGGAUUUGCAUGGGUCCGUCCGUCAGAAUUUUUUUUAUAAUUUUUUUUAACAUUAUAAUUAUGUCCUUUUGAUUAAAAUUUAAGUUCUUUUGUCCUUUUUAUUAAAAUUUAAGGAUUUUUUAUUAAAAUUUAAGUCUUUUUAUUUAAAUAAAGUUAUAACAUGGUUUUUUAUUAAAAUAAACUUAGUUCAUGCCCUUUUUAUGGAAGUUCCCUUAAUAUUAUUAUAUACUCCUUACUCUUAGUCCACAUCAAUUAAUUUGUCAAAAUGUUAUGUCUGUUAUUUAAUAAUACUAAAUAGUGGUAUUCUUCGUUAUUUAUAAAAAAUAUAUUUUAUGUUUGAAUUUUGUGUAUUAUGAGUUUGAAACUAAUUUAUUCAUUUCACCCCAUAGUGUAAUAUAUCUUUAUUUCUAAAAAAAAACAAUAAUUUUAUUUUUUAUUUAAUUAAGAUAAUAUAGUAAUAUUCUUCUUCAUUUGUUGGUGCUAGCGAGUUGGAUACUAAAUUAUUAUAGCUGAUUGAUUGAGCAACUUGCUCAAAUUUUCUCACCAUAGUGUAGUUUUUUUUUUUUAAACCAAUAAUUUAUAAUGCUUCACUCCACAAAAUUGUGAAGAAUUCUUCUUCAAACACUUAGUGAACGAUUGAUAAAGUUAUGUGGUUAUUAUCAAAAUCAUCUAUAUUAUAAAUUAUUUUGUAAAAGAUUAUCUUUGAAAAAAAAAAAGCCAAACUAAGUUCCACUAUUCAAUGAUCGGACUAUUGAAUAUUUUUAUCUAGUCCGACCAUCUAUCUUUAUACAAUUAGUUAAUAAUCUUUUCGAAAAUAAAAAUGUUAUAUAAAAGGAAAGUUGUAACCAAAAGAAAAUAAUAAGAAAUUGUUAACGAUUAAGAAAUUGCCACAUUCUCCAAAUUCAACAGCUAAGAGCACUUUUAUUGGGCAUGUCAAAUUUUAAAUACGACAUUUAAAUUUUACAACUUAUCUAAUACUUUAACAUUUUGAAAAAAAAUUCUUCAUCCAUAAAUUAAAUUAUUAUGUUAUUAAAUCAAAUUAUAAUAAUAAUUUUUUUAGUAUAACGAUAUAUUUUACACUACAGAAAUUGAGAGUUCGAUUAAGCCACACAAUGACAAUCUAAUUUGGUAUUGAAUUCGCUACCCACGAGAUUUGAUCCUAAGACUUCUCACUUAAAAGUGAAGAGGAAUACCACGAUACCGUAGUACUGAGUGACAUAAUAAUAUAUUUUUUUAAACAGAAACAACAAAGCCACUCAGUACUUAUGUGGUUUAGCCGAACUCCCCUCCUCUUCGUGUAAAAAUAUCGAUGUAAUUAAUUAAAAAAAACAAUAAAACUAGUAAAUAUAUUUAAUAAUGAAUUAAAAAUAAGUAAAAUUACGGUCAAAUUUAAAAAUAUUGUUGCUGGCUUUUUGGAUUUGGACAUUUUGACGUUUGGAGAUGCUCUGAAACACAACCGUCAGAAGUGUCAAGUUGAAUUUGGGAACUCAGCUGAGGAGUCGAUUCACUCUAGGCUUUGGGUAAAACCUCGAUUUCAGAGUCCCUUUCAAUCGUUCAUACAUUCAUCGUAUGAUCUUUCUUUCUUCCCCAAGGCUCAAGGCCCCUUCCCAUUGAGUUCUUGAGUCGUACACAAAUUAUCAUCCUUUAAACGCCAUUAACACUCAAAGAGUGGAGCUUCUGCCAAUGGGUCUCUGAGUUUUUAGCUGGGUCUUGGGUUGGGCCAGUUUCUCUCGCUUUUGGUCACUUCUACAGGCUUUUCAUCUUCUGAGCUUGCCAAACAAGGUUCGAUUUUUCUUAUUUUUCUACUGUCUAUGUAUGUCUAUUUCAAUGCGAGUAAGUAGUUGGGUAUGUAAUAACUGCAAAGAACAAUAUAAUCCGUGAUUGAUUGCUGACGAGUAAAGUCAAGGUCCAUAUUAUGAAAUUAUAUUGUUUCUGUAUUUUUCCCGACCUUUGCAAAGCGGAGAGACUUGUUGGCUUGAAGACGUCCUUUUUUUUAUAUUGUUUCUGCAUUUUUUGGAACAUUGACUGUCAUCUGUUAUUUGAUAUAUGUUGUUGGAUUGGUGUGGUGACUAUGCUUACAAUACAUUCACCAAUUAUCUCCCGUUUUGUUGGCCACAAUCUCCGAGGCUAAGUCGAUGAUCCUCUUUUCAAAUUCUACUGAAACUCUUCGUAUUGUGAUUUGUAUAAGGUUACCGCGUCAUGUAGUCUUCUUUUCACUAAAUUGUUUCUUGUAUUCCUUGUUCAUUCAAAGUGUAAGGUUUUUUUUAAAAGGAUUAUCAUUUAAUCAUUCGUUUAAUGUUUUUUAUUGCAGGAAUUAAUGUUCCGACCUUUUUCUUUAUGUAGAUAUGAUUUCUUUUCUCUUUAUGUGAUACAAGUUGGUUUCAGACAUCUAUAUCUAGCUAAGUUUUAGUGUUUUUGGACUUCGUUAUAUAGAUUAGUAGCAUGUCGUUAGACGGCAGAUUCGGAGGAUCACUGCAGUCAUGAUUCAUGUAAAGGUGCUUGAGUUGGGAUUUUUUAUUUGAAUUUUUGUACGCGUUCAAUAUCUUAAUAUAUCUCAUUCAUCUCAAAUAUUCCGUUCUCUUUCUUUGACAUAUUAUCAAGCGCUCGCCUCUUUCUCUUAUUUUUUACUCACAAGUUACAAGUCUAUUUAGUUCCUUGACACUACAAAAAAAGGGUCUAAGAACAUGUCACGCUCCGGACCCGGAGUCGAUAAUAAAAACUUGAACCCGAAUCCGAAACGUGAGUUAAAUACUAAAUAAUUAAAAGGAAAUUGACAUGGGUUGGAAAAUAAACUCCUCUUAUUAAAAUAAUUCAUGAUUCUUGAACAAAUCAAUAAUUCUUUACAACCUACAGUAAAUAAAUGAAUAACUUUCUCUACUCCAAUCUAAUAUGAUCUCAUCAUGCCUACCCUCUUGAAUGUCUAGUUCGUAAACCUGCAUAACAGUGUAGUGGUGAGCUUCAACGACUUAGUAGGGACAUAACCUUACUAUAGUAAAUUGACAAUAUUAAAUUAAGUGUCAUGAAAUCAUAUAGCCAAAUAUCAAAACAACAAUUAUAACAAUGCAUGAAUGCAAUGCAACCUCUUCAUUUACUCCUGUUAAUUUAUAUAAUAAAACACGUGAACCUGCACAUCCCAUACCAUGCAUUUUACCCCUGCAAAGGUGGUUCGAAUGUUCUAUUAUAGAAACUAACCCCCAUAUUAUAUCCCAAGUUCAUAAACCCCUUUUGCUAGUCAUCUUAUCUAAUUCAUUGAUCUCCAGCCCAAAUCACCCACAUCGACAAUUCCCGUCGAUAUCCUAUUCUACUGUGCACAUCAGACUCGCCUGGAACUAGUUUCACAAUGAAUAGAUUCAACUACACAAAAGAUCCUUUCCAACUACCCUCAUUCCCAUACUUUCAAUAUGAAUACUGAAAUUCCCACCACAUCAACAUGAAUGAUGCACAAAUAAUAUCAAUUUAUCUUCCACAUGUAUCAUAGUAUAUUCUCAACGAAUAACAUUUCAUAACAAUAAUUCCAUAACCAAUAACAAGUAAACACUUAACUGAAGCAAUUAGCCAAUUACUAUUCAACCACAUUAAUCAACCAAAAAGAUCAAAAAUAUUAUCACUUCACGAAAUUUAAUAAAAUUAAUUUCCGUAAAGGUUUGCCUUAUUUCCCCUACUUGGAUUCCAAAGCUAAAACCAAGAUCCACGUCAUUACCGAAAUAGCUAGCUGUCCACGUACUUAAGCAAAUUCCUUGAUCACUCUUAAAUCAUCAAAGUAUUUUUUUUCUACUCUCCUUUAUUUUUCUAAUCUCUCUCUAUAUUUAUACUUAUGUAAAUAUAUACAUUUUCCCUCUCUAUCUAUUCUUCCCUACGUUGCCUGCACUGCAUGGUUCCUCAAGCUUUGCAUGGCAUUGUUAAGCCACCUCCUGUAACCUAUGUGGCUGCUAAAGAAAAAGAUAAUAAUCUAAAAUGGGACACAUUAUGUGAUAAUGGAUCACUACAUUUUUAUUUAAUACCUAAUCACCUUCCACCAUGUGUACUAGUAAUAUGGUCACUGUCAUUUUGACUGGUCACCACGUGGCACACACCUAGCAAUUCAAUGGUUGCCACCUAACAUCGACUCAAUGAUUAACCUUUCAGUUAUUUGACCUCCAAAAAAUUAUACAAGAUGCUACGAGCUCAUAAUAAUUCUUACUAUCUUCAUACAAGGACCUAUUCGAUAAAUAAGUUUACAAAUACUUCUCUUCUUUAGUAAUAAAUUCUUGGGAUUUCACAGAACACAAUUGAUUGGUGCCCUUUUCAAUUUCAUUGAGCGUGCACGCAUAUGUGUGUGUGUGUGUGUGUGCGCUUUUAAGUUUCAUUGAGCACAAAAUUAUUUCGAAUGUGCAUUUUGAACAAAAAGACACAUUAAAUUGUGUCUACAAAAAGGUGUAUUGUGCCUAUUGAAAUUUGAAUUCGAAAGUUUGUUUUACUACGAUUAUCUUUGGGUCGAUAGACGUCUAUCUUCGAUAGAUUAUAUAUUGAAUAAGGAUGGUUUACCGUGUCCACAUUAAGUCUUGUUUUGGUUUGAGUGAUUUAGGAUGACACAAUGGUGUGGUUUGUGUCGGGUCUUUGCUCCUUAUAUCACUUUGAAGUAGUUUAUUUGUGUUAUAUUUGUUGGUUGUUCCUUGGUGUGAAAUUCCUUGUAAGUUUUUGGCUUUGCCUCGGUUAUAAAUCUAGUUUACAAAAAAAAAAAAAAGUUUGUGUUAUUAUUUAUGGAUUUUUUUAUUAAGGGGAUGUAGUCAAACUAAGAUUUUAAAAGGAUUUUAAAAGUGAUAGAUUUAAUAGAAUUUAAGAGGAUUAAAGACUCCUACAAAAUUCAUAUGGAUUUUUAAAGAAUUUGAAUGGAUGAUGGUGGAUUGUUGUGGAAGGAUUUGAAAUCCGAGGGGGUGAGGUUGGAUUCUUUUUAGUCUUGGUUAUAUAUACUUUUGGCUCUCAAAUCCCACAAAAUCCACAACUUAUUGAAAUCCUCCAAAAUCUUAAUUUUUUUAAUAUACUUAGAUUUAGAUGAAUUUUUAAAAUCCUUUAAAAUCUUUUAAUUGACUACAUCUAGAUUUCAAAGGAUUCUAAAAUCCUUUAAUUGACUAUAUCUAAAUUUAAAUGGAUUCUAAAAUCCUUUAAAAUCUUUUAAUUGACUACACUCUAAUUUCAAAUCACUACCCCGUAAUUUUCGAAAGCACAAAAAACAGUUUGUGCCCUUUAAUUUAGUAUAUUUAAAUCUUUUGGUUUUAUUAGCACAAUAGUUUGUGUAUUCCUUCCAAGUCUGGACACAAUUAUAUUUUAAUAUUAAUUUUAUUGAUCAACACCCUACAUCCCACUCAGUUUUAGAAGCAGCCUCACCCAUACUCCGCCUCCCUCAUAUUCUUUCUCACCUCUCUCUCUCUACCUUCUCCAGACAAAUCGUGGAGGCUCUUGAGCUCCAUCAUUGCCAGAAUCUCUUAGCAGAAACCUUCUGCACGCGGUGAAUGAAGGUUUGGGAAGAUCGGAUCUGGUAGGGAGGGAUCAGGGGAGGGGGUGGGUCGGGUUUGGGAAGAUCGGUGGAUGUAGAGCCUGAAUCGGGAAUCGCGUUGGGAUCCGAGUCUGAUAGGGAGGGAUCAUGGGAGUGAGGUGCGUCGGGUUAGGAGAUGUUUGUGAGAGAAGAGCAGGUGCGAGUCAGAGAGGGAGUGAGGAGUCGUGGUCCUCGUCAAUAUUUCGUAGCCGUCGUGGAAGCCUGCGAAUUCGGAGUCAGCCGCACCUCCGGUCGUAGGAAGUGGAACCUUCUUCAGCUAAUUAAUUAAGUGAGCAACAUGCAAUUAGCAAAGGAAGCCAGAAUCGAAGUAGCCAGAGAGAUAAGGUAAUACAAUGGUUUGUGAAAUCUCUAUGAUUUUAGGAGUAAUCAACGAUAUCUUACUACUUCAAUAUUUUAUAAACUAUUUUUCAUAUAUUAUACAGCAAGCAUUGUAAAAUGUGGUUAUUAAAUACACAAACAGUGAUGAAAUCUGUGGAUGUGGACGGCCGUGGAUUUAGUUCAGGAUCAUUGCUUUGUAUAUAUUGUAAGGACUUAGUCAGGAGGAGUAAGGACCACGUUGUUAUUAGACAGGCCGGUUCGAAUUCUAGGCUUAAUUCUCGUUUGUUUCCAUUCCACUUAUGUGUGUAAUAAAAUUUUGCUUAAUCCGAUGUUCUAUUUGUGUCUCUGGAACAGUCGCAUAUCUUUUUGCUGAAUUGUGAUGUUUGCUGCAAUUUUCUACUCAAGGGGGUGUAUUCAAUUGGGAUUUUAAGGGAUUUUAAUUCUUUUAAUGAAUCGAGGGGUAUUCAAUCAGGAUUAUAAGUGAUUCUCUGAAAUUCUAGGUGUAUUCAAUUAGAAUUUUAAGAUAGUUUAUUAAAAUCCGUAGAAAUCCAGGUGUAUUCAAUUAAGAUUUUAAAGAAGUUUAUAACAUUCCAGGUGUAUUCAAUUAAAAAUUGAUUUUAAAGAAUUUGAGAAAGUUGAGGAAUUAGAGGGAAUUGAAGAGAUUUCGUAGUGUAUUUUAAGCAUCCACAAAUUUCACCUCUUCACAUGAGAUUUCGAGGGAAUUGAAUCAAAAUUUUAUAUGGAAUCUCUACAAAUCAAUUAAACUCCAUAAAAAUCCAUGGAUUUAUAAAUCCAUUAAAAUCUCUCACAUUCUCAAUUGAAUACACCCCCCUAAGACAUGCUUGGUGACUGGAAGUUUUUUGCUUGGAAUUAUAGAUAUGAUUUUGAAAAGUUAAUUCCUUUUAUUGCUUCUUGGUGUUCGUCAUUGCAGAUGCUCAUUAAGGAUAUAAGGUGAUGGGUACAAUGUUAGUAAUAAAGGUUAGUUUGUUGACAGAGCCUGAACUAUUGAAUAAUGUUGCAACUCUCCCCCAUUUUCCUGAUGCUCUUUCCUCAUGUUUUUUUGUCAUGCCAUACUUUGUUUUUAGGUUCAUCUGUAAGUUUCUGCUGAAUCUGCGAACCAGUUUUGGCAGUUGGUUGUUGAUCCUGCCACCAAAGAACUAUUGCAUUAUACUGAGAAGCCAGAGACUUUUGUAUGUAAUAGAUGCAAUUACUGUCCCAAAAUUGUUCAUUUAGUUGGUGCUUGAUGAUCUCAAUUCUUUGUUCCCGGCCCCAUUAUGUAAGGGUUAUCUAUUUUCUAAAUGCAGGUGAGUGAUUUGAUCAAUUGUGGUCUAUAUGUAUGUACUCCCACAUAUUUUACUGCCAUUCAAGGAGUCUCGAGUCAUCAAGAAGGCAAAGGUUGGUCUUUUUCUUUACUGGCAUUAUAUUUGUGGAUUGGUUUGCACUUGGGAUCAAAUUCUGGCUCUAAAAUAUUAUCACUUGAUUUGUAAUUCAUUUUCAUAAGGAUUCGACUUGAUUUGUAAUUACUGAGAACAAAUUUGGCCUCAACACGGGCUAUUUACUUUUAUCCCUAUUAAGUAAAUAUUCAUGAAUCUUUCACAGUGGAUGAAUCAUUUAUUUUAUUGUUUAGGUGAGAUACUAAAAGGAUUUUGUUGCUUACAUGGUGCUUAUAUCUGUAUGAAUCAAUUGUAGAACUAAAUUUUAGAAGCAUGUUUUAGCUCUACCCUUAGUUUAAUUGGUAUCUUGAAUGUGCAUGUAAACCAGCCGAAUAAUUUCUUACUGAUGGUAUUACUAUUUGAUUUCAUUUUGUAAUAUUUGAUAUUUGUUUUUUUAUUUUAUUUUUAAUAUUUAAUCUUUUGGGCACAAUAACAAAGUUGUACAAACAUGGCUUGGAAAAGUCAUCUGACACAGGUGUCAGAAUAGAGGCACAAAAACUCCUGAUUGGUGCUUACCUGUGUCAGCACAAACCACCUUAUUGUGCCCAAUGACCAAAGGGCACGCCCAUAGAGGGCACACAUGAUGUUUUAGUUGCUGCACUGUUGCUUUUGCCGGGCACAUAUGAUGGUGUCCUUGGGCCUCAUAGGGCACAUAUAACUUUUAGUGUGCAAUGGCAGUUUUUCUUCUAGUGUGAGAGAGACACAAACAGAUGGAUGGUAUUGAAGCUAAUAUCCCCCCUCAUCGAGAAAAGAGACACAAACAAAUGGAUGGUAUUGAAGCUGAUAUCCCCCCUCAUCGAGAAAAGAGACACAAACAGAUGGGUGGUAUUGAAGCUGAUAUCCCCCCUUGUCGAGAAAAGAGACACAAACAGAUGGAUGGUAUUGAAGCUAAUAUCCCCCCUCGUCGAGAAAAGUAUGAUGUGUUUAUCAAUUUCAGAGGUGCGGACACCCGCCUUGGUAUUACCAGCCAUCUUCAUGCUGCCUUACUUCAGAAAAAAAUUGAAACCUACAUCGAUUACAGACUUCAGAAAGGAGAAGAAAUCGGACCUGCCCUUCUAGAGGCAAUCGAGAAGUCCACGCAUUCGGUGAUCAUUUUCUCACAAAACUACGCUUCUUCCACAUGGUGUUUGGAUGAGCUUGUGCAU